CUGUAUACAGACGGACGGAGAGUCGCGCGGCAGUGCAGAAAACGGAGGAGAAAGGAAUGGGCGGCGGCUGGGCUUGGCUUCGACGGAGACAGAGGCGAUUAGGACGGGGCACGGCGACGCAGAUCUGGACGACGGCGCGGAGACAGAGGUUGCGCGGCGCUGGGCAGAGGGUCAAACGGCGCUGGGCGAAGGGUCACACGGCGCUGGGCGGAAGGUCACACGGCGGCCUUGCUUCGCGAACAGAGAUGGCGGCCGACGGUUGCAGCGGCGGCUGGGUAUGGUAGAAAAGAAAGAGAAACGGAAGAAGAAUAGGGGCGGCGACCGUGGAUCGGAGAAGAAAAGAAGGAUGAAAGCGAUGGUGGCCGGUUGGAGGGUGCGGCUGGAGGUAGGGAUCGGUGAAGGAGAAAAUAGAAAAAGAAAAUGAAGGGGAAAUGGGGGUUGCGCGCGGGAGGAAGAAGAAAGGAAAAAAAAUUCUUUUUUUUUUUUCUUUUCUUUUAUUUAAAUUAAAUAAUAAAACUAAAAUAUGUGUAUUGAUCAAAUGACCCAUAUCAAUAAGGACACAAAAUUGGCAAAGAACAAAUAAAUUAAAAUGGACAAUAACUCUUGUUUCAUUACUUUCUCUCUCAUUGGAGUUCUUUUGUUCACCAUCAUUUCAAAUGUGGCAUCAUCUAACGACGUUGUUUCUACCAUCUGUUCAGAAAUCUCAAAUCCACAAUUUUGUUUAAGUGUGUUGAAAUCUGCAGGCACUACAGAUCUAAAAGGCUUGGCUGUAUACACCUUAAACCUUGCUCAUUCAAAUGCUGGCAAAUCUUUGAUCCUAGCCAACUCACUAGCAAAAGCCACCACCAAUCCUCAACUUAAGCAACGAUAUUCAUUUUGUGCUGAGAGCUAUGAUGAAGUUGUUGGUGACAUUGAAAAUGCUCAAAAACGACUUGGCACUUGGGGACUUUAUUGGUGUCAUUAUUGCAACUACUGGUGCCAUGACAACUCUUGGUGAUCACUGUCAGAAUAAGCUCUUGCAGCCGCCGAAGGAUACAUCGUUGCUUUUAAAGAAUAGCAACACUCUAGAUGAUAUAAUUUAGCAUUAUUAUGGUUAUAUCCGAUCAUCUUUGAGGGUUAUGUACUUGAACAUUUUGAUCAAUAAAUAAACUGAAGUUUAAUUUUUAAAAUAAUAUUACAAUGUGAUGGUGAUUGGAAUUGAUUACUUACUUUGAUUAAACUUGAGAAGAUAAGAAAAUCAAUUAAUAGAAACGUUCACCGACACACAUUGUCAGCACGUCGGAGAAAGCCUAAACUUUUUUUUCUUUUCUUUUACGUUCUGUUUUCUUUUCUUUGUUUGCCAUCAUCAUCAUCAUCUUCUUCUAGCUUCUUACGUUCUGUUUCAAUUGCAUACUUCUGUUAUUCUUGUAAUUUCUUCGUGGUUUUCUUUUUAACUUUGUGUUUCAGUGUGGAUUCAUAAACACAUUUUUCAGUGCUCUGGAUUCUGGAUCUGUUAUGAUUUUGAAAGGGUACAGUGAAGUGAAAAGUUGAAAUGGAAAAGAAAAAAAGAAGAAAAGAGGACACUUCUCGCGGUGGUGGCGGCAAAGACUGACGUCGACGACAACACAACUCUCCUCCUCUCCCUAUAUCUCGGCCGAUUUUGGGUUUAUUUUCGUUUUGCAUUCUGUUAUGUGUGGAAGGGAGAAUAAAUAGUGUGGACUUUCCCCGACGUCUUCGAAAACGUUGGGAAAUUUACCUUUCGCCGACGUAUGUAGUACACACGUCGGAGAAAGUUUAAAUAAUAAAUUCAUUAUUUAAACUUUCCCCGACGUACUCCUGUCAUACGAGUCUAAAUUAAAUUUAAUGCGUUCUCCUUCGGCGAUGUGUGUCAAGGUGACGUUGGAAAAAGUUUAAACACUAAUGCAAUUAUUUUAAAUCACAUAUGUUAUCGCUUAUAUGGCAUAGGAGUCUAUUAACGAUAGAAAUCUAUCUUGAUAGGUUUUUGCUACAUUUACAAUGUUUAAAAAAUAUUCUUAUAUACUUAACUAUUAUUCCUAAAAUUGCUAACCCAUUAUACUUACCCUUAGUUAAAUGUAUAAUGUCAAAAGUAAGUUUACUACGAAGGUAAUCUAUGUGACCCUUUUAUCCUAACGUAGGAAGUUUGUUCCACUCCAUACCAUUAUUGAACUAAAAGGAUUAAGUGUGUAUUAAUAUGUUUAAACAAGUAUAAUUAUAAGCAAAAUCUAUAAGUGAUAUAUUGAUAUUAGCAAUACAAUACGCGUCACAUAUGCAAACAUUUUGUGUCUAAUCGUUGUAUUUACAAUUAACUCCAUUAAAAUAUUACAAAUAGAAAUAGAACUCUUUAACCUAUGUUCAGUUAGGAUCACAAACUACAAAAUGAAAGCAUGGAACAAAUUUAAUUUUUUUUUUCUUUAAAGGAAAUUUUGUGUGUAGCACAUUAUAUUUUUUUCUUUCCUUUAAAAAACAUUAUUGAUCUUAUGAUAUUUGACAUAUAUUAUAUUUUUUUAAGAAUGUAAAUAAUGUAAAUAAUGUGCCAAAUAAUUGAAAACAUGUUAUCCAAAACAGAGAAUGGUUAAGAAAUUGUUGACAUUUAGUCAAAUUAAUAAAUAAUUCAAAAUUGUGUUUGAUUUUUGAAUUUGAAAAGAUAGUAAAAUUAGAAGUGUUUUGAAAUAGUGUUUACGAGAAGAUUUUUAAUUUUAAAUAGCAUUAUAGUAGCUAUGGAUGGUUAUAUAAUAGUCUACACAAUCUUUGUCACAAAUGAUUAAUUCGAUUUUUUAAAUCAAGUCUAAUGUUUUUUUUUUUUUUUUGCCUAUUUCUUACCCAUAAUUUUUACAUUUUUUGUAAGUAUAAUGGUUGAAUGCAAAAAGAGAGCUGACUAGUAAGUGCAAAAAGAGAUCUCACAAGCUUCUGCAAAAGCUAAUCAAGCAACCCAAAUCAUAAACGAGGAGAAAAGUUGAUUGGUUAAGCUUUGUUGUAGUAAAGAAGAAGUCAAAGUGAACAUGGAACGUUCUUCACUCUCAAAGAACAUCGCCAACAUAUAGAUUAUAUACUUUUUCUGGUAUUGACCCAAAAAACACAAUCCAAGUGUAUUUUUGGUGAGAUGCAUAGUUUAACUAAACCGUGUUAUUACAAAAUUUUUAAUUACUAGGAACUCCUAAUGAAACGAAUACAUUAUUUUUAUAAUUACGAGGUAAAAUGGAAACAUACAAACUACUAAAAAAAGUUGCAAUUCGAUUAUUGGGAUUCAAUCUACUCUCCAUGAAUGUUUCUUGAAAUGAGAGUUUUUAAGCAGCUACAACUUGCUUAUGUAUAAAAGCAAAACCCUUUCUCAACGCCUACCUUCAGUUUUGGCUUUAGAGCUUCAAGUGAUUUUUGCCCCUACUCAGAUAAACCCUGAAGAUCAGAUGUUACAAAGGCUUCAAUUCCACAUGCAAAAAUCAUGUUCAUGAACCAAAAGCACCUUAAGCUUCUCUUCGAUAUCUUUGAGCUCACUGGAUAAAGAACUGAUUUCUAAAGCAAUCAUCUCUACCCAUAUCCUCAUCGUUCCCACUGUCUUUUAAUAAGGUUGGCAUGAUAAUCACAACAAAAGAAGAAGAAACUAAGAUCAAUUUAACAAAUUUUAUGUUGGGAAACUUUUUUAAGAACAACUACUUAUAAACCAACCUUAGCUUUGGCCUCACAUUCCUUGAAUUUUCUAAAAGUAGAUACCACCUGUCCGGGCAACCCACACCAACCAACCAAGAGUAAGUUAGUGUGAAAGACACUUAUUUAAUGAAGAAUAUGUAAAAGAGGUCAUUCCAACUGUUACACAUAAUAGUAUUGGAGGCAGAUAACCUUGCCAUACCUCAUCAAGUUCUGAUAUUGAUUGAGCUAGUUUUUGAUACUCUGUGGGGUUUGAGACAAUAUCUGGAUUGACCAGCUUAACCUAAAUAAUAAUAUCGAUAGUGAUUAUUGUGUAGGAAAAUAUUAAAGCUAUAACCAAAUCAAAAGCAUAAUUGGAAAUACAUCAAAGAUGUAAAUGCAAAUUUCAAAAGUGGGAUCUACAGAAUGUAAGGGGAAGAAACUCAAAUAAAAUUACUUUAUUAUUAGUUAUAACGACUACUAAUAGAGAUUCCAGAUACACCACAGUUCCACGUCCUCUUUCAGGAGGAAAGCAAUGGUUAAAAAUUAAUUGUGAAAACUAAAGAAGGUCCUGUUCAAAUCCUAACAGCAAUAGGAAAGCAAGGAGUUAUAAGGUGAUCACUAUAGGCCAAAUCCAAAAUGCAUUCAAUAUUUGUCUUCCAAUUUCAUUAUCAAGUGCAUAGGCAAGGUCCCUAGUGAGGAAGUUAUUCGUUCUUUUCUUCAUUUUCUAUAGCUCUAGAAGUAGCUAAAUGGAAUCGUCAAGCACCUAAUCUAUUAAUUUUAAAACUCAAAAGUUCACCGCGGGAUUCUAGUCACUGCUGAAACAACAUAGAGUUCACUAGUUCCACAGUUAAAUUAAUUGCAAAUUGCAUUUCCUGGCAUUUUCAAGAAAAAAAAAAUGCACAAAUCAUAAUAUGAUGAAGUAGAAAAAUUUUGUGAGCUCGACUUUUCCAGGACAUAUCUUAGCUACUUCUCCUAUUCCAGCUCGAUAACCAUUGUACUUUAACAAUUGAAACAUUAAUCCAAUAGUUAACAAUGUUCUGCACUUUAUGCCCUUUACAUUUCCAACAACUUGAUGCAUACAUCAGUAGUUAACACAGGCACGAGCUCUUAAAUUCAAUGCAAAAUAAACAGUCCCAUUCCAAGCAUAGACACCAAAUACAAACAAUUGAUGGACUUGAAUCAGUGAAGAAAUAAGAAUGUCAUUUAACAGCAAAGCACAAAUUACCGAUAAUUUUUUCCACGUCUUCUCAGCAGAUUCCAAUUUCACGAUCAAAUAAGGUUCCUAAAAUAAAGCAAUCACCAUCAUCAUUUUCCACAAAUAUGAUUCGAACUAGUUUUACCACAAAUUAAUUUCUAGUAACUUGAAGAAAAACUCAGUGAACUCAAAGCAUAACGAAACUCAAGUUCUGUUAAAGCCAAUCCGAACAAUAAGAUAUAGACAUAUUGUGUUCUCGAAAGAAAAACAUUCAAUAAAUCUAACAGCCAUGCAAAUUAGAGUUGAAGCUCUAAAGGGAGGUGCAAAGCAUUUUAAGUUCCAGAGAGCAUCUUCUGAAGGCGAUGAGCCCAUAAGAUGAAAAAAAGGCCUCAAGUGAGGAAGAAAGACGCCAUCCAAACAUGAAAAAAGGAAGAAAGGCAAGAUUUUGGUAGCUCCAGACCUGAGGGAAGCCAACAAGGUGGCGAGGGAGGCAAGGCCCCAAAGUUUUAGCAUUGCCAGCAAAGUGAAGGUAGAGAGGACCACAGCGACACUUUCCUUUCUGACGUGGCGCCUCCGAGAGUUUAUGGACGCCCCAAUUGGGGCGUUUGGAUGGAGUAAGUUCUUCAAGGGACUUCCAAGAUUCGAUGGAGGUUGUCAAGAAAUUCUACGCAUUCAGAUUACAACCACUACAAGGAAUUUCAGAUCAACCACACAACAAUUUAACACUAUUGGGAGAAUCCACGAAUUCUUGGUCAAGUAGAAGAACCUCCAUGUGGAAGAAACAAAUUGUGAACGUGUCGAAGACCUUGAAGUGUGGAAAUGGAAGAUCAAAGAGUUCCAGCUUCGCCAGUCGACAGGGACGUCAACUGUUUAAGUAGGGGAGAAUGUCAAGAGCAUGCUUGUCCAAGGCAUUGUUUGCCCAUGGCCGCAUGGCCGAACAUCCUCAAACCGCCUUAUAUUUAUGUCUUAUAACUUAGUUUAGCCAUUUUGUUUCCUUUUGUUGUCGCCGACCUAGGGUGUGACGUUUCAAAAUUUUCAUAUGCAAGUCUGUCAUAGCUAAAAAUGUUUAAAAUGUACUAUAGGGAAGACAUAGUAGUUGAAUCCCUGACCAAGCCUUGUUGCACUCUUUGCAUUCUAAUCUUUCUUUGCAAUUAACAGUCUUCAAUGCUUUCUUUAACAGAUGUGUUUUCAAUUCUUUUCUUCUCUUCUUGUCUUAUAAAAAUAAAUUUCUCUCAAAACAUGAAAGAGGCUAUACCGUACUGCGUGCUUUUUUUGCGACUUCUGGAUUUCAUACAGCUUACUUGUUCACCGAGCUAGAACAAACGUCGCAUAAUCACCAUCCCCUAUUUGAAAAUUUACGAUUAUGACAGCAUGCGGUGAGGUGCACGCGGCAUGUGUGGGCCCAAGCCAAGCAUGCAACUGGCAUUCUGAUACUCUAUGCACGUGCAUGCUGCCUGCGCCCAUGCCCGUGCAGCCAGCAUUGUCAUGACGUAGUUUUUGGGAUGUUUGGUGUUUUGGGAAAUUUUGAGCAAAUUCUGGAUGUUCGAGCAUGCGGAUGUUCUAUGCAAUGCAACCAGCAGCCCAUAUGUUCUAUGUUCUCUUUACGGUCGUAUGUGCACAUUUGGUUAACUCUACUACUACUAAUGGGAAAGUUGACGAGCCUAUGCUGAAUUCAUCAGGAAAGGUGUACUUUGUUGAGCCCAUUGAGGAGAAGGAUACCUUCUUUUUUUCGAAGAGGUGUUUCAAUGCCUAGGCCGUCUUUUGACAAUGAGGUGUUAAUAUUACCUAGACUUCAUGCUAAGAACGGGUUGUGAAUUUAUAAUCAAGAAUGCAGUUCGAGUAUCAUGUCUUUCAAAUGAUUUCCAACAGCUUGAAUGUUUCUAUAAGACAAGAAUUUAUGCUUAACUGUUUUAGAAAGCAUGUUUUAUAAAAAUUGUCACUCACUAAGUCUUUCGACUUAUCCUUUCAAAUCAUUUCUCACUUUUCAGGUAUGGAUUAUGCAUUCCCUAAUGUUAAGCGUAUUGCUUGCUGAGCCAACCAGUUACUAGAAAUUGUUAAGUCAUUUUGAAAGUUAGUUUUGACUUUGUAAGAAAAGUUCAGGAUGAGCAUGUCUAUGUUUAUUGUUAAAGUUCCAAUGUUAUAAGUUAGUUUAGUAAAAAGGUCACUGUCAUGUUUAAAGCUUCUGCUGAUGUAUCACAAUAGUUGUAACUAGUGGUUUAAGUUAUUAGUUAAAGCAUGUAGCUUGUGUAUCGCUGUUUGUUUUGAGCAUGCAUUCAUGUUGUAACUGGUAGUUAAGUUAGAAAGGUUAGUCGGUUGGUAAGUUUUGCCAAGGUAUGGCAAUCCUUGCCAACCCUCGCACCUUCUUUCAGAGCUAGAUGUUGUUCAGAAAAUAAGGAGCUUUGGGAGGGGGUGGUGACAACAACACCAUCCCACUAGAGUACGCAAAUGAUGCAUUAUUGUUUAAUUAAGUCAUAUAUAACUUCCACAAUUUGGAUAGGAAUUUAACUCAUUAGAAGGUGUCCUAUAGAAUUUCUCAGUGAAAAGUUCAGAGAAGCUACAAACAAAUGUCACUACCGAACAACAAUCAUAUACAUGGGUUAGGGCUUUGAGCAGCUGUGAACACAACUUAAUAAUAAAUAUGAAGUCGUCCUCUUUUCAUCAUUAGUCAGAAGAAUUCUUAAACUUUCUAAAAAUAAUUGUCAAAUAAUUGAUUAUAUAGUAUGCCAUUUAUUUGGAAUAUACAAUUUUUUCAUUACCAGGAAAGGAGACUUCUCACUAAGUAAAUGUAAAGAGACUAAUGCUAUAAUUUGAAUUGGAAAAUAUAAUUUCAUAAUUAAGCAUCGAAUAGGGACUAGUUAAGAAGUACACACUUUAGUUUGCCAGAGUCCAUGUUCUACACAUGUUAGCCACUCUGUCAUUGGUUUAGCAGUAAAACAAAGGAUGUGUUUAGGAAUGUGAGCCACACAAAAGGGAAAGAAAACAGAAGGCGCAGUGAGCCACACAAAAGGGAUCGAAACGAAUGUUCAGAAAUAUCGGAAGGAUCGAAGAAAUAUGGAAGGAAAGACGAGGAAAAAACAACAGACCGGAGCAAGUUCAAGAAGGUAGAGAUCCCGAUCUUCAAUGGAAUAGACCCCGAUUCAUGGUUAUUUUUCGCGCCGAUCGUUAUUUCAAAUGCAAGAUACACAAGUUGACUGACUCAGAGAAGUUAAUGGUAGCGGUAAUCAGUUAUUAGGACCAGCUUUGGAUUGGUAUAGAUCAAUUGAUGAAUUGGAACAAUUCAAGAGUUGGGAAGAUUUGAAGCAAAGGUUGUUGUCCGAUUUCAGAGACGAUUCGGGAUGGAACACUCGUAGGCAGAUUCUUAAGGAUUAAGCAGGAAACGACAGUAGGGGAAUAUAGAAACAGUUUCGAUAAAUAUUUAGCUCCGGUAGCCUUCCUCCAGACCAUAGUAUUAGAAGAAACCUUUAUGAAUGGGCUAAGCCCAUGGCAUAAAUCCGAAGUUGAAACGCUGGAGCCCAUAGGUUUGGCCAAAGAUGAUGUAACUAGCCCUGAAAUUGAAAAUAGAGAGAUGGUUCGUCGAGAAUGUGGGCUUAGUAGUGUUUCGGGAAUGAAUCAACAAUUCAAGCAUAAUAACGUAAAGCAAACCUCGACAGUAAACACCCAAUCAGAAACCCACGGAAGGGAGCUGGCCAAUGAGAAACGAUUACGUUAAAAAGAGUGACGGCAGAUGAAAAGAGGAGGGAAGGUCCGACCAAGCGUCUUUCCAACGCUGAAUUUCAAGCACGGAGGGAAAACGGUCUGUGUUUUCAGUGUGAGGAGAAGUAUCACGAGCUGGACAUAGGCGUAAGGUGAAGGAACAGAAGGAAUUACGGAUGUUAGUAGUAAAGGAAAUGGGAGAAGAACUGGAAAUCAUUGAGGAUGAACACUUUGAUGUGGAAAACGGAGGCCCAGACCAUUGAAAUUGAAAAAGUGGAGAAUAUGAAUAUAGAGCUGUCCAUUAACUCAAUUGUGGGGUUAUCCAACCCUGGAACCAUGAAACUGAAAGGGAAGAUAAAAGAGACCAAAGUGGUAAUAAUCAUCGACAGUGGAGCCACCCACAGUUUUAUUGCAAAAAAUUUUGUAACCACCCUUAGCCUACCAAUGACAGAAAAACGUCCAACUAUGGAGUGAUUUUGGGGAUCAGGGGUUGCGGUCAAAAGGAAAAGGAAUCCGCAGUAAUGUUGAAGUGACGGUAGGAGAGUGGAAAAUUACAAACAACUUUUUACCCUUGGAAUUAGGGGUGGUUGCACUCAUUGGGCAUGACUGAAUUUGAUAUGAAAAAUUUGGUGAUGACAUUCCGACAUGGAGGAAGGAAGAUAGAGAUAAAGGGGGACCCUAGUGUCACCAAAACCCAAGUGAGCCUAAAGUCUAUAAUUAAGACAUGGGGAGCUGAUAAUCACGGUUAUUUGGUAGAAUGUCGGGCCAUGGAGGGAAGGCUAGCUGAGGAAGGCUUAGAGGAUGAAGAAGUGCCAGCCACUGUUGACAACAUGAUCUCUCCUCUGUUGAGCAAAUUUAAUGAUGUUUUUGAUUGGUUGGAAGAGCUGCCUUCGAAGAGGAACAUUGAGCACCAUAUACCCCUUCAGAAGGGGGUGGAUCCAGUUAAUGUCAGACCUUAUCGUUACGCACAUCGGCAAAAGGAGGAAAUUGAAAGACUAGUUGAUGAAAUGUUGAAGACAGGCAUCAUAUGACCGGGUACCAGUCUGUAUUCCAGCCCAGUCCUUCUCGUGAAAAAGAAAGAUGAUAGCUGGCAAUUUUGUGUAGAUUAUCGGGAGUUGAACAAUGUCACUAUCCCAGAUAAGUUCCCAAUUCCGGUCAUAGAUGAGUUAUUCAAUGAGCUGAAUGGGGCCAACAUGUUUUCGAAGAUUUAUUUAAAGGCGGGUUAUCACCAAAUCAGGAUGCAUCUGAGAGGUGUAGAGAAGACGGCCUUUCGAACACAUGAGGGACACUAUGAGUUCUUGGUCAUGCCGUUUGAGCUAACCAAUGCCCCCUCUACGUUCCAAGCAUUAAUGAACCACAUCUUUAAGCCUUAUAUGAGAAGAUUCGUAUUAGUGUUUUUCGAUGACAUUUUGGUGUACAACAGGGGAGUAGAAGAACAUGGACAGCAUCUGGAAGUAGUCUUGGAGAUCCUUCGAGAGAAUGAAUUGUAUGUGAAUUUAGCCAAAUGUUGCUUUGCCAAAAGUAGAAUAGGUUAUUUGGGGCAUUUCAUAUCCGAAAAGGGAGCUAAAGUUGAUCCAGAAAAAAUAAGGGCAAUUAGGGAAUGGUCGAUUCCCACUAGUGUGCGAGAAGUUCGAGGUUUCUUAGGACUCAAUUGAUACUAUAGGAAGUUUGGGCAGAAUUAUGGCAGUAUCGAAAGCCCUUUGACACAGCUUUUGAAGACAGGAACUCAUUGUUGGACUGAAGAAGCAAGUGCUGCCUUUGAGAAGUUGAAGAUGGCAAUGAUGAUUCUACCGACGUUAGCUAUGCUGGACUUUAAUCUACCACUCGAGAUAGAAACAUAUGUAUCUUGUUUUGGUGUGGGGCCGUUUUAGUACAAGCCAAGAGACAAAUAUCCUUCUUUAGUAAAACCUUAUGCAUGUGGGAUAGAGCGCGACUGGUUUAUGAAAGAGAAUUGAUAAUAGUAAGUGUUUUGCGGUGCAAAGGUGGAGACCAUAUUUGUUAGGGAAGAAAUUUACAGUGAAAACUGAUCAGAAGUCGCUCAAAUUUCGGCUAGAACAAAGGGUGAUUCAACCCUAAUACCAAAAAUGGAUAGCCAAUCUUUUGGGAUAUUUCAUUUGAGGUAGUCUGCAAUCCUGGGAUUGGAGAAUAAGGCAGCCGAUGCUCUAUCUAGAACACCCCGUAUAGUGCACUUAAAUCAAAUAUCAGCCCCAACACUACUCGAUUUAGUGGUGAGUCAAGAAGAGGAAAAGAGGGAUCAAUACCUACAGGAAAUCCAGAAGAAAAUAGAAAGAACAAAAAGUGAAAGUUCCAAACUUUUCAGUACAGCAAGGGGUAUUGAAAUACAAAGGAAGGUUGGUGAUGUCAAAAACAUCCGUUCUACUACCCACUAUUCAUGCAUACCUAUUCAUGAUUUUGUCUUUGGAGGACAUUCAGGGUUCCUAAGAACGUACAAGAGGAUGACCGGAGAGAUUUACUAGGAAGGAAUGAAGAAAAACAUAAAGAAAUACUAUGAAGAAUGUCUUGUAUGCCAAAGGAAUAAAACACUUGCAUUAUUACCUGCUGGAUUGCUGCUGCCACUUGAGAUUCCUAACACAGUGUGGUCGGAUAUUUCCAUGGAUUUUAUAGAUGGACUUCCAAAAUCAGCUGGAAAAGAAGUGAUUUUUGUGGUUGUAGAUUGUCUGAGUAAGUAUGCACAUUUUUACAGCUAUAAAUCAUUCUUACAUGGCCAGCUUCGUAGCAGAAGUUUUUGUUAAAGAAGUGGUGAGAUUGCACGGGUAUCCGCAGUAAGUUGUAUCGGAUCAAGACAAAAUCUUUAUUAGUCAUUUCUGGAAGGAAAUGUUCAAGUUAGUGGGAACUAAAAUAAAUAGAAGGAAAUGUUCAGGUUAGUGGGAACUAUGCCCAUAUACACCAAGUUCGAAUAUAGAACUUGCUUCUUACUGAAAAAAUAAUGAUUAUUGGGACUUGCUAUAAAGGGUAUCCAAUACUCGAAGUAAAUGAAUGAUUACAAAAUGAUUGUUUCCUCAGUUUGAAGAAGAACAACAAAAAAGAAAAGAAGGAUAAAAAAAAAAAAAAACAAACUUUCUUUUUGAAAUUCUAAAAGAAUCCAAAAAGACUUCAAAAGGUGCAACCAAGAAAGGAGGUCAAAGAAGGGCUCUGAUAGACCCCCCUAUCAUACGUCAAUAUAGUCGAAAAAAAAAGAGAGAGAUCACAAGGGAACACACAUGCGAAGAAGAAAAGAUUUAAAGGACUGUUAGAAGAAAAGAUUUAAAAAGCUUGUUGGGCGUCGGUUAGAUUUGAGGAGAUUUAGGAGGGUCGUUAGGUGUUGAUUAGAAUAAAUAAGGAUAGGGAGGAAAGAGGAGGGUAUGCUGAGUUUAGAAGAAAAUUGACUCAUGCUCUUCCUUGAGCGAUAGGAUAGCAGAGAGGGAAUUAGAUUGUUUUUCGAAUUGAGUCCUCCUCAAUUUGAGUGUUCUGAUAUUUUGAUUUUCCUUGUAACUCAUUCUUUGAUUGAAGCAAUAAAAGUUCUAAUUGGAUUUCCAAAAGAGUUCUAUCAAAUUGGUAUCAGAGACAGUUUUUUCUGACCAAGAGGAAAAUGAUGGUCCAAACACGAAUGAAGGAGAGAAUGGAGGCGCACGACCAGGAGAUGCAUUUGAUGAGAAGCGAGAUAAGCAAAAUUUCGACAAUGAAAGAAAUAUUAGCCACGAUCAGCGUACAGACAAAGAAGACUCACAAAAUGUUGAUAAUGUUCAUGGAAUCGAUUACCAGAGAGCAUAUCGUUAUGAGUGAGAAAAUGGCCGAGUCGAGUGUGCGAGAGACAGUAUCAACAAUAACGAAUAAGAAGGAAGGCUCGAUCGAAAAGGACCAUGAGCACGAAACAAAGGAUGGAAAGAUAGAAGGAGAAGACGGAGCGAACGAGCAUAAUAAGUUCAAGAAGGUUGAGAUGCCAGUUUUCAACACGGAAAAUACCCAAUUUUUGACCCUUUCGAGCAGAUAGAUAUUUUCAGAUACACAAAUUGACUGAUGCUGAGAAGGUCCUGGUUGCGACCAUUAGUUUUGAAGGCCCGACGCUGAACUAGUAUAGGGCGCAAGAAGCACACGACAAGUUUACCAGUUGGUCGAACCUCAAGGAGAGAAUACUCAUCCGUUUUCAAUCAGCAAAAGAGGGGUCCAUAUGCGGACAAUUUUUUAGGAUCGGAUAACAGACGACAGUAGAAGAAUAUCGAAACCAGUUAUAUAAGCUGAUGGAACCGUUAUCCGAUCUACAAGACAGAGUGGUGGAGGAAACAUUCAUGAACGGUUUACUGCCGUGGAUUAAAGCAGAAGUGGAUUUUUGUCGUCCGGUCGACGUGGCUCAAAUGGUGCACGCGGCUCAACUCGUAGAAAAUCGAGAGAUAAUUCACAAUGAGGCCAACCUUAAGGGGUACGCCCAAGGAAAAUAUCCGCCUCAAGGUUCUAGGCAAAAUACGAGUGCUGCGACGGUGAACGAUAGCGACAAUAAGAGAAAUACAUUAUUUUCGAUGAGAACGAUUACUCUGAGAACGACAUCCAGAGAAGUUAAGAGAGGGGCAGGCAAAGCGAUUGUUAGACGCGGAGUUUUCAAGUCAGGAAGGAAAAAGGACAUUGUUUUCCGUUGUAAUGAGAUAUAUUAUCAUGAUCAUCGAUGCAAAAACAGAGGGCAAAGAGAGUUGAGAAUGUACGUGGUCAGGGCGAAUGAUGAAGAAUUUGAAAUCAUAGAAGAAGUGGGAGAAAAUGAAUUGUUUGGAAAUCACAUAAGAAGAUCAUGUUGUCAUCGAACUGUCAAUUAAUUCGGUGGUGGGGCUGAACAAUCCGAGGACAAUGAAGGUGAGGGGGAAUAUCAGUGAGCGAGAAGUUUUCAUUUUCAUUGAUUGUGGAGCAACGCACAACUUCAUCUCCGAAAAGAUAGUAAAGGAGUUACAACUGGCCACGAAGGCAACGUCGCACUAUGGUGUAAUCUUGGGCUCGGGGGAGGCGAUAAAAGGUAAAGGAGUAUGUGAGGACGUGGAAAUCAAGUUGAACGGGUGGAAGGUGGUGGAAAAUUUGUUACCCUUAGAAUUGAGAGGGGUAGAUGUUGUGUUAGGAAUGCAGUAGUUGUAUUCAUUGGGCAUGACGGAAGUAGAUUGGAGGAACCUCACAAUGACUUUUGUGCAACAAGGAGAAAAGGUAGUGAUAAGAGGAGACCCAAGUUUGACCAAAUCCAGAGUGAGUCUCAAGAACAUGAUCAAAAGUGUGGAAGGAUUCGUGAUCGAGUGCCGAGCAAUGGAGAGAGUCUUUGAGCCACAGGAAGAUAACGGGAUUGAAGAAGUAUUAACUACUGAUGAAGCAGUAUCGGUCGUGUUGAAGAAUUUUGAAGAUGUUUCUAAUUGGCCGAAGACACUACCCCCGCAAAGAAAUAUUGAACAUCACAUUCAUUUGAAACAGGGCACUGAUCUGGUAAAUGUUCGACCCUAUAGAUACGCUUAUCAACAGAAAGCUGAGAUGGACAAACUUGUGGAUGAGAUGUUGACAGCGGGAAUUAUCCGUCCCAGCAACAGUCCAUAUCUAGUCCAGUUCUAUUGGUAAUGAAAAAAGAUGGCAGCUGGCGUUUUUGCGUAGACUACCAAGCGCUGAACAAUGUAACCAUUCCAGACAAAUUCCCUAUUCCGGUGGUUAAGGAGCUUUUCGAAUGAAUUAAAUGAAGCAAACUGGUUUUCAAAGAUUGAUUUGAAGGUGGGGUACCAUCAGAUCAAAAUGUGUGGAGAAGACAUCGAAAAAGCAGCAUUCCGAACACAUGAUGGACACUAUGAAUUUAUGGUUAUGCCAUUCGGCUUAACUAAUGCCACAUCCACUUUCCAAGCUCUGAUGAACUCAACAUUCAAACCAUUUUUGCAGAAGUUCAUAUUAGUGUUUUUCGACGACAUACUAAUCUACAGUGAGAACUUGGAACACCAUUUGAAGCACAUUGGGUUAGCAUUGGAAAUCCUGAGAAAGAAUGAGUUAUAUGCAAACAAGAAGAAGUGCAGCUUCGCACAAGAACGUAUUGAUUAUUUGGGUCAUAUCAUUUCAAGACAAGGAGUUGAAGUGGACCUUGAGAAAAUCAGAGCAAUCACGGAAUGGCCUAUACCCAGUAAUAUAAGAGAGGUACGGGGAUUCCUAGGCCUCACCUGUAACUAAAGAAAGUUCGUUCAGCACUAUGGCUCCAUUGCCGCACCAUUGAUUCAACUACUUAGGAAAGGGGGAUUCCAGUGGACUGAGGAGUCUAAGGAGGCAUUCCAACAACUACAAAAUGCGAUGAUGACCCUGCCCGUUUUGGCGUUGAAAAAAUUUCAAUGCCACAUUUGAAAUGGAAACCGAUGCAUCGGGAUAUGGGGUAGGAGUCGUACUCGUCCAAGCCAAGCGUCCCAUAGCAUACUUUAGUCAUACGUUAGCCUCAAGAGAUAGAGCCAAGCCUGUACAUAAAAGGGAAUUAAUGGCAGUGGUCUUGCAUGUGCAACGAUGGCGACCAUAUCUGUUGGGGAGAAAAUUUAUUGUGAAGACCGAUCAGAAAUCCUUGAAGUUCUUGUUAGAACAAAGAGUGAUACAGCUUCAGUAUCAGAAAUGGGUAGCGAAGCUAACGGGAUACUCAUUUGAGGUGGUCUACAAACUCAGCUUGGAGAAUAAAGCAGUAGACGCCUUGUCUUGGAUGCCUCCUACAAUUAACCUCGGUAGCAUAACAGCUCCUACAUUGGUUGACAUUCUGGUGACUAAAAAGGAAGUCAAAGCGUAUGAAAAAUUAAGCAAAAUAAUGGAAGAACUACAAGCAAUGGAAGAAGUAACAGAGGGUAAAUUCUCCAUCCGACAAGGUAUGUUAAGAUAUAAGGAUAAGUUUGUGUUGUCCAAAACAUCUACAUUGAUACCCACAAUCCUACAUACUUACCAUGAUUCGGUACUUGUGAGGAAUGUGUAAUAUGUCAGAAGAACAAGUCCCUAGUGUAACGAGCAUACUUGUCCAAGGUGUGUUUACCUAUGGCCGUAUGCUCCGAUUAGCCCCAAUUUACCUUGUCUUUAUGUCUUGCACGUAGCUUAGGUAGUUGCUUUCAAUUUCAAGUCGAUAUGCUUGGGUGUGACGUUUCGGCAUUUUCAUAUGUUAAAAAUGUACUAUAGGGGAGGCAUACCUGUUGAAUCCCUGCCCAAGCCUUGUCGUACUCUUUGCAGUCUAUGCUUUCUUAUUGCAAUUGACAGUCUUCAAUGCUUGUUUUAACAACGUUUUCAAUCAAUUUAAUCAUCUUUCAUGUUUUCUAAAACUAUUUUUCCAAGAACGUGAGGGGAGGUUGAAGUAUGUGUUAAAGUUGUCUGCGAUUUGCAGAUUUUGAUCGGCUGACUUGUUCGCCGAGCUAGAACAAGUGCCGCACAAUCGUUCACAAUCGUGUAUGGGUUUCGUAAGGGUUACACAGUAAAGGAAGAGUAAGAAUUUGAGUGGAGAAACUCCAAAUUGGGAUCAACACGUGGGCAACAACAUGGCUUCUCACCAACAUGAGAACUCAAAAGAGACAGCAGAUAUUCUAGAGAAGCCAAUGAACUCUUGGGAUGUGAAUCUGCACUUUCCUGCAAUAGUUUGAGUGUGAAUUAGUUCUCUGAAAACACCUGCAGAGGAUAAUCCACGGCAAAACAGAAUAACUAUAAAAAAACCACUUGCAAGUAGAAGAAAAAGGAAGUACAUUUAUACCUUCCCUGUCAAAGUGAUAUCCCUCAUCAACGGAUAUGCAUUUCUUUCCAGGAAGUAGCCAACAAUUUUACAAACCCAUGGGAGUUUAGGUUGUAAUAAGAAAACAAUUGUGUCCAACAAUAGAGUUGCAGGUGUGUUAGAGUUCACAGGUGCAGCCAAAAGUUGAUUCCUCAAUUGGUUUCUAUCAAGAACAACAUCAAGUAAGAAUAAUUCGGAGGAAAAAUAAAGGCAACUUAUCAUAUAUAUAAAUAUGAUUAGUCUGAAUUCGUUUGCGGAAGGUAAAAAAACCUUUAUGUCAAUUAUAUAUAUCUGAACAAAAUCUAAGAAAUAUAUCACUUUUCAACAAAAGAAAUAUAUCAUAUACAAUUAAAGGAUCAUAGCAUAGAAAGCCAACAAAAUCAACAAUGAUAGAUCAAACAUCUGUUUUUCCAUUCAAAACGUUAAAAAGGAUAAGUUUUUAAUAAGGAAUGUUGAAAUGGAAAAAACUAAUUACCUAUUAUGGUGUACAAUCUGGAUGCAAGCAUAUGCAAAUUUCUUAACUCUGUAAUCCACUAAGGCCUUGUUAAGUACAUAAUCCUUGCUAGCGAAAAUGCUCAACAUAUCCCCUAUAUAUGUAAGAGAGAGAAAGGUUAGAAAGUACUAACACUAAGAGAUAUGUGCUAUCAAUUAGAAACACUUUAAGAUGACAUUAUCAAUUAGAAAACCAAGUAUUAAGCAACAUAAGGGAAAAUAACAAACAAGGGCACCACAGUGGUUCAGAAACCAAUCAAUAUUUCCAUUUGUCACUUUUAUAAUAAUUUCCCAAGGGAAAAUCCUCAUAAUAAGCUUGAGUACCACCUAAUAACGUGUUCAAAUGUUACCAUAAGCAAAAAUGAGUGAUCCUAAAAUUCAUAUGACAAGGAAAGUCGUCAACUAGCAACCGCCAAAUAACAGUUAUAUGGCUAGAAUUAGUUUUCUCCAACUUCAAGAAAAUAAAACAUAUUAAAACAAAAGGAAUUAUGGUGCAAAAUAAUGAAUAUGCUGCAAAGGUAAGAAGUUUCUGAAGGUAAAAAUGGUCAAUAAAAAACAACAUAUAAUUUGACGUAAAUCAAAGUAGAAUUAUUUCUCGCAAUGAAUUCUCUGCCAAUAAUGGCUAAGAGAAGGGGUAUUUAUUGAGAAUUAGUUGGCCAGGCAGAAAUCAUCUAGGGCAUAGUAUUGUUUUAGGUCUGCGACAUUAAAAACAUAAUGAAUGUGUAAGUCUGGUGGUAGUUCUAUUUUGUAAGCAUUAUCUCCGAUCCUCUUUAGGACACGGAAUGGUCCUAAUUGUCUGUCUUUUAGUUUGUUGUAUGUUUCGGUUGGAAAUCGAUUUUUUCUUAGGUGAAUCAUUACUAAAUCUCCCUUGGUAAAGGUAGUUUGUCUUCUUUUUCUGUCUGUUGCGUCUUUGUAGGACUGAGUUGUUUCUUUUAGGUGAUUGUGGACUUCUUCGUGUAAAUUCUGGAUUUUUUCUAUCAUCUUUUCUGCCUCUGAUAGUUAGGGAACUCAACACAUUUUACUUGACCUAACCAAGAUGGCUCUUUGUAUGUAUAUUGCAUGUGUUGUUUGUUUUUUUCUAUAGCUCUUGAUUGUCUCACUUUUUUACGUUUUGCAUUUGCAAUUCUCUUUUCUUUCUUUGGUAUGCAAUGUGGUAACAAGGUCUUGCUAGAACCGGUGGGCUAACCUUUCUAUGGUUCUAAACUUAGUUUCUAAGUUUGACUGCUCCCUUCGGAGUGACAACAAGCCUCGUUUUUCUCCCUACUAUGGAACGGGGAGGAUUCAUUUUCUUUUCAAAGCCCUCGUCAAACUCAAUGCUAAGUUUGACUGCUCCCUUCGGAGUGACAACAAGCCUUGUUUUCCCCUAAUGUGGAUCGGGGAGGAUUCCUUCUCUUUUCAAAGCCCUCAUCAAACUCGAUGCUGUGUUUAGAACGCUAAGAGUAGGUGGUCUGGUUUUGGUUAGGCCAAAAGUGAAGUUUUCCCCCAUUUUUUAUGGGCUUUUUCUAAUGUAUAUUGGAUAUGUUGUUUGAUUUUUUUUAUAGCUCUUGAUUGUCUUACUGUUUUAUGUUUUGCAUUGUCAAGUCUCUGUUUUCUUUCUUUGGUAUGCAAUGUGGUAACUAGGUCUUGCUAGAACCGGUAGGCUAACCUUUCUAUGGUUCUACAUUUAGUUCCUAAUUAAGUUUGAUUGCUCCCUUCGGAGUGACAAUAAGUUUUGUUAAUGUCGACCCUUUUCUAAAGGGAUUUAGUUCACUGUGGCUAGGCAAGAGGUUUCUAACUCAUGUUUGACAAGACAAAUUUGUUAAAACCAUCUUAGUUUCUAAAGAGUGCCUCCUAUCCCUUUUUUACUCUAUCUAGGCUAGGUUUGGACUAAGUGCAUCAUAGGUAAGUCACGACAAAGCAACAAAGGAAGACAAAGCUAGAAAAGUAUUCAUGCACUUAUUUAUUAUACAUGCAAUCAAGCAUUCACAACAUACAUACCAUUUUCUCAAUCAUGCAUUCACACCUCAAUAAGAAAUAGCUAAAAGGAGCUUACAACAAAAAAGACAGCCGCUUAUUCUCAAAUUUCAGCACAUAUACUCAUCAAAAUUUAGAAUUUCACAUUGCAAACCCGAGCUCAGUGCUCAAGGGUUGCCAAUCAUGCUUUUUAUGCAAGAUCUAAUUAAGCUAAGAAGGUAUAAUGCUCAUUUUGUAUGGAAAGAAUUCUGAAAUUUUUUUUAAAUUUGGGCAAAAUUUGAACCCCGAAGUUUAGACUAAACAUGCAAGCUAAGCAAGCUAUUACCCACACCCACUCAAAAAAUUGCUUUGUCUGUCCUAAAAGCUUUUGAAAAUCAAAGUAAAUGGAGAAAAAUAAGGGGGAACUUUGGACUCCCCUAGAAGGAUCGACAUCCUUGACUUUGGUUUGAAGCUUGCAUGGAUAAACCUUUUCAUUCCUUUUUAAUUGAUUAUUCAUCCUUGUUCCUGAAAAUCAAAGGAAAUUCUCUCAAUUUUAUAUAUUACUAAAAUUAGGAUACAUAUAAGUCUUAACUAGUCUAAUAGCACCCUCCAUUCAUCUUCCCCUACACUGGCUAUGGUAUCAAAAUUUUCAAUUAAGUAAUACGUCUACUAACGAACUUGAAAACAAAACACAUCACACUAAAAAACACAAACAUCACUUUAACCCAACAGAAGCUGCUCUUUUUACCCUUGCACUCACUAUCACAUUACUAUCAUGUUUGUCAACUGUCAAACUAACUCUUUUAAGUUAUUUAGUGUGACUACAAAGUUAUGAACACCAUAAUCUUAAUUAAAACCUUUUAAUAAACAAAUGCCAAGUUACUACUCAACAAUGGCAAGGAAUUCAAAAAACAUGACUGUAACGACCCAACUUUUCUAGGUAAGUCGAAGUCAUUAAUUUCAAAUAAGGACCUGAGUUUACACAAAAUCUCAAUCUCAAACAAUUUCAAAGUCUCAAGAAAAACAAAAAUUUAUACCUGGGCCCGGUUUAAAAUAACCAGCACCUUCAAGACAAAUUUACUAAUUCGUGAAUACAGUUCAACUAUAAAAUUUUCUAAACAAUCUCAAGUACUAAACAAAACACGUGAAACAAAACAUUUAGCGGAAGCAAUUUAAAAUAACCCCUAUGGCAAUCACGCUUCCUUUCUGCCCCUCGUCGGUUUGCCGUCUUUAUUACCUUUGCCUGAAAAUUAAACAUAAGGAGGGUGAGUAUAAAAAUACCCAGUACGAGACCCUCUACUGGUCCCGUCAGGGGAAAAUAAAUUGUUAACAUUCUAUUGGGACACCCUGUACAGUCACAGUCUUGUGAUCCCGUAGGAGGCACAUUUCAGUCUAACGCCCCGAGGGACGUACAUUUCAGUCUAGUGUUCUGCAGAAACACAUAUCAGUCUAAUGCUCUUGAAGGUGCAGAAUAAUUGGUGAUCCGUGUGACACCUACAAGGCACACAUCCCAAUAAAAGCUAACAAUUUUUCCCCUCAGUCCAUUCUAAACAUCUUAACAGUCAUUCACAGAUCAGUUAAACAUUCUCAUCACGUAAACUCUUUAUUUAACCUCAAACAGUCGUCUUACUCUAGUUUAGUCCAAGGUCAAUAAAAAAACAUAUCAUUACAUCAGUUAACAAGCUAAACAAUCAUAACCUCCUCCUCAGUCACCAAGGGCACCACCAUGACGUUUCUUCCGUUCACAAGCACACAACAUAACAGUAGAUUAUACACUCAGUCUAGACAACAAUCAAUCUACUAAUCAAAUCCACACUUUAUAUAAGCAACAUCUACGAGAUUCAGUCGUUUCCACAUCCUUAUCUUUGUACACAUACAUAACUAGACAGUCACAACAUAUACUCAACCACAGUCUACAUCAAUCCAUGCACAUAUAUGUAUUAAUUUCUCCCAGUCAAACAUAGCAAACAUUAAACUUUAAGUCAAUGCCCAAACAUACAUCAUAACAGUCAUCUCUACUCAGUUCAAAUCAAUACAUCUUAAUUAGUCAUUAUAUAUUAAUUUUGUUGUUGAGUCUAGUAGAAAAUCCCUUACUUUCAAGUUAGUUAAGCUCCUUAACCACGUUGAAGUCUACGAAGAACGAACCUAAACAUUAAGACAAUUUCUCAAUAAUUCUCUUCAACGCAUCAAUCAUUUAAAUUCAACCCAAUGUGAUUUUUUUUUUACAACUUACCCAAAUCUUCACAAAACGAGUUCCAACUAGAAUCAAUUGUUUGCUGCGAACCCAAUGAAUUCGAGUGUUACCUUCAACCUAUAAUCGAACAGUAAACUAUUUAUCCAACCAAUUAAUCCAGCAAUAUUACUUGAGUUUAUUUUGGAAACAGUUACAAAUUUCAUAACUUCAAUCUUACCAAUCAAAAUUUAAUGACUCGUGGCAAAGCAGGAACGACAGCGAACAACCCAAUCGAAUGGCGUGGGUUUGCUACCUGCGGCAGGACGAAGAAGGAACUCGACGCGCAGAAAGUUGGAUCUGGGGUCUUUAGUUCGGUUCACGGUAGCGAAUUAAAACCUGAUUGCGCGGACGUCAAAGGUGUUAUUCGCGGAAGAAGUCGAGCAGCAGCUUUGCGAAGAGACGACGUGCGACGGAGAGACUGUAUACAGACGGACGGAGAGUCGCGCGGCAGUGCAGAAAACGGAGGAGAAAGGAAUGGGCGGCGGCUGGGCUUGGCUUCGACGGAGACAGAGGCGAUUAGGACGGGGCACGGCGACGCAGAUCUGGACGACGGCGCGGAGACAGAGGUUGCGCGGCGCUGGGCAGAGGGUCAAACGGCGCUGGGCGAAGGGUCACACGGCGCUGGGCGGAAGGUCACACGGCGGCCUUGCUUCGCGAACAGAGAUGGCGGCCGACGGUUGCAGCGGCGGCUGGGUAUGGUAGAAAAGAAAGAGAAACGGAAGAAGAAUAGGGGCGGCGACCGUGGAUCGGAGAAGAAAAGAAGGAUGAAAGCGAUGGUGGUCGGUUGGAGGGUGCGGCUGGAGGUAGGGAUCGGUGAAGGAGAAAAUAGAAAAAGAAAAUGAAGGGGAAAUGGGGGUUGCGCGCGGGAGGAAGAAGAAAGGAAAAAAAAUUCUUUUUUUUUUUUCUUUUCUUUUAUUUAAAUUAAAUAAUAAAACUAAAAUAUAAAUAAAUAUAUAUAUAAUUAUAUUAUCACAUUUUCAAAUCUUCUUUCUCCCCCUUCAUCAUAUUUUCUUCAAAAAAAUAAAUCUUGUACAAAUCGAAUAAUUUUCUUAAAAUAAAUUACCUUCGAGUUUGGGGCGUUACAAUGACAGCUAUAUUGUAACUUGGCACUUGGGGACUUUAAUGGUGUCAAUAUUGUAACUUCUGGUGCCAUGACAAAUAUUGGUGACUGUCAAGAUAAGUUCGCAUAGCCACCGAAAGAUACAUCGUUGCUUUUGAAGAAUGACAAGACUCUAAAUGAUAUAUGCAGCAUUAUUUUGGUUAUAUCCAAUCUUCUUUGAAGGCUAUGUACUUGAAGAUUUUAAUCAAUAAAUAAAAUGAAGUUUAAUUUUUAAAAUAAUAACAUUACAAUGGGAUGGCGAUUGGAAUUGAUUACUUUGGUUAAAAUUUAAGAUUAGAUUAAAAAAAUCAAUUAAUAGAUAAUUCCAUCCAAUCAAAAUAACUAAAUAAAAGACGAGAUUUGAAAAUAUAAUAUCCUAAUAGACACUAAUAGACUUAUAUUAAUAGAUAAUUUCCUGCCGAUGAAAAAUUACUAAAGUUGUACUAUAUUUUAUAAAUAUUUCAAAACAUUACAUAAACACUAAUUAAAGUUGGGUUUAGUAGCAAAAGGUUACAAAUUUAUUGACACCUUUUUUAGGAAAAAAAAUACCUUGACAUGAUGUAAACUAAAUUUGUAAUCAGCAUUGAAAUCUUUACUAUACUAAAUGGGCUCGUGGAGAAAAAAUUAUAUACAUCUAUUUUAUUCUUAAAUUGUCGAAAAAAAAUUAUAUUACCUUUUGUGAUCUAACGUAGUUGUGACUUUUAUAGUGUAAGUGUCCAUUUUAAUGUUUGGAAAGAUGAUUUUUCCAAUUUUUUAGUUUACAAAAUAAAGUUCUAUAUUUCAUAAAAUAAAACCUUAUGUUGAAUAUAUGUAACUAAUGUUGAUAGGAUGUGAUUGGUUGAUCUUCAAGAUACGAUGCAUUCUGUUUAGAGUGGAGAUGGUUGCACACACAUCAAAUUGGUGCAUUGAUUCCUCCAAAUUUACAUGUGAAAUGUAAAUGUAAAAGAAAAACAAAACAAACUCUUGCAGUUACACAUUAGGAAAAAAAAACGUCACGAAAUUCCAAAGUUCAAAAGAAAACAAACAUACACAGGGAUUUAAUUGAUUCAAAGUAGUAACAAAUGGUGAAAAAAUGCAUAAUUUGUUGUGAUUUCACAUUAACAUGUUAGAAUAAAAAAUUAUCGUAUUCUAUAUAUUACAAUAUUGGAUCAAAUAUUAAUACAUUAAUUUAAUUAUUUAAUUACUACAUCAAUGAAUUUCUUUUUCUUUUUUAAAUAAUAAUUUUACCAUUAAUAUUAUAUAAUAUUUGUUUAUUAUAUGCUAAAGCAUAUUUAAAAAUUAAAUAGAAUUAAGAGAUUUCACGUGAAUUUAUGCACAUGUUUCAACUGAAAAGAUGGAAACAAUAGUCACAAAUUAUUUUUUCCUAAAACAAAACAUUCGUAACCAAAUCUAAAUAUGCACUUUCAUAACUAAGGACCAAAACUCAUAUUACGUAGAAUUGAGCAUGGUUUAAAUGAAAUUAUUAACAAAAUACUUACACUUUAAACCAGGUUUUUUGGCAACAUACAUAGUGAGAAAAUUCCAAAUUUACCCUCUUACUUGUAUCUUUUCAAUAAAAAGUGCAUCUUAGUUGUAAUUAUGUCAAAAUAAAAAUAAAAAAAUAACUCGUCAGUUAACGUGGUUAUUCAUUAAUUGAUUUGGGUGAACUUUCUGAAGAUAAAAAUAACAAAAACAAACAAACAAAAGACUAGAACAUGUUAUUUAAUUAUGUAAUUACAACUUCCCUUUCUCCUCCGUGAGAAAAAAAACCAUUUCUCUAAAUUUCAUCUAUAUAUGUGUAUUGAUCAAAUGACCCAUAUCAAUAAGGACACAAAAUUGGCAAAGAACAAAUAAAUUAAAAUGGACAAUAACUCUUGUUUCAUUACUUUCUCUCUCAUUGGAGUUCUUUUGUUCACCAUCAUUUCAAAUGUGGCAUCAUCUAACGACGUUGUUUCUACCAUCUGUUCAGAAAUCUCAAAUCCACAAUUUUGUUUAAGUGUGUUGAAAUCUGCAGGCACUACAGAUCUAAAAGGCUUGGCUGUAUACACCUUAAACCUUGCUCAUUCAAAUGCUGGCAAAUCUUUGAUCCUAGCCAACUCACUAGCAAAAGCCACCACCAAUCCUCAACUUAAGCAACGAUAUUCAUUUUGUGCUGAGAGCUAUGAUGAAGUUGUUGGUGACAUUGAAAAUGCUCAAAACGACUUGGCACUUGGGGACUUUAUUGGUGUCAUUAUUGCAACUACUGGUGCCAUGACAACUCUUGGUGAUCACUGUCAGAAUAAGCUCUUGCAGCCGCCGAAGGAUACAUCGUUGCUUUUAAAGAAUAGCAACACUCUAGAUGAUAUAUUUAGCAUUAUUAUGGUUAUAUCCGAUCAUCUUUGAGGGUUAUGUACUUGAACAUUUUGAUCAAUAAAUAAACUGAAGUUUAAUUUUUAAAAUAAUAUUACAAUGUGAUGGUGAUUGGAAUUGAUUACUUACUUUGAUUAAACUUGAGAAGAUAAAGAAAAUCAAUUAAUAGAAACGUUCACCGACACACAUUGUCAGCACGUCGGAGAAAGCCUAAACUUUUUUUUCUUUUCUUUUACGUUCUGUUUUCUUUUCUUUGUUUGCCAUCAUCAUCGUCAUCUUCUUCUUCUUCUAGCUUCUUACGUUCUGUUUCAAUUGCAUACUUCUGUUAUUCUUGUAAUUUCUUCGUGGUUUUCUUUUUAACUUUGUGUUUCAGUGUGGAUUCAUAAACACAUUUUUCAGUGCUCUGGAUUCUGGAUCUGUUAUGAUUUGAAAGGGUACAGUGAAGUGAAAAGUUGAAAUGGAAAAGAAAAAAAAGAAGAAAAGAGGACACUUCUCGCGGUGGUGGCGGCAAAGACUGACGUCGACGACAACACAACUCUCCUCCUCUCCCUAUAUCUCGGCCGAUUUUGGGUUUAUUUUCGUUUUGCAUUCUGUUAUGUGUAGAAGGGAGAAUAAAUAGUGUGGACUUUCCCCGACAUCUUCGAAAACGUUGGGAAAUUUACCUUUUCGCCGACGUAUGUAGUACACACGUCGGAGAAAGUUUAAAUAAUAAAUUCAUUAUUUAAACUUUCCCCGACGUACUCCUGUCAUACGAGUCUAAAUUAAAUUUAAUGCGUUCUCCUUCGGCGAUGUGUGUCAAGGUGACGUUGGAAAAAGUUUAAACACUAAUGCAAUUAUUUUAAAUCACAUAUGUUAUCGCUUAUAUGGCAUAAGAGUCUAUUAACGAUAGAAAUCUAUCUUGAUAGGUUUUGCUACAUUUACAAUUUUUAAAAAAUAUUCUUAUAUACUUAACUAUUAUUCCUAAAAUUGCUAACCCAUUAUACUUACCCUAAGUUAAAUGUAUAAUGUCAAAAGUAAGUUUACUACGAAGGUAAUCUAUGUGACCCUUUUAUCCUAACGUAGGAAGUUUGUUCCACUCCAUACCAUUAUUGAACUAAAAGGAUUAAGUGUGUAUUAAUAUGUUUAAACAAGUAUAAUUAUAGCAAAAUCUAUAAGUGAUAUAUUGAUAUUAGCAAUACAAUACGCGUCACAUAUGCAAACAUUUUGUGUCUAAUCGUUGUAUUUACAAUUAACUCCAUUAAAAUAUUACAAAUAGAAAUAGAACUCUUUAAUCUAUGUUCAGUUAGGAUCACAAACUACAAAAUGAAAGCAUGGAACAAAUUUAAUUUUUUUUUUCUUUAAAGGAAAUUUUGUGUGUAGCACAUUAUAUUUUUUUCUUUCCUUUAAAAAACAUUAUUGAUCUUAUGAUAUUUGACAUAUAUUAUAUUUUUUUAAGAAUGUAAAUAAUGUAAAUAAUGUGCCAAAUAAUUGAAAACAUGUUAUCCAAAACAGAGAAUGGUUAAGAAAUUGUUGACAUUUAGUCAAAUUAAUAAAUAAUUCAAAAUUGUGUUUGAUUUUUGAAUUUGAAAAGAUAGUAAAUUAGAAGUGUUUUGAAAUAGUAUUUACGAGAAGAUUUUUAAUUUUAAAUAGCAUUAUAGUAGCUAUGGAUGGUUAUAUAAUAGUCUACACAAUCUUUGUCACAAAUGAUUAAUUCGAUUUUUUAAAUCAAGUCUAAUGUUUUUUUUUUUUUUUUUUGCCUAUUUCUUACCAUAAUUUACAUUUUUUGUAAGUAUAAUGGUUGAAUGCAAAAAGAGAGCUGACUAGUAAGUGCAAAAAGAGAUCUCACAAGCUUCUGCAAAAGCUAAUCAAGCAACCCAAAUCAUAAACGAGGAGAAAAGUUGAUUGGUUAAGCUUUGUUGUAGUAAAGAAGUCAAAGUGAACAUGGAACGUUCUUCACUCUCAAAGAACAUCGCCAACAUAUAGAUUAUAUACUUUUUCUGGUAUUGACCCAAAAAACACAAUCCAAGUGUAUUUUUGGUGAGAUGCAUAGUUUAACUAAACCGUGUUAUUACAAAAUUUUUAAUUACUAGGAACUCCUAAUGAAACGAAUACAUUAUUUUUAUAAUUACGAGGUAAAAUGGAAACAUACAAACUACUAAAAAAAGUUGCAAUUCGAUUAUUGGGAUUCAAUCUACUCUCCAUGAAUGUUCUUGAAAUGAGAGUUUUUAAGCAGCUACAACUUGCUUAUGUAUAAAAGCAAAACCCUUCUCAACGCCUACCUUCAGUUUUGGCUUUAGAGCUUCAAGUGAUUUUUGCCCCUACUCAGAUAAACCCUGAAGAUCAGAUGUUACAAAGGCUUCAAUUCCACAUGCAAAAAUCAUGUUCAUGAACCAAAAGCACCUUAAGCUUCUCUUCGAUAUCUUUGAGCUCACUGGAUAAAGAACUGAUUUCUAAAGCAAUCAUCUCUACCAUAUCCUCAUCGUUCCCACUGUCUUUUAAUAAGGUUGGCAUGAUAAUCACAACAAAGAAGAAGAAACUAAGAUCAAUUUAACAAAUUUUAUGUUGGGAAACUUUUUUAAGAACAACUACUUAUAAACCAACCUUAGCUUUGGCCUCACAUUCCUUGAAUUUUCUAAAAGUAGAUACCACCUGUCCGGGCAACCCACACCAACCAACCAAGAGUAAGUUAGUGUGAAAGACACUUAUUUAAUGAAGAAUAUGUAAAAGAGGUCAUUCCAACUGUUACACAUAAUAGUAUUGGAGGCAGAUAACCUUGCCAUACCUCAUCAAGUUCUGAUAUUGAUUGAGCUAGUUUUUGAUACUCUGUGGGGUUUGAGACAAUAUCUGGAUUGACCAGCUUAACCUAAAUAAUAAUAUCGAUAGUGAUUAUUGUGUAGGAAAAUAUUAAAGCUAUAACCAAAUCAAAAGCAUAAUUGGAAAUACAUCAAAGAUGUAAAUGCAAAUUUCAAAAGUGGAUCUACAGAAUGUAAGGGGAAGAAACUCAAAUAAAAUUACUUUAUUAGUUAUACGACUACUAUAGAGAUUCCAGAUACACCACAGUUCCACGUCCUCUUUCAGGAGGAAAGCAAUGGUUAAAAAUUAAUUGUGAAAACUAAAGAAGGUCCUGUUCAAAUCCUAACAGCAAUAGGAAAGCAAGGAGUUAUAAGGUGAUCACUAUAGCCAAAUCCAAAAUGCAUUCAAUAUUUGUCUUCCAAUUUCAUUAUCAAGUGCAUAGGCAAGGUCCCUAGUGAGGAAGUUAUUCGUUCUUUUCUUCAUUUUCUAUAGCUCUAGAAGUAGCUAAAUGGAAUCGUCAAGCACCUAAUCUAUUAAUUUUAAAACUCAAAAGUUCACCGCGGGAUUCUAGUCACUGCUGAAACAACAUAGAGUUCACUAGUUCCACAGUUAAAUUAAUUGCAAAUUGCAUUUCCUGGCAUUUUCAAGAAAAAAAAAAUGCACAAAUCAUAAUAUGAUGAAGUAGAAAAAUUUUGUGAGCUCGACUUUUCCAGGACAUAUCUUAGCUACUUCUCCUAUUCCAGCUCGAUAACCAUUGUACUUUAACAAUUGAAACAUUAAUCCAAUAGUUAACAAUGUUCUGCACUUUAUGCCCUUACAUUUCCAACAACUUGAUGCAUACAUCAGUAGUUAACACAGGCACGAGCUCUUAAAUUCAAUGCAAAAUAACAGUCCCAUUCCAAGCAUAGACACCAAAUACAAACAAUUGAUGGACUUGAAUCAGUGAAGAAAUAAGAAUGUCAUUUAACAGCAAAGCACAAAUUACCGAUAAUUUUUUCCACGUCUUCUCAGCAGAUUCCAAUUUCACGAUCAAAUAAGGUUCCUAAAAUAAAGCAAUCACCAUCAUCAUUUUCCACAAAUAUGAUUCGAACUAGUUUUACCACAAAUUAAUUUCUAGUAACUUGAAGAAAAACUCAGUGAACUCAAAGCAUAACGAAACUCAAGUUCUGUUAAAGCCAAUCCGAACAAUAAGAUAUAGACAUAUUGUGUUCUCGAAAGAAAAACAUUCAAUAAAUCUAACAGCCAUGCAAAUUAGAGUUGAAGCUCUAAAGGGAGGUGCAAAGCAUUUAAGUUCCAGAGAGCAUCUUCUGAAGGCGAUGAGCCCAUAAGAUGAAAAAAAGGCCUCAAGUGAGGAAGAAAGACGCCAUCCAAACAUGAAAAAAGGAAGAAAGGCAAGAUUUUGGUAGCUCCAGACCUGAGGGAAGCCAACAAGGUGGCGAGGGAGGCAAGGCCCCAAAGUUUAGCAUUGCCAGCAAAGUGAAGGUAGAGAAGGACCUUUCCUUUCGACGUGGCCCUCCGAGAGUUUAUGGACGCCCCAAUUGGGGCGUUUGGAUGGAGUAAGUUCUUCAAGGGACUUCCAAGAUUCGAUGGAGGUUGUCAAGAAAUUCUACGCAUCAGAUUACAACCACUACAAGGAAUUUCAGAUCAACCAACACAAUUUAACACUAUUGGGAGAAUCCACGAAUUCUUGGUCAAGUAGAAGAACCUCCAUGUGGAAGAAACAAAUUGUGAACGUGUCGAAGACCUUGAAGUGUGGAAAUGGAAGAUCAAAGAGUUCCAGCUUCGCCAGUCGACAGGGACGUCAACUGUUUAAGUAGGGGAGAAUGUCAAGAGCAUGCUUGUCCAAGGCAUUGUUUGCCCAUGGCCGCAUGGCCGAACAUCCUCAAACCGCCUUAUAUUUAUGUCUUAUACUUAGUUUAGCCAUUUUGUUUCCUUUUGUUGUCGCCGACCUAGGGUGUGACGUUUCAAAAUUUUCAUAUGCAAGUCUGUCAUAGCUAAAAAUGUUUAAAAUGUACUAUAGGGAAGACAUAGUAGUUGAAUCCCUGACCAAGCCUUGUUGCACUCUUUGCAUUCUAAUCUUUCUUUGCAAUUAACAGUCUUCAAUGCUUUCUUUAACGAUGUUUUCAAUUCUUUUCUUCUCUUCUUGUCUUAUAAAAAUAAAUUUCUCUCAAAACAUGAAAGAGGCUAUACCGUACUGCGUGCUUUUUGCGACUUCUGGAUUUCAUACAGCUUACUUGUUCACCGAGCUAGAACAAACGUCGCAUAAUCACCAUCCCCUAUUUGAAAAUUUACGAUUAUGACAGCAUGCGGUGAGGUGCACGCGGCAUGUGUGGGCCCAAGCCAAGCAUGCAACUGGCAUUCUGAUACUCUAUGCACGUGCAUGCUGCCUGCGCCCAUGCCGUGCAGCCAGCAUUGUCAUGACGUAGUUUUUGGGAUGUUUGGUGUUUUGGGAAAUUUUGAGCAAAUUCUGGAUGUUCGAGCAUGCGGAUGUUCUAUGCAAUGCAACCAGCAGCCCAUAUGUUCUAUGUUCUCUUUACGGUCGUAUGUGCACAUUUGGUUAACUCUACUACUAAUGGGAAAGUUGACGAGCCUAUGCUGAAUUCAUCAGGAAAGGUGUACUUUGUUGAGCCCAUUGAGGAGAAGGAUACCUUCUUUUUUCGAAGAGGUGUUUCAAUGCCUAGGCCGUCUUUUGACAAUGAGGUGUUAAUAUUACCUAGACUUCAUGCUAAGAACGGGUUGUGAAUUUAUAAUCAAGAAUGCAGUUCGAGUAUCAUGUCUUUCAAAUGAUUUCCAACAGCUUGAAUGUUUCUAUAAGACAAGAAUUUAUGCUUAACUGUUUUAGAAAGCAUGUUUUAUAAAAAUUGUCACUCACUAAGUCUUUCGACUUAUCCUUUCAAAUCAUUUCUCACUUUUCAGGUAUGGAUUAUGCAUUCCCUAAUGUUAAGCGUAUUGCUGCUGAGCCAACCAGUUACUAGAAAUUGUUAAGUCAUUUUGAAAGUUAGUUUUGACUUUGUAAGAAAAGUUCAGGAUGAGCAUGUCUAUGUUUAUUGUUAAAGUUCCAAUGUUAUAAGUUAGUUUAGUAAAAAGGUCACUGUCAUGUUUAAAGCUUCUGCUGAUGUAUCACAAUAGUUGUAACUAGUGGUUUAAGUUAUUAGUAAAAGCAUGUAGCUUGUAUCGCUGUUUGUUUUGAGCAUGCAUUCAUGUUGUAACUGGUAGUUAAGUUAGAAAGGUUAGUCGGUUGGUAAGUUUUGCCAAGGUAUGGCAAUCCUUGCCAACCCUCGCACCUUCUUUCAGAGCUAGAUGUUGUUCAGAAAAUAAGGAGCUUUGGGAGGGGGUGGUGACAACAACACCAUCCCACUAGAGUACGCAAUGAUGCAUUAUUGUUUAAUUAAGUCAUAUAUACUUCCACAAUUUGGAUAGGAAUUUAACUCAUUAGAAGGUGUCCUAUAGAAUUUCUCAGUGAAAAGUUCAGAGAAGCUACAAACAAAUGUCACUACCGAACAACAAUCAUAUACAUGGGUUAGGGCUUUGAGCAGUGUGAACACAACUUAAUAAUAAAUAUGAAGUCGUCCUCUUUUCAUCAUUAGUCAGAAGAAUUCUUAAACUUUCUAAAAAUAAUUGUCAAAUAAUUGAUUAUAUAGUAUGCCAUUUAUUUGGAAUACAAUUUUUUCAUUACCAGGAAAGGAGACUUCUCACUAAGUAAAUGUAAAGAGACUAAUGCUAUAAUUUGAAUUGGAAAAUAUAAUUUCAUAAUUAAGCAUCGAAUAGGGACUAGUUAAGAAGUACACACUUUAGUUUGCCAGAGUCCAUGUUCUACACAUGUUAGCCACUCUGUCAUUGGUUUAGCAGUAAAACAAAGGAUGUGUUUAGGAUGUGAGCCACACAAAAGGGAAAGAAAACAGAAGGCGCAGUGAGCCACACAAAAGGGAUCGAAACGAAUGUUCAGAAAUAUCGGAAGGAUCGAAGAAAUAUGGAAGGAAAGACGAGGAAAAAACAACAGACCGGAGCAAGUUCAAGAAGGUAGAGAUCCCGAUCUUCAAUGGAAUAGACCCCGAUUCAUGGUUAUUUCGCGCCGAUCGUUAUUUCAAGAUACACAAGUUGACUGACUCAGAGAAGUUAAUGGUAGCGGUAAUCAGUUAUUAGGACCAGCUUUGGAUUGGUAUAGAUCAAUUGAUGAAUUGGAACAAUUCAAGAGUUGGGAAGAUUUGAAGCAAAGGUUGUUGUCCGAUUUCAGACGAUUCGGGAUGGAACACUCGUAGGCAGAUUCUUAAGGAUUAAGCAGGAAACGACAGUAGGGGAAUAUAGAAACAGUUUCGAUAAAUAUUUAGCUCCGGUAGCCUUCCUCCAGACCAUAGUAUUAGAAGAAACCUUUAUGAAUGGGCUAAGCCCAUGGCAUAAAUCCGAAGUUGAAACGCUGGAGCCCAUAGGUUUGGCCAAGAUGAUGUAACUAGCCCUGAAAUUGAAAAUAGAGAGAUGGUUCGUCGAGAAUGUGGGCUUAGUAGUGUUUCGGGAAUGAAUCAACAAUUCAAGCAUAAUAACGUAAAGCAAACCUCGACAGUAACACCCAAUCAGAAACCCACGGAAGGGAGCUGGCCAAUGAGAACGAUUACGUUAAAAAGAGUGACGGCAGAUGAAAAGAGGAGGGAAGGUCCGACCAAGCGUCUUUCCAACGCUGAAUUUCAAGCACGGAGGGAAAACGGUCUGUGUUUUCAGUGUGAGGAGAAGUAUCACGCUGGACAUAGGCGUAAGGUGAAGGAACAGAAGGAAUUACGGAUGUUAGUAGUAAAGGAAAUGGGAGAAGAACUGGAAAUCAUUGAGGAUGAACACUUUGAUGUGGAAACGGAGGCCCAGACCAUUGAAAUUGAAAAAGUGGAGAAUAUGAAUAUAGAGCUGUCCAUUAACUCAAUUGUGGGGUUAUCCAACCCUGGAACCAUGAAACUGAAAGGGAAGAUAAAAGAGACCAAAGUGGUAAUAAUCAUCGACAGUGGAGCCACCCACAGUUUUAUUGCAAAAAAUUUUGUAACCACCCUUAGCCUACCAAUGACAGAAACGUCCAACUAUGGAGUGAUUUUGGGAUCAGGGGUUGCGGUCAAAGGAAAAGGAAUCCGCAGUAAUGUUGAAGUGACGGUAGGAGAGUGGAAAAUUACAAACAACUUUUUACCCUUGGAAUUAGGGGUGGUUGCACUCAUUGGGCAUGACUGAAUUUGAUAUGAAAAAUUUGGUGAUGACAUUCCGACAUGGAGGAAGGAAGAUAGAGAUAAAGGGGGACCCUAGUGUCACCAAAACCCAAGUGAGCCUAAAGUCUAUAAUUAAGACAUGGGGAGCUGAUAAUCACGGUUAUUUGGUAGAAUGUCGGGCCAUGGAGGGAAGGCUAGCUGAGGAAGGCUUAGAGGAUGAAGAAGUGCCAGCCACUGUUGACAACAUGAUCUCUCCUCUGUUGAGCAAAUUUAAUGAUGUUUUUGAUUGGUUGGAAGAGCUGCCUUCGAAGAGGAACAUUGAGCACCAUAUACCCCUUCAGAAGGGGGUGGAUCCAGUUAAUGUCAGACCUUAUCGUUACGCACAUCGGCAAAAGGAGGAAAUUGAAAGACUAGUUGAUGAAAUGUUGAAGACAGGCAUCAUAUGACCGGGUACCAGUCUGUAUUCCAGCCCAGUCCUUCUCGUGAAAAAGAAAGAUGAUAGCUGGCAAUUUUGUGUAGAUUAUCGGGAGUUGAACAAUGUCACUAUCCCAGAUAAGUUCCCAAUUCCGGUCAUAGAUGAGUUAUUCAAUGAGCUGAAUGGGGCCAACAUGUUUUCGAAGAUUUAUUUAAAGGCGGGUUAUCACCAAAUCAGGAUGCAUCUGAGAGGUGUAGAGAAGACGGCCUUUCGAACACAAUGAGGGACACUAUGAGAUUCUUGGUCAUGCCCGUUUGAGCUAACCAAUGCCCCCUCUACGUUCCAAGCAUUAAUGAACCACAUCUUUAAGCCUUAUAUGAGAAAGAUUCGUAUUAGUGUUUUUCGAUGACAUUUUGGUGUACAACAGGGGAGUAGAAGAACAUGGACAGCAUCUGGAAGUAGUCUUGGAGAUCCUUCGAGAGAAUGAAUUGUAUGUGAAUUUAGCCAAAUGUUGCUUUGCCAAAAGUAGAAUAGGUUAUUUGGGGCAUUUCAUAUCCGAAAAGGGAGCUAAAGUUGAUCCAGAAAAAAUAAGGGCAAUUAGGGGAAUGGUCGAUUCCCACUAGUGUGCGAGAAGUUCGAGGUUUCUUAGGACUCAAUUGAUACUAUAGGAAGUUUGGGCAGAAUUAUGGCAGUAUCGAAAGCCCUUUGACACAGCUUUUGAAGACAGGAACUCAUUGUUGGACUGAAGAAGCAAGUGCUGCCUUUGAGAAGUUGAAGAUGGCAAUGAUGAUUCUACCGACGUUAGCUAUGCUGGACUUUAAUCUACCACUCGAGAUAGAAACAUAUGUAUCUUGUUUUGGUGUGGGGCCGUUUUAGUACAAGCCAAGAGACAAAUAUCCUUCUUUAGUAAAACCUUAUGCAUGUGGGAUAGAGCGCGACUGGUUUAUGAAAGAGAAUUGAUAAUAGUAGUGUUUGCGGUGCAAAGGUGGAGACCAUAUUUGUUAGGGAAGAAAUUUACAGUGAAAACUGAUCAGAAGUCGCUCAAAUUUCGGCUAGAACAAAGGGUGAUUCAACCCUAAUACCAAAAAUGGAUAGCCAAUCUUUUGGGAUAUUCAUUUGAGGUAGUCUGCAAUCCUGGAUUGGAGAAUAAGGCAGCCGAUGCUCUAUCUAGAACACCCCGUAUAGUGCACUUAAAUCAAAUAUCAGCCCCAACACUACUCGAUUUAGUGGUGAGUCAAGAAGAGGAAAAGAGGGAUCAAUACCUACAGGAAAUCCAGAAGAAAAUAGAAAGAACAAAAAGUGAAAGUUCCAAACUUUUCAGUACAGCAAGGGGUAUUGAAAUACAAAGGAAGGUUGGUGCUGUCAAAAACAUCCGUUCUACUACCCACUAUCAUGCAUACCUAUCAUGAUUUUGUCUUUGGAGGACAUUCAGGGUUCCUAAGAACGUACAAGAGGAUGACCGGAGAGAUUUACUAGGAAGGAAUGAAGAAAAACAUAAAGAAAUACUAUGAAGAAUGUCUUGUAUGCCAAAGGAAUAAAACACUUGCAUUAUUACCUGCUGGAUUGCUGCUGCGCACUUGAGAUUCCUAACACAGUGUGGUCGGAUAUUUCCAUGGAUUUUAUAGAUGGACUUCCAAAAUCAGCUGGAAAAGAAGUGAUUUUUGUGGUUGUAGAUUGUCUGAGUAAGUAUGCACAUUUUACAGCUAUAAAUCAUUCUUACAUGGCCAGCUUCGUAGCAGAAGUUUUUGUUAAAGAAGUGGUGAGAUUGCACGGUAGCAUGUAUCCGCAGUAAGUUGUAUCGGAUCAAGACAAAAUCUUUAUUAGUCAUUUCUGGAAGGAAAUGUUCAAGUUAGUGGGAACUAAAAUAAAUAGAAGGAAAUGUUCAGGUUAGUGGGAACUAUGCCCAUAUACACCAAGUUCGAAUAUAGAACUUGCUUCUUACUGAAAAAAUAAUGAUUAUGGGACUUGCUAUAAGGGUAUCCAAUACUCGAAGUAAAUGAAUGAUUACAAAAUGAUUGUUUCCUCAGUUUGAAGAAGAACAACAAAAAAGAAAAGAAGGAUAAAAAUAAAAAAAAAAACAAACUUUCUUUUUGAAAUUCUAAAAGAAUCCAAAAAGACUUCAAAAGGUGCAACCAAGAAAGGAGGUCAAAGAAGGGCUCUGAUAGACCCCCCUAUCAUACGUCAAUAUAGUCAAAAAAAAAAAGAGAGAGAUCACAAGGGAACACACAUGCGAAGAAGAAAAGAUUUAAAGGAUUGUUAGAAGAAAAGAUUUAAAAAGCUUGUUGGGCGUCGGUUAGAUUUGAGGAGAUUUAGGAGGGUCGUUAGGUGUUGAUUAGAAUAAAUAAGGAUAGGGAGGAAAGAGGAGGGUAUGCUGAGUUUAGAAGAAAAUUGACUCAUGCUCUUCCUUGAGCGAUAGGAUAGCAGAGAGGGAAUUAGAUUGUUUUUCGAAUUGAGUCCUCCUCAAUUUGAGUGUUCUGAUAUUUUGAUUUUCCUUGUAACUCAUUCUUUGAUUGAAGCAAUAAAAGUUCUAAUUGGAUUUCCAAAAGAGUUCUAUCAAAUUGGUAUCAGAGACAGUUUUUUCUGACCAAGAGGAAAAUGAUGGUCCAAACACGAAUGAAGGAGAGAAUGGAGGCGCACGACCAGGAGAUGCAUUUGAUGAGAAGCGAGAUAAGCAAAAUUUCGACAAUGAAAGAAAUAUUAGCCACGAUCAGCGUACAGACAAAGAAGACUCACAAAAUGUUGAUAAUGUUCAUGGAAUCGAUUACCAGAGAGCAUAUCGUUAUGAGUGAGAAAAUGGCCGAGUCGAGUGUGCGAGAGACAGUAUCAACAAUAACGAAUAAGAAGGAAGGCUCGAUCGAAAAGGACCAUGAGCACGAAACAAAGGAUGGAAAGAUAGAAGGAGAAGACGGAGCGAACGAGCAUAAUAAGUUCAAGAAGGUUGAGAUGCCAGUUUUCAACACGGAAGAUCCCAAUUUUUGACCCUUUCGAGCAGAUAGAUAUUUUCAGAUACACAAAUUGACUGAUGCUGAGAAGGUCCUGGUUGCGACCAUUAGUUUUGAAGGCCCGACGCUGAACUAGUAUAGGGCGCAAGAAGAACACGACAAGUUUACCAGUUGGUCGAACCUCAAGGAGAGAAUACUCAUCCGUUUUCAAUCAGCAAAAGAGGGGUCCAUAUGCGGACAAUUUUUUAGGAUCGGAUAACAGACGACAGUAGAAGAAUAUCGAAACCAGUUAUAUAAGCUGAUGGAACCGUUAUCCGAUCUACAAGACAGAGUGGUGGAGGAAACAUUCAUGAACGGUUUACUGCCGUGGAUUAAAGCAGAAGUGGAUUUUUGUCGUCCGGUCGACGUGGCUCAAAUGGUGCACGCGGCUCAACUCGUAGAAAAUCGAGAGAUAAUUCACAAUGAGGCCAACCUUAAGGGGUACGCCCAAGGAAAAUAUCCGCCUCAAGGUUCUAGGCAAAAUACGAGUGCUGCGACGGUGAACGAUAGCGACAAUAAGAGAAAUACAUUAUUUUCGAUGAGAACGAUUACUCUGAGAACGACAUCCAGAGAAGUUAAGAGAGGGGCAGGCAAAGCGAUUGUUAGACGCGGAGUUUCAAGUCAGGAAGGAAAAAGGACAUUGUUUCCGUUGUAAUGAGAUAUAUUAUCAUGAUCAUCGAUGCAAAAACAGAGGGCAAAGAGAGUUGAGAAUGUACGUGGUCAGGGCGAAUGAUGAAGAAUUUGAAAUCAUAGAAGAAGUGGGAGAAAAUGAAUUGUUUGGAAAUCACAUAAGAAGAUCAUGUUGUCAUCGAACUGUCAAUUAAUUCGGUGGUGGGGCUGAACAAUCCGAGGACAAUGAAGGUGAGGGGGAAUAUCAGUGAGCGAGAAGUUUUCAUUUUCAUUGAUUGUGGAGCAACGCACAACUUCAUCUCCGAAAAGAUAGUAAAGGAGUUACAACUGGCCACGAAGGCAACGUCGCACUAUGGUGUAAUCUUGGGCUCGGGGGAGGCGAUAAAAGGUAAAGGAGUAUGUGAGGACGUGGAAAUCAAGUUGAACGGGUGGAAGGUGGUGGAAAAUUUGUUACCCUUAGAAUUGAGAGGGGUAGAUGUUGUGUUAGGAAUGCAGUAGUUGUAUUCAUUGGGCAUGACGGAAGUAGAUUGGAGGAACCUCACAAUGACUUUUGUGCAACAAGGAGAAAAGGUAGUGAUAAGAGGAGACCCAAGUUUGACCAAAUCCAGAGUGAGUCUCAAGAACAUGAUCAAAAGGUGGAAGGAUUCGUGAUCGAGUGCCGAGCAAUGGAGAGAGUCUUUGAGCCACAGGAAGAUAACGGGAUUGAAGAAGUAUUAACUACUGAUGAAGCAGUAUCGGUCGUGUUGAAGAAUUUUGAAGAUGUUUCUAAUUGGCCGAAGACACUACCCCCGCAAAGAAAUAUUGAACAUCACAUUCAUUUGAAACAGGGCACUGAUCUGGUAAAUGUUCGACCCUAUAGAUACGCUUAUCAACAGAAAGCUGAGAUGGACAAACUUGUGGAUGAGAUGUUGACAGCUGGAAUUAUCCGUCCCAGCAACAGUCCAUAUCUAGUCCAGUUCUAUUGGUAAUGAAAAAAGAUGGCAGCUGGCGUUUUUGCGUAGACUACCAAGCGCUGAACAAUGUAACCAUUCCAGACAAAUUCCCUAUUCCGGUGGUUAAGGAGCUUUUCGAUGAAUUAAAUGAAGCAAACUGGUUUUCAAAGAUUGAUUUGAAGGUGGGGUACCAUCAGAUCAAAAUGUGUGGAGAAGACAUCGAAAAAGCAGCAUUCCGAACACAUGAUGGACACUAUGAAUUUAUGGUUAUGCCAUUCGGCUUAACUAAUGCCACAUCCACUUUCCAAGCUCUGAUGAACUCAACAUUCAAACCAUUUUUGCAGAAGUUCAUAUUAGUGUUUUUCGACGACAUACUAAUCUACAGUGAGAACUUGGAACACCAUUUGAAGCACAUUGGGUUAGCAUUGGAAAUCCUGAGAAAGAAUGAGUUAUAUGCAAACAAGAAGAAGUGCAGCUUCGCACAAGAACGUAUUGAUUAUUUGGGUCAUAUCAUUUCAAGACAAGGAGUUGAAGUGGACCUUGAGAAAAUCAGAGCAAUCACGGAAUGGCCUAUACCCAGUAAUAUAAGAGAGGUACGGGGAUUCCUAGGCCUCACCUGUAACUAAAGAAAGUUCGUUCAGCACUAUGGCUCCAUUGCCGCACCAUUGAUUCAACUACUUAGGAAAGGGGGAUUCCAGUGGACUGAGGAGUCUAAGGAGGCAUUCCAACAACUACAAAAUGCGAUGAUGACCCUGCCCGUUUUGGCGUUGAAAAAAUUUCAAUGCCACAUUUGAAAUGGAAACCGAUGCAUCGGGAUAUGGGGUAGGAGUCGUACUCGUCCAAGCCAAGCGUCCCAUAGCAUACUUUAGUCAUACGUUAGCCUCAAGAGAUAGAGCCAAGCCUGUACAUAAAAGGGAAUUAAUGGCAGUGGUCUUGCAUGUGCAACGAUGGCGACCAUAUCUGUUGGGGAGAAAAUUUAUUGUGAAGACCGAUCAGAAAUCCUUGAAGUUCUUGUUAGAACAAAGAGUGAUACAGCUUCAGUAUCAGAAAUGGGUAGCGAAGCUAACGGGAUACUCAUUUGAGGUGGUCUACAAACUCAGCUUGGAGAAUAAAGCAGUAGACGCCUUGUCUUGGAUGCCUCCUACAAUUAACCUCGGUAGCAUAACAGCUCCUACAUUGGUUGACAUUCUGGUGACUAAAAAGGAAGUCAAAGCGUAUGAAAAAUUAAGCAAAAUAAUGGAAGAACUACAAGCAAUGGAAGAAGUAACAGAGGGUAAAUUCUCCAUCCGACAAGGUAUGUUAAGAUAUAAGGAUAAGUUUGUGUUGUCCAAAACAUCUACAUUGAUACCCACAAUCCUACAUACUUACCAUGAUUUGGUACUUGUGAGGAAUGUGUAAUAUGUCAGAAGAACAAGUCCCUAGUGUAACGAGCAUACUUGUCCAAGGUGUGUUUACCUAUGGCCGUAUGCUCCGAUUAGCCCCAAUUUACCUUGUCUUUAUGUCUUGCACGUAGCUUAGGUAGUUGCUUUCAAUUUCAAGUCGAUAUGCUUGGGUGUGACGUUUCGGCAUUUUCAUAUGUUAAAAAUGUACUAUAGGGGAGGCAUACCUGUUGAAUCCCUGCCCAAGCCUUGUCGUACUCUUUGCAGUCUAUGCUUUCUUAUUGCAAUUGACAGUCUUCAAUGCUUGUUUUAACAACGUUUUCAAUCAAUUUAAUCAUCUUUCAUGUUUUCUAAAACUAUUUUUCCAAGAACGUGAGGGGAGGUUGAAGUAUGUGUUAAAGUUGUCUGCGAUUUGCAGAUUUUGAUCGGCUGACUUGUUCGCCGAGCUAGAACAAGUGCCGCACAAUCGUUCACAUCGUGUUUGAAGGGUUACACAGUAAAGGAAGAGUAAGAAUUUGAGUGGAGAAACUCCAAUUGGGAUCAACACGUGGGCAACAACAUGGCUUCUCACCAACAUGAGAACUCAAAAGAGACAGCAGAUAUUCUAGAGAAGCCAAUGAACUCUUGGGAUGUGAAUCUGCACUUUCCUGCAAUAGUUUGAGUGUGAAUUAGUUCUCUGAAAACACCUGCAGAGGAUAAUCCACGGCAAAACAGAAUAACUAUAAAAAAACCACUUGCAAGUAGAAGAAAAAGGAAGUACAUUUAUACCUUCCCUGUCAAAGUGAUAUCCCUCAUCAACGGAUAUGCAUUUCUUUCCAGGAAGUAGCCAACAAUUUUACAAACCCAUGGGAGUUUAGGUUGUAAUAAGAAAACAAUUGUGUCCAACAAUAGAGUUGCAGGUGUGUUAGAGUUCACAGGUGCAGCCAAAAGUUGAUUCCUCAAUUGGUUUCUAUCAAGAACAACAUCAAGUAAGAAUAAUUCGGAGGAAAAAUAAAGGCAACUUAUCAUAUAUAUAAAUAUGAUUAGUCUGAAUUCGUUUGCGGAAGGUAAAAAAACCUUUAUGUCAAUUAUAUAUAUCUGAACAAAAUCUAAGAAAUAUAUCACUUUUCAACAAAAGAAAUAUAUCAUAUACAAUUAAAGGAUCAUAGCAUAGAAAGCCAACAAAAUCAACAAUGAUAGAUCAAACAUCUGUUUUUCCAUUCAAAACGUUAAAAAGGAUAAGUUUUUAAUAAGGAAUGUUGAAAUGGAAAAAACUAAUUACCUAUUAUGGUGUACAAUCUGGAUGCAAGCAUAUGCAAAUUUCUUAACUCUGUAAUCCACUAAGGCCUUGUUAAGUACAUAAUCCUUGCUAGCGAAAAUGCUCAACAUAUCCCCUAUAUAUGUAAGAGAGAGAAAGGUUAGAAAGUACUAACACUAAGAGAUAUGUGCUAUCAAUUAGAAACACUUUAAGAUGACAUUAUCAAUUAGAAAACCAAGUAUUAAGCAACAUAAGGGAAAAUAACAAACAAGGGCACCACAGUGGUUCAGAAACCAAUCAAUAUUUCCAUUUGUCACUUUUAUAAUAAUUUCCCAAGGGAAAAUCCUCAUAAUAAGCUUGAGUACCACCUAAUAACGUGUUCAAAUGUUACCAUAAGCAAAAAUGAGUGAUCCUAAAAUUCAUAUGACAAGGAAAGUCGUCAACUAGCAACCGCCAAAUAACAGUUAUAUGGCUAGAAUUAGUUUUCUCCAACUUCAAGAAAAUAAAACAUAUUAAAACAAAAGGAAUUAUGGUGCAAAAUAAUGAAUAUGCCUGCAAAGGUAAGAAGUUUCUGAAGGUAAAAAUGGUCAAUAAAAAACAACAUAUAAUUUGACGUAAAUCAAAGUAGAAUUAUUUCUCGCAAUGAAUUCUCUGCCAAUAAUGGCUAAGAGAAGGGGUAUUUAUUGAGAAUUAGUUGGCCAGGCAGAAAUCAUCUAGGGCAUAGUAUUGUUUUAGGUCUGCGACAUUAAAAACAUAAUGAAUGUGUAAGUCUGGUGGUAGUUCUAUUUUGUAAGCAUUAUCUCCGAUCCUCUUUAGGACACGGAAUGGUCCUAAUUGUCUGUCUUUUAGUUUGUUGUAUGUUUCGGUUGGAAAUCGAUUUUUUCUUAGGUGAAUCAUUACUAAAUCUCCCUUGGUAAAGGUAGUUUGUCUUCUUUUUCUGUCUGUUGCGUCUUUGUAGGACUGAGUUGUUUCUUUUAGGUGAUUGUGGACUUCUUCGUGUAAAUUCUGGAUUUUUUCUAUCAUCUUUUCUGCCUCUGAUAGUUAGGGAACUCAACACAUUUUACUUGACCUAACCAAGAUGGCUCUUUGUAUGUAUAUUGCAUGUGUUGUUUGUUUUUUCUAUAGCUCUUGAUUGUCUCACUUUUUUACGUUUUGCAUUUGCAAUUCUCUUUUCUUUCUUUGGUAUGCAAUGUGGUAACAAGGUCUUGCUAGAGCCGGUGGGCUAACCUUUCUAUGGUUCUAAACUUAGUUUCUAAGUUUGAUUGCUCCCUUCGGAGUGACAACAAGCCUCGUUUUCCCCUACUAUGGAAUGGGGAGGAUUCAUUUUCUUUUCAAAGCCCUCGUCAAACUCAAUGCUAAGUUUGACUGCUCCCUUCAAAGUGACAACAAGCCUUGUUUUCCCCUAAUGUGGAUCGGGGAGGAUUCCUUCUCUUUUCAAAGCCCUCAUCAAACUCGAUGUUGUGUUUAGAACGCUAAGAGUAGGUGGUCUGGUUUUGGUUAGGCCAAAAGUGAAGUUUUCCCCCAUUUUUUAUGGGCUUUUUCUAAUGUAUAUUGGAUAUGUUGUUUGAUUUUUUUUAUAGCUCUUGAUUGUCUUACUGUUUUAUGUUUUGCAUUGUCAAGUCUCUGUUUUCUUUCUUUGGUAUGCAAUGUGGUAACUAGGUCUUGCUAGAACCGGUAGGCUAACCUUUCUAUGGUUCUACAUUUAGUUCCUAAUUAAGUUUGAUUGCUCCCUUCGGAGUGACAAUAAGUUUUGUUAAUGUCGACCCUUUUCUAAAGGGAUUUAGUUCACUGUGGCUAGGCAAGAGGUUUCUAACUCAUGUUUGACAAGACAAAUUUGUUAAAACCAUCUUAGUUUUUAAAGAGUGCCUCCUAUCCCUUUUUUACUCUAUCUAGGCUAGGUUUGGACUAAGUGCAUCAUAGGUUAGUCACGACAAAGCAACAAAGGAAGACAAAGCUAGAAAAGUAUUCAUGCACUUAUUUAUUAUACAUGCAAUCAAGCAUUCACAACAUACAUACCAUUUUCUCAAUCAUGCAUUCACACCUCAAUAAGAAAUAGCUAAAAGGAGCUUAAAACAAAAAAGACAGCCGCUUAUUCUCAAAUUUCAGCACAUAUACUCAUCAAAAUUUAGAAUUUCACAUUGCAAACCCGAGCUCAGUGCUCAAGGGUUGCCAAUCAUGCUUUUUAUGCAAGAUCUAAUUAAGCUAAGAAGGUAUAAUGCUCAUUUUGUAUGGAAAGAAUUCUGAAAUUUUUUAAAAUUUGGGCAAAAUUUGAACCCCGAAGUUUAGACUAAACAUGCAAGCUAAGCAAGCUAUUACCCACACCCACUCAAAAAAUUGCUUUGUAUGUCCUAAAAGCUUUUGAAAAUCAAAGUAAAUGGAGAAAAAUAAGGGGGGAACUUUGGACUCCCCUAGAAGGAUCGACAUCCUUGACUUUGGUUUGAAGCUUGCAUGGAUAAACCUUUUCAUUCCUUUUUAAUUGAUUAUUCAUCGUUGUUCCUGAAAAUCAAAGGAAAUUCUCUCAAUUUUAUAUAUUACUAAAAUUAGGAUACAUAUAAGUCUUAACUAGUCUAAUAGCACCCUCCAUUCAUCUUCCCCUACACUGGCUAUGGUAUCAAAAUUUUCAAUUAAGUAAUACGUCUACUAACAAACUUGAAAACAAAAGACAUCACACUAAAAAACACAAACAUCACUUUAACCCAACAGAAGCUGCUCUUUUUACCCUUGCACUCACUAUCACAUUACUAUCAUGUUUGUCAACUGUCAAACUAACUCUUUUAAGUUAUUUAGUGUGACUACAAAGUUAUUAACACCAUAAUCUUAAUUAAAACCUUUUAAUAAACAAAUGCCAAGUUACUACUCAACAAUGGCAAGGAAUUCAAAAAACAUGACUGUAACGACCCAACUUUUCUAAGUAAGUCGAUGUCAUUAAUUUCAAAUAAGGACCUGAGUUUACACAAAAUCUCAAUCUCAAACAAUUUCAAAGUCUCAAGAAAAACAAAAAUUUAUAUCUGGGCCCUGUUUAAAAUAACCAGCACCUUCAAGACAAAUUUACUAAUUCGUGAAUACAGUUCAACUAUAAAAUUUUCUAAACAAUCUCAAGUACUAAACAAAACACGUGAAACAAAACAUUUAGUGGAAGCAAUUUAAAAUAACCCCUAUGGCAAUCACGCUUCCUUUCUGCCCCUCGCCGGUUUGGCGUCUUUAUUACCUUUGCCUGAAAAUUAAACAUAAGGAGGGUGAGUAUAAAAAUACUCAGUAAGAGACCCUCUACUGGUCCCGUCAGGGGAAAAUAAAUUGUUAACAUUCUAUUGGGACACCCUCUACAGUCACAGUCUUGUGAUCCCGUAGGAUGCACAUUUCAGUCUAACACCCCGAAGGACGUACAUUUUAGUCUAGUGUUCUGCAGAAACACAUAUCAGUCUAAUGCUCCUGAAGGUGCAAAAUAAUUGGUGAUCCGUGGGACACCUACAAGGCACACAUCCCAAUAAAAGCUAACAAUUUUUCCCCUCAGUCCAUUCUAAACAUCUUAACAGUCAUUCACAGAUCAGUUAAACAUUCUCAUCACGUAAACUCCUUAUUUAACCUCAAACAGUCGUCUUACUCUAAUUUAGUCCAAGGUCAAUAAAAAAACAUAUCAUUACAUCAGUUAACAAACUAAACAAUCAUAACCUCCUCCUCAGUCACCAAGGGCACCACCAUGACGUUUCUUCCGUUCACAAGCACACAACAUAACAGUAGAUUAUACACUCAGUCUAGACAACAAUCAAUCUACUAAUCAAAUCCACACUUUAUAUAAGCAACAUCUACGAGAUUCAGUCUUUUCCACAUCCUUAUCUUUGUACACAUACAUAACCAGACAGUCACAACAUAUACUCAACCACAGUCUACAUCAAUCCAUGCACAUAUAUGUAUUAAUUUCUCACAGUCAAACAUAGCAAACAUUAAACUUUAAGUCAAUGCCCAAACAUACAUCAUAACAGUCAUCUCUACUCAGUUCAAAUAUAAUAAUACGGUCCAUACAGUCAAUACAUCUUAAUAAGUCAUUAUAUCUUAAUUUUGUUGUUGAGUCUAGUAGAAAAUCUCUUACUUUCAAGUUAGUUAAGCUCCUUAACCACGUUGAAGUCUACGAAGAACGAACCUAAACAUUAAGACAAUUUCUCAAUAAUUCUCUUCAAGGCAUCAAUCAUUUAAAUUCAACCCAAUGUGAUUUAUUUUUUACAACUUACCCAAAUCUUCACGAAACGAGUUCCAAUUAGAAUCAAUUGUUUGCUGUGAACCCAAGGAAUUCGAGCGUUACCUUCAACCUAUAAUCGAACAAGUAAACGAUUUAUCCAACCAAUUAAUCCAGCAAUAUUACUUGAGUUUAUUUUGGAAACAGUUACAAAUUUCAUAACUUCAAUCUUACCAAUCAAAAUUUAAUGACUCGUGGCAAAGCAGGAACGACAGCGAACAACCCAAUCGAAUGGCGUGGGUUUGCUACCUGCGGCAGAACGAAGAAGGAACUCGACGCGCAGAAAGUUGGAUCUGGGGUCUUUAGUUCGGUUCACGGUAGCGAAUGAAAACCUGAUUGCGCAGACGUCAAAGGUGUUAUUCGCGGAAGAAGUCGAGCAGCAGCUUUGUGAAGAGACGACGUGCGAGGAGAGACUGUAUACAGACGGACGGAGAGUCGCGCGACAGUGCAGAAAACGGAGGAGAAAGGAAUGGGCGGCGGCUGGGCUUGGCUUCGACGGAGACAGAGGCGAUUAGGACGGGGCACGGCGACGCAGAUCUGGACGACGGCGCGGAGACAGAGGUUGCGCGGCGCUGGGCAGAGGGUCACACGGCGCUGGGCGAAGGGUCACACGGCGCUGGGCGGAAGGUCACACGGCGGCCUUGCUUCGCGAACAGAGAUGGCGGUCGACGGUUGCAGCGGCGGCUGGGUAUGGUAGAAAAGAAAGAGAAACGGAAGAAGAAUAGGGGCGGCGACCGUGGAUUGGAGAAGAAAAGAAGGAGGAAAGCGAUGGUGGUCGGUUGGAGGGUGCGGCUGGAGGUAGGGAUCGGUGAAGGAGAAAAUAGAAAAAGAAAAUGAAGGGGAAAGGGGGGUUGGGCGCGAGAGGAAGAAGAAAGGAAAAAAAAUUCUGUUUUUUUUUUUUCUUUUAUUUAAAUUAAAUAAUAAAACUAAAAUAUAAAUAAAUAUAUAUAUAAUUAUAUUAUCACAUUUUCAAAUCUUCUUUCUCCCCCUUCAACAUAUUUUCUUCAAAAAAAUAAAUCUUGUACAAAUCGAAUAAUUUUCUUAAAAUAAAUUACCUUCGAGUUUGGGGCGUUACAAUGACAGCUAUAUUGUAACUUGGCACUUGGGGACUUUAAUGGUGUCAAUAUUGUAACUUCUGGUGCCAUGACAAAUAUUGGUGACUGUCAAGAUAAGUUCGCAUAGCCACCGAAAGAUACAUCGUUGCUUUUGAAAAAUGGCAAGACUCUAAAUGAUAUAUGCAACAUUAUUUUGGUUAUAUCCAAUCUUUUUUUAAGGCUAUGUACUUGAAGAUUUUAAUCAAUAAAUAAAAUGAAGUUUAAUUUUUAAAAUAAUAACAUUACAAUGGGAUGGCGAUUGGAAUUGAUUACUUUGGUUAAAAUUUAAGAUUAGAUUAAAAAAAUCAAUUAAUAGAUAAUUCCAUCUAAUCAAAAUAACUAAAUAAAAGACGAGAUUUGAAAAUAUAAUAUCCUAAUAUACACUAAUAGACUUAUAUUAAUAGAUAAUUUCCUGCCGAUGAAAAAUUACUAAAGUUGUACUAUAUUUUAUAAAUAUUUUAAAACAUUACAUAAACACUAAUUAAAGUUGGGUUUAGUAGCAAAAGGUUACAAAUUUAUUGACACCUUCUUUUAGGAAAAAAAAAUACCUUGACAUGAGGUAAACUAAAUUUGUAAUCAGCGUUGAAAUCUUUACUAUAUUAAAUGGGCUCGUGGAGAAAAAAUUAUAUACAUCUAUUUUAUUCUUAAAUUGUCGAAAAAAAAUUAUAUUACCUUUUGUGAUCUAACGUAGUUGUGAUUUUUAUAGUGUAAGUGUCCAUUUUAAUGUUUGGAAAGAUGAUUUUUCCAAUUUUUUAGUUUACAAAAUAAAGUUCUAUAUUUUAAAAAAUAAAACCUUAUGUUGAAUAUGUGUAACUAAUGUUGAUAGGAUGUGAUUGGUUGAUCUUCAAGAUACGAUGCAUUCUGUUUAGAGUGGAGAUGGUUGCACACACAUCAAAUUUGCGUUGAUUCCUCCAAAUUUACAUGUGAAAUGUAAAUGUAAAAGAAAAACAAAAUAAACUCUUGCAGUUACACAUUAAAAAAAAAAAACGUCACGAAAUUCCAAAGUUCAAAAGAAAACAAACACACACAGGGAUUUAAUUGAUUCAAAGUAGUAACGAAUGGUGAAAAAAUGCAUCAUUUCUUGUGAUUUCACAUUAACAUGUUAGAAUAAAAAAUUAUCGUAUUCUAUAUAUUACAAUAUUGGAUCAAAUAUUAAUACAUUAAUUUAAUUAUUUAAUUACUACAACAAUGAAUUUCUUUUUCUUUUUUAAAUAAUAAUUUUACCAUUAAUAUUAUAUAAUAUUUGUUUAUUAUAUGCUAAAGCAUAUUUAAAAAUUAAAUAGAAUUAAGAGAUUUCACGUGAAUUUAUGCACAUGUUUCAACUGAAAAGAUGGAAACAAUAGUCACAAAUUAUUUUUUCCUAAAACAAAACAUUCAUAACCAAAUCUAAAUAUGCACUUUCAUAACUAAGGACCAAAACUCAUAUUACGUAGAAUUGAGCAUGGUUUAAAUGAAAUUAUUAACAAAAUACUUACACUUUACACCAGGUUUUUUGGCAACAUACCACUAGUAGAAAAGUGGUAUACGAUGACAGUUAUUUACUGUCGUAAACGAAAUUCGCGACAGUUAUUUUCAGUAAUAGAAGCGGGAGUCAUGGAAAGUCCUUCGAUGAUAGUUUUUAAAAACUGUCGCAAUAAGUUAUUUUAUGACAUGAAAUAAAUGUCGUUAAUCAGAAUUCAAUGACGUCAAAUAACUGUCAUAUUUUAUUUUAUGACAACAAAUAACUAUCAUCAUUUGUGGAUUAACGACGGUUAAAUAAAUGUCGCAAAUUCAUUUAUUGUGACAUUUUUUAAUUGUCAUGAAUAUGUUAAUCGCGACAGUUUUUUUAUAUAAAAAUGUCAUUGUUUUGCUAUUGACGACAUUUUUUUCCUGUCACAUCUAGGGCAAUCGUGACAAUUUAUUUUAUUAAACAACUAUCAUCGUUUUCGGAUUGACAACAAUUAAUAACUGUCACAAAUUCAUUUAUUACGUCAUUUAUUUUCUGUUGCAAAUUUCUCAAUUUACUACAGUUUUUUCCUGUUCUCCUUGUCGCUCCACCAUUACACAAACCAUUUGAAUGACAAUAAUGUAGCUGAGAAUGACAAUUUUGAAUUUAUAAUAUUGACACCCAUAUAGAAAAAAGUAGCCAACACUUUAAUAUAUAUACGAUAUAAUACAAUUUAUAAUAUUUGUACAUUUCCAAUCAAGUGUCAACAAUUUACAAGUACGGAAUCCCAACCCUUAAUCAAAAAAUAUUUUAAAUAGCAUUAGAAUACAUCUAACAAGAUUUUCUGCAGAAGCAUAAACGACCAACCGAGAAUGUUCGUCUCUGAAAAUGUUCUUGGAAAGUAAACUUAUGAAGUUGUUGACUCCAGUUGAACCUACAAAGACAACAUGAAUAUAAGCAUCCAUCAUAGGACAAGAGAGUACAACUCUUAUAGAAACUUUCAACAUUGAACAUUACCUAUCACUACAUGCGUCGAUAAGAGAAACAACUACAUAGCAGAGCACAAAUGUAGAAUAACAGCAUCACCGUAACAUCCACUUGGUCUACAAUAUUGAAACUUUUUACAAAUUACAACUCUUGUAUCAUUGCUCUUUAGAAAAUUUACCUGGAUAUAAAUAAGUAAUCUACAAGGAAAUUAUUGAAUAAGUAAUCAUAAGUAAUAAUCGAGAUGAAUGAAACUUAAGAAUCCAUUAGUAGUUCACUGUCAAUAAGGUUGGAAGAAACGUUAUCCGAUAAGAACCGAAAAGUUUCCAUCUUAAGGAGUCAAACACUUUCAUCAGAAAUAAGACAGUUUUCAUGUGUAAUCCACUUCAGUUAACGAAGCCAAGAAAUAUUAAGGUACUAGGAAAAUGAAACUAGAACAACUUGUAUCAUUUAUGGCUUAACAGAAAUUAAAGGUCUCCUAGUUUCUUAUCCAAAAAAAGCUCUACCAAUGAGUAUGACAUAAAAUCCAUGACAAUUUACAAAAGUAGCAAUUUAGCAAUAGCAAUAAGUACAGACAUAACACCCAUGACAAUUUACACAAGUAGCAAUAGCCAACCAGUACAAGCAUACUAUCCAUGAUAAAAAAGAAAGGUAUCUAUUACUCUUAAUCCUAUAAUAUGAACGACAUUAACUAAGAAGGGACCAUUGACAUGUACCUGAUGUUCUAAUUCCAUGGAGAUCGAAGUCCCGAAUGAGCUUCCACAAGUUAACAUCCUACAAUACAAUACAUUUUAGUUAAAUCAUAUAGCAACUCAUUAAACAUAUAGAGAAGGACUUCCAACUGACAUUUGGAAAAGAGUUGGGUUGAUCAAUUUUUGUGGCAUGGGGAGCAAUGUUAUCUUGAGCAAAUUGUUUAACACUUUCUUUGAACUGCAAUCAGUUAAUCAAGAAUUUUGAUAUAUUGACAUUAUAAAUGAAACUACAUACAAAUCAUUUUUGUAAUAAACUAAUUUGAACCAUUUACUAUCAUUUAAAUAAAGCGAGAGAGAAAAGAGGAAGCCUUAAAAGCAAGAUUCUUAAUAUAUCCUCAUAAAAAAAAAAAAAAACUUGUUCAAGUGUCAAAGUCGACAAAAAAAAAAAAAAACUGCAACUGACAAAAACGAAAGAACUAUGAUUAUUUGAUGAUGUUUGGUUCAAUAAGUAGGAAUGUAGCUUGGAACCUUUUCUCAUUUUCUCCAACUGCCAGAACAUUCAAGACAUUUUUUAAAGAUUCACAACACUCUAUCACUUCACAUUUCAUGUACUCAUCUGCACAAAUGUGCUUCCAUAGGUCAUAAUCUCUGGAUUAAAAUUCAACAGCCAUAUCCAAUGCUAUUGGAAUAUGUAGCAGUAUAAAAAUUGUUAACAGUUGCUAUAAGUAUGCCUAAAAAUUUCAACAGCCAUAUCCAAUGCUAUUGGAAUCUGUAGCAGUAGAAAAAUUGUUAACAGUUGCUAUAAGUAUGCCUAAAAAUUUCAACAGCCAUAUCCAAUGCUAUUGGAAUCUGUAGCAGUAGAAAAAUUGUUAACAGUUGCUAUAAGUAUGCCUAAAAAUUAAAAGAAAACAUAAAGGGACUAUAUUGACCUUGCUGGCUAGUAAAAAGGGAGGCAUUUGGAUUAUUUUUAGGCUGGGAUAUGAGGAAUAAGGAACUAGCAAGAGAUCCAUCUCUCUGUUUCAUUUGAAAAUUUAGUUUAGUUUUAAAAUUAUAAUUGAAAGGAUGCUUGGAAUGAAGAAUUCUAAUUUUUAGGCAAGAGUUCUAAUAAACUCUAUGGGUGUAUCUCCUAAUCCUCCGUUUCUAACUUUAUUGUCUUUCCCAAGAGAUUUGACAAGAUAAUUUUAUCUGAUAUUGAAGAAAUUUCACCAAUUGUGGGCUGCAAAUAGUUCAAAUAGAACUAGUAUUGGAAUAUAUAGAAUAUACAAAAUACCCUAGCCCAUACGAAACAAAAGAACUCCAAGACAUAGAAGAAGCAAAAGUCAUUAAAAGAAAUGGAUGAAGUGCAAACAUACACAAGACAACUAGCAGUAACUACCACAAUAUGCUUAUGAACCAACAACUGAAGUAACCUAACUAAUAACAAAGUCAACCUAUCACAAAAGCACAAGUUUUCAUUUUUCAACCAAUAGAGGCAUGCCUGCAAAUAACCAUCAUCUUUUGUAGACUUUAGAAAGAUGUCUGACAAAGCAGACAAUAACUUGGAGAACAGGACUUAAGUAUAGUCCGGAAAUAUGAGACUACAUUUUUCAACUAAAAGGCUAAUUCCUUAAACAUCAUGUAAAUCAAGUCCCUUUGAAUUGCAUAAACAUGGCACCAACUCCAUUGCUGAAUGAAUAAAGCAUAAACUACCUUAAUAAAGCAUAAAUUUACCCAAAUGCAAUAUUGUGAAUUAAUUGCAACAUCUUUAGUGAACAUAAAGGGGCUAUAUUGACCUUGGGAAAGACAAUUUGAAUGAAUAAAUCAUAAACUACCUUAAUAAGUUUAUCAGAUGCAACGUAUCAUUUCGCUUCUUCAAGACUCAUCUCUGCAUUUAAGUUUAGAAUUAGAUGUUAGUGUGAGUAAUCAUACUUAGGAAAAGAGAAUAAAGCUUUUCAGCCUACUCGUGUCUUGACGUUCUAGAACUGAAUUCUACAUCUUGGAUACUGGAUUCACAAUAACACUAAAAUAUAUACAAUUGGAACUCAAUGUAGAAAUAACAUACAAGUCGAGGUGGAGAUAGCUUCAUGUUUUCAUCUUUGCAAGCAAAACGGAUAUUGGUAAGUUUUCUUUAGUUCUUACAAGAUUAACCUAGAAAAAAGAAAAUUGCUUAUCAUGUAAAUCAAGUAGAAAUUACAACUUCGAUCCAAAGUCUAAACAUAAAGUUCUCAACUUACAUCUAGAUUUGAUUCCCUAGAAUGUUCUCCAAUAAUCAUUCCAUCAUAAAUCUGGAACAUAAAUUAUCAGGAAAACUGAGCAGAACAUUUUCGAGGACCCAUAUAUUAUCUACAAUGAAAAGAUAAUGGAUCCUCAGUCUAAUGGAGACAACAAAAUAUACAUUUAGACCAACUCAUAGCAUAAAAGAUAAUAGGUCUAUGAAUCAAAUGAUUUUAGGGUAUCAAAAAUAGCUCCUAAACAAACGUAUAUAUAAUUGAACAUCCACGCUUCCUGCCUAUGAAAACAGGGAAACAAUUAAUUCACGAGAUUGAACAUUUUGAGAAACUUCUAUCCAAAAGGAGGAAAGAGGGGUGGAAAGUGUACACUAAAAAACCAUUAUGCACCAUAUAGAUGAAUUGACAUGACUUAGCUACAAAUACUUGUGCAAACUGCAAAAUGACAGCAACUAGCACAAUAAAAACAAAUCAAACAAUUUUCUAAAUGGUGAAUUGCCAAUUGCCAAACUAAACUUCAUUACAACAAGUCUAAUAUACUAAGUUAAAAAUAGGCUUCAGUGUGUGUAACAAUCAGAUCAUAGAACACACUCGCACAAUGCAAAAGAAAAAGAAAAAAACUUUUAAAGCUUCAGACACAUAUCGUCAAACACCUUACAAGCACAAACUAAUAUCAUAUUUUCUCAUAAUCUCACAAAAAAAAAAUCUUGUUUAAGUUUCAAGAUAAAAUUGAUUGAUGAUGUUCUUUUUUAGAAGAUUUCAAGAAAUAAAUAAGAGAAUACUUCAACUUUUCUGCAUGAUUCCAAAAUCCUAUCAAUCAAGAAAUCUUGUUGUAAUCCCAACAAGAAAAACUUAUGUUCUUCCUCCGUCCACAGUACAACAAGAUAAAACCUAACGAAAAUCCUAAAUGUAUUAAGUGAAAAUCCCCACAAAUUAUCAGUCAUUUACACAACUACUCCAAAUCAUAUCUUAAAAUCACUAGAUAAGCACCAAUUCAAAGAAAAAUGGAGAAAAUCAAACCUUGCUAGCAUGUAGACGUUUUUGUUAAAUAUUGAAUCCUGAAAAACCAUUCUCAGCACACUAAGAAACAUUCAUAGAAACAUAAGAUGUGACAAUCAAGACCAAGGCAGAGUUGGAGUUCAUAAAAAUUUAAUAGUUUUUUUUUUUUUAGGAAUUUCAUCAAACACAUGGUGGGUAAAUUCAAAGUUGUUCAGGCCAUAAGAACAUCCCAAUAGCAAAUGCUCUUUUCCCUUAAGGGUACCAUCAAAACAGAGUCCAUAUUGUUUUAGAAGCAAAUUCAACUUACCUUCCCCCAUUUUCUCAUAAUCCCUCUUCGUGUACUUAGGAUAAUGAAGCAACAUUUGAACACCCACCUUCAAAAUUCAAACUUCCACCAUGAAAAAAAGAAAAAAAACUCACCCCUCCUUCUUCUUCUGACUUGGGUAAGAAGAAGAGGGGUAGUUGAAACUCAUGUAUAAAGACAUUGGAUUGUUGGAAUGUUUAUGAAAGGAAAAUACACAAUAUUCACAAAGAGAGAGACAAAGAGAGAAGGAAUGGCAGCGCCGGAGAAGACGAAAACGAUGGACACAUCGGAGCGAAUAGAUGGCCACGCCAGAGUGAACAGACGGCCAGGAGUAGGGGCGAAUGGUGACGAGGCCGGAAGAUGGUCGGAUUGGAGAUGGAAGACGAUCAGAUUGGAGAUGGAGAUUUCGCGGAAGAAUUGGGGAAAAUAAUAAGGGUUUACGAUUUGGGGAAAUAUUUUCUAAAUUUCUAAUCUUUAUUUAUUAUUUUUUUAAUAAAAAUAUAUUAUUUUAUGUUUUUUUCUAUGACAUCAAAUAACUGUCGCGGAAUGUAUUAUCCGAAAAAUUCCGUCUUUUCCCGCCAAAAACGCGAAAUUUUACAUUUUGUGACAGUUCUUUUUUCUCUCUCUCAUUUUCUGAUAUACAUAACUGUCAUAGUAGACAGUUUUUCUUCUAGUGUACAUAGUGAGAAAAUUCAAAAUUUACCCUCUUACUUGUAUCUUUUCAAUAAAAAGUGCAUCUUAGUUGUAAUUAUGUCAAAAUAAAAAAUAAAAAAAUAACUCGUCAGUUAACGUGGUUAUCCAUUAACUGAUUUGGGUGAACUUUCUAAAGAUAAAAAUAACAAAAACAAACAAACAAAAGACUAGAACAUGUUAUUUAAUUAUGUAAUUACAACUUCCCUUUCUCCUCCGUGAGAAAAAAAACCAUUUCUCUAAAUUUCAUCUAUAUAUGUGUAUUGAUCAAAUGACCCAUAUCAAUAAGGACACAAAAUUGGCAAAGAACAAAUAAAUUAAAAUGGCCAAUAACUCUUGUUUCAUUACUUUCUCUCUCAUUGGAGUUCUUUUGUUCACCAUCAUUUCAAAUGUGGCAUCAUCUAACGACGUUGUUUCUACCAUCUGUUCAGAAAUCUCAAAUCCACAAUUUUGUUUAAGUGUGUUGAAAUCUGCAGGCACUACAGAUCUAAAAGGCUUGGCUGUAUACACCUUAAACCUUGCUCAUUCAAAUGCUGGCAAAUCUUUGAUCCUAGCCAACUCACUAGCAAAAGCCACCACCAAUCCUCAACUUAAGCAACGAUAUUCAUUUUGUGCUGAGAGCUAUGAUGAAGUUGUUGGUGACAUUGAAAAUGCUCAAAACGACUUGGCACUUGGGGACUUUAUUGGUGUCAUUAUUGUAACUACUGGUGCCAUGACAACUCUUGGUGAUCACUGUCAGAAUAAGCUCUUGCAGCCGCCGAAGGAUACAUCGUUGCUUUUAAAGAAUAGCAACACUCUAGAUGAUAUAUUUAGCAUUAUUAUGGUUAUAUCCGAUCAUCUUUGAGGGUUAUGUACUUGAACAUUUUGAUCAAUAAAUAAACUGAAGUUUAAUUUUUAAAAUAAUAUUACAAUGUGAUGGUGAUUGGAAUUGAUUACUUACUUUGAUUAAACUUGAGAAGAUAAAGAAAAUCAAUUAAUAGAAACGUUCACCGACACACAUUGUCAGCACGUCGGAGAAAGCCUAAACUUUUUUUUCUUUUCUUUUACGUUCUGUUUUCUUUUCUUUGUUUGCCAUCAUCAUCAUCAUCAUCUUCUUCUUCUAGCUUGUUACGUUAUGUUUCAAUUGCAUACUUCUGUUAUUCUUGUAAUUUCUUCGUGGUUUUCUUUUUAACUUUGUGUUUCAGUGUGGAUUCAUAAACACAUUUUUCGGUGCUCUGGAUUCUGGAUCUGUUAUGAUUUGAAAGGGUACAGUGAAGUGAAAAGUUGAAAUGGAAAAGAAAAAAGAAGAAAUGAGGACACUUCUCAUGGUGGUGGCAGCAAAGACGAACGGCGACGACAACACAACUCUCAUCCUCUCCCUAUAUCUUGAUCGAUUUUGGGUUUAUUUUCGUUUUGCAUUCUGUUAUGUGUGGAAGGGAGAAUAAAUAGUGUGGACUUUCCCCGACGUCUUCGAAAACGUUGGGAAAUUUACCUUUCGUCGACGUAUGUAGUAAACACGUCGGAGAAAGUUUAAAUAAUAAAUUCAUUAUUUAAACUUUUCCCGACGUACUCCUGUCAUACGAGUCUAAAUUAAAUUUAAUGCGUUCACCUUCGGCGAUGUGUGUCAAGGUGACGUUGGAAAAAGUUUAAACACUAAUGCAAUUAUUUUAAAUCACAUAUGUUAUCGCUUAUAAGGCAUAGGAGUCUAUUAACGAUAGAAACCUAUCUUGAUAGGUUUUGCUACAUUUACCAUUUUUAAAAAACAUUCUUAUAUACUUAACUAUUAUUCCUAAAAUUGCUAACCCAUUAUACUUUCCCUAAGUUAAAUGUAUAAUGUCAAAAGUAAGUUUACUACGAAGGUAAUCUAUGUGACCCUUUUAUCCUAACGUAGGAAGUUUGUUCCACUCCAUACCAUUAUUGAACUAAAAGGAUUAAGUGUGUAUUAAUAUGUUUAAACAAGUAUAAUUAUAGCAAAAUCUAUAAGUGAUAUAUUGAUAUUAGCAAUACAAUACGCGUCACAUAUGCAAACAUUUUGUGUCUAAUCGUUGUAUUUACAAUUAACUCCAUUAAAAUAUUACAAAUAGAAAUAGAACUCUUUAACCUAAGUUCAGUUAGGAUCACAAACUACGAAACGAAAGCAUGGAACAAAUUUAAUUUGUUUUUUUUUCUUUAAAGGAAAUUUUGUGCGUAGCACAUUAUAUUUUUUUCUUUCCUUUAAAAAACAUUAUUGAUCUUAUGAUAUUUGGCAGAGAUUGUAGUUUUUUAAGAAUGUAAAUAAUGUAAAUAAUGUGCCAAAUAAUUGAAAACAUGUUAUCCGAAACAGAGAAUGGUUAAGAAAUUGUUGACAUUUAGUCAAAUUAAUAAAUAAUUCAAAUUUAGGUUUGAUUUUUGAAUUUGAAACUAUAGUAAAUUAGAAGUGUUUUGAAACAGUGUUUACGAAAAGAUUUUUAAUUUUAAACAGCAUUAUAGUGCGUAAACAUUUUUAAUUUUAAACAGCAUUAUAGUGCGUAAACAUUUUUAAUUUUAAACAGCAUUAUAGUAGCUAUAGAUACCAUAUAAUAGUCUACACAAUCUUUGUUCCAAAUGAUCAAUUCGAUUUUUUAAAUCAAGUCUAAUGUUUUUUUUUUUUUUUUUUGCCUAUUUCUUACCAUAAUUUACAUUUUUUGUAAGUAUAAUGGUUGAGUGCAAAAAGAGAGUUGACUAGUAAGUGCAAAAAGAGAGCUUACAAGCUUCUGCAAAAGCUAAUCAAGCAACCUAAAUCAUAAACGAGGAGAAAAGUUGAUUGAUUAAGCUUUGUUGUGGUAAAGAAGAAGUCAAAGUGAACAUCGAACGUUCUUCACUCUUAAAGAACAUCGCGAACAGAUAGAUUAUAUAUACUUUUCUGGAAUUGACCCAAAAAAUUCAGUCCCAAUGUAUUUUAUGGUGAGAUGCAUAGUUUAACUAAACCGUGUUAUUACAAAAUUUUCAAUUACUAGGAACUCUUAAUGAAACGAAUACAUUAUUUUUAUAAUUACGAGGUAAAAUGGAAAUAUACAAACUACUAAAAAAAGCUGCAAAUCCAUUAUUGGGAUUCAAUCUACUCUCCAAGCAUGUUCUUGAAAUGAGAGUUUUUAAGCAGCUACAACUUGCUUAUGUGUAAAAGCAAAACCCUUUUCAACGCCUGCCUUCAGUUUUGGCUUUAGAGCUUCAAGUGCUUUUUGCCCCUACUCAGAUAAACCCUGAAGAUCAAAUGUUACAAAGGCUUCAAUUCCACAUGCAAAAAUCAUGUUCAUGAACCAAAAGCACCUUAAGCUUCUCUUCGAUAUCUUUGAGCUCACUGUAUAAAGAACUGAUUUCUAAAGCAAUCAUCUCUACUAUAUCCUCAUCGUUCCCACUCUCUUUUAAUAAGGCUGGCAUGAUAAUCACAACAAAGAAGAAAAAACUAAGAUAAAUUUAACAAAUUUUAUGUUGGGAAACUUUUUUAAGAACAACUACUUAUAAGCCAACCUUAGCUUUGGCCUCACAUUCCUUGAAGUUUCUAAAAGUAGAUACCACCUGUCCGGGCAACCCACACCAACCAACCAAGAGUAAGUUAGUGUGAAAGACACUUAUUUAAGGAAGAAUAUGUAAAAGAGGUCAUUCAAACUGUUACACAUAAUAGUAUUGGAGGCAAAUAACCUUGCCAUAACUCAUCAAGUUCUGAUAUUGAUUGGGCUAGUUUUUGAUACUCUGUGGGGUUUGAGACAAUAUCUGGAUUGGCCAGCUUGACCUAAAUAAUAAUAUCGAUAGUGAUUAUUGUGUAGGAAAAUAUUAAAGCUAUAACUAAAUGAAAAGCAUAAUUAGAAAUACAUCAAAGAUGUAAAUGCAAAUUUCAAAAGUGGAUCUACAGAAUGUAAGGGGAAGAAACUCAAAUACAAUUACUUUAUUAGUUAUACGACUACUAUAGAGAUUCUAGAUACACCACAGUUCCACGUCCUCUUUUAGGAGGAAAGCAAUGGUGAAAAAUUAAUUGUGAAAACUAAAGAAGGUCCUAUUUAAAUCCUAACUGCAAUAGGAAAGCAAGGAGUUAUAAGGUGAUCACUAUAGCCAAAUCCAAAAUGCAUUCAGUAUUUGUCUUCCAAUUUCAUUAUCAAGUGCAUAGACAAGGUCCCUAGUGAGGAAGUUAUUCGUUCUUUUCUUCAUUUUCUAUAGCUCUAGAAGUAGCUAAAUGGAAUCGUCAAUCACCUAAUCUAUUAAUUUUAAAACUCAAAAGUUCACCGCGGGAUUCUAGUCACUGCUGAAACAGCAUAGAGUUCACUAGUUCCACAGUUAAAUUAACUGCAAAUUGCAUUUCCUGGCAUUUUCAAGAAACAAAAAUGCACAAAUCAUAAUAUGAUGAAGCAGAAAAAUUCUGUGAGCUCGACUUUUCCAGGACAUAUCUUAGCUACUUCUCCUAUUCUAGCUCGAUAACCAUUGUACUUCAACAACCGAAACAUUAAUCCAAUAGUUAACAAUGUUCUGCACUUUAUGCCCUUACAUUUCCAACGACUUAAUGCAUACAUCAGUAGUUAACACAGACACGGGCUCUUAAAUUCAAUGCAAAAUAACAGUCCCAUUCCAAGCAUAAACACCAGAUACAAACAAUUGAUGGACUUGAAUCAGUAAAGAAAUAAGAAUGUUAUUUAACAGCAAAGCACAAAUUAUCGAUAAUUUUUCCACGUCUUCUCAGCAGAUUCCAGUUUCACGAUCAAAUAAGGUUCCUAAAAUAAAGCAAUCACCAUCAUCAUUUUCCACAAAUAUGAUCCGAACUAGUUUUACCACAAAUUAAUUUCUAAUAACUUGAAGAAAAACUCAGUGAACUCAAAGCAUAACGAAACUUAAGUUCUGUUAAAGCCAAUCUAAACAAUAAGAUAUAGACAUAUUGUGUUCUCGAAAGAAAAACAUUUAAUAAAUCUAACAGCUAUGCAAAUAGAGUUGAAGCUCUAACGGGAGGUGCAUAGCAUUUAAGUUCCAGAGAGCAUCUUCUGAAAGCGAUGAGCCCAUAAGAUGAAAAAAGGGCCUCAAGUGAGGAAGAAAGACGCCAUCCAAACAUGAAAAAAGGAAGAAAGGCAAGAUUUUGGCAGUUCCAGGCCUGAGGGAAGCGAACAAGGUGGCGAGGGAGGCAAGGCCCCAAAAUUUAGCAUUGCCAACAAAGUGAAGGUGGAGAAGGAUCUUUCCUUUUAACGUGGCCCUCCGAGAGUUUAUGGACGCCCCCAAUUGGGGCGUUUGGAUGGAGUAAGUUCUUCAAGGGACUUCCUAGAUUCUGUGGAGGUUGUCAAGAAAUUCUACGCAUCAGAUUACAACCACUACAAGGAAUUCGGAUCAACAAACGCAAUUUAACACUAUUGGGAGAUAGAGUAUCUCCCGACACUAUCUCCCGACACAAUAAUAUGAGCAUCGUGAGAUAUAGUGUCUCUCGACACCUAACAUCUACGUCAGAUGUUAUUUACAAUCUCCCGAUGUUGUGUUGUGAGGCAUCAGGAGAUAGAGGCUAACUCUCGACGACAGUAGAAAAGAAAUGAGAGUUGUAGAGUAACUAUCAAAGCUGCUAAUAAAGGGAUGAUAGUUAGGGGAACUCCCGAUGCAUAUCGAGUUGGAUCGUGAGUUUGCAUUUAAAAUCCCCCCUCGAUUUAUAUUUCACAGAUCUGCCAAGAAGGGAAAAGUGAAAUCUGAAGAGAACUACGCCACUGUCGUCCUUGUUGUCUACCCUGGUGCCACUCCCGUCCUACAGUGUCGAUGCUCUACCUUUAAAUUUUGCCCUAAACUCUUUGUUCUCUAGAAUUCUUUAUGUCCUAAGAUCGGUUAUGUUCUUGUUUUUCAUGUGUGUCCUAAAAUCCUUUUGUGUCAUAAGCUAGAUUUAAAUUUUCGUCUAAAAUCCUUUGUUUUUCAUGUGUCCUAAGAGAUUCUCCUAUACUGGUCGUCGGCUCCUCUGCAUAGCCAUAUAGUCUUUUGGAUUUAUUUAGGCUUGGCCUUCUUUCACCUAGUAGGGUGGGUUUACUGUAAAAGCUUCUAAGGUCAGUUCUAGAGGGUUUUUUAGCAGUCUUGAAAUUCCCGAAGGCUAUAGAAAGCAUUUCUUGAAAUUUAAAACUGAAAUUUUGAGGUAAGCAAGUUAAGACAAUUUUAAGAAAAUUUGUAGAAAUAACUUUUCCAUUUUAAUGGCUGGAUUAAAGGUUAUAAGCAUUGAAAGUUGAAUGAAGUUUCUGGAAUUCUCACAGUUUCUGGGCAAGCUUAAGGUAGUCGAGCAUCACGCAGUGAAAGGGUUGGUUAAGAGUGCAUUGUUCAGGUAAGGGGAGGUUAUUUCAAUCAGAUUGAGGGUGCACGACACGGUCAAGGCACAGUCGAGCGACAUGGUUGCGCUCAAGUUGUGCACAUGGCCAUGAAUACCUUGUAAAGUGGAAGAACCUUCCUGUAGAAGAAACCAGAUGAGAACGUGUUAAAGAUCUUGAAGCCUAUAUGUAGAAGAUCGAAGAGCUCAAGUUUUGCCAGUGGACAGAAACACCAACUGUUUAAGUAGGGGAGAAUGUCACGAGCAUGCUUGUUUAGAGCGUUGUUUGCCUAUGGCCGCAUGCCUAAAUACCCCAAAAUCAUCUUGUCUUUAUGUCCUAUGCUUAGUUUAGUCUAUUGCUUUCCUUUUCAUGUCAUAGACCUAGGAUGUGACAUUGCACUCAUUUUCAUAUGCAAGCCAUUCAAAUCUAAAAAAGGCUAAAAUGUACUACAAGAGAGACCAAGUAGUUGAAUCCCAGACCAAGUCUUGUCAUACUCUUUGCAAUUGAGAGUCUUCAAUGCUUUCUCUAAUGACGUUUUCAAUGAUUUUCUUUCUCUCACGUUCUAUAAAACAAUUUUCUCAAGAACGUGAAGAGAGGUACAUUAUACCAUGAGUUUCUCUACAAUUUUUGUAUUUUACACGGCUGACUUGUUGACGAGCAGAACAAGUGCCGCACAAUCGUUUGUCCCAUGUUUGAAAGAUUGCGAUUAUGACAAGUGGUAUCAGAGCCUAAGUUGACUAAUUGACGGUUAAGACGUGAACAUGUCCACAACAAAACAGGUGCUCUACUUAAGUAAACAUGGCUUAUUGGCCCAUGCAGGUUGAUUGGUAGAGCUUGAAGAGCAGAUGCUCUACCUAGUGGAAGUUCCUGACUCCAUCCGUUUCUUUGGAAACCCGUCUUGAAGAAAUUUCUCAGAAAGUUGUUGCUAUUAAUGCGGAAACUGGUCGUCUUGACAAAAUACCCAUUCAAGAGUUGUUGACAAGAGUUGACACUCUAGAGACAAAAGUUGUAAGAACUGGAAACUACGAGCGUGGAGACAGUUCGAUGACCUUUGUUGCCCAUAUAGAAGAAUGCAUGGUUGUGCUGGAUAGCUUUCAGAAGAUGAUUAUGGAAAUUAUUGAAAAGAGAGACAACGAGUUCACACCAAUUUACGUGGAAACCCGAGUACCGGGAGAAAAACCACGAUUGUUUGUGUUGUUAUUAUUUUCUAAUGAAUAAAACAAUAGGUAUAGGGAAGAAUAAAUAGAGUACACAAUGGAAUAAAAAAGGAAAAGAUUUAGGAAAAUAAGGAAUACAUUCCCAUAAUCUUUCCAUAAUUAUUCUAGGAUUCUAACAAGGAAAAAGCCUAGAGAAAAGGAAAGAAUUCCAACACUCCCCCUCAAGUUGGGACGUAAAUAUCAAUGAGGCCCAACUUGCUAACGCAAAAGUCGAAGUUUGGUCUGAGAAGCCCUUUGGUAAGAACAUCAACAACCUGUUGACUUGAAGGGAUGUACGGAAUGCAUAUGCUCCCACUGUCAAGUUUUUCUUUGAUAAAAUGUCGAUCAAUCUCAACAUGUUUAGUUCUAUCAUGUUGAACAGGGUUGUUAGCAAUACUAAUAGCGGCUUUAUUAUCACAGAAAAGCUUCAAUGGUGUCUCACAUUCCUGAUGAAGAUCUGUCAAAACUUUCUGAAGCCAAAUUUCCUCACAUAUUCCUAAACUCAUAGCUCUGUAUUCAGCCUCAGCGCUGCUCCUGGCAACAACACUUUGCUUCUUACUCCUCCAAGUUACAAGAUUGCCCCAAACAAAGGUACAAUAACCAGAGGUAGAUUUUCUGUCAACAACAGAUCCUGCCCAAUCCGAGUCAGUGUAUGCCUCAAUGGUCUUUCUGUCUGUUUUUCUAAACAUCAGCCCUUUACCAGGUGUUGAUUUUAAGUAUCUCAAGAUUCUGUUGACAGCUUUCAUGUGUUCCUCAUUAGGGGUCUGCAUAAACUGGCUGACAACACUCACAGCAAAGGAAAUAUCAAGAGUAUGAGAUAAGUAAAUUAAUUUACCCACGAGGCGUUGAUACUGUUCUUUAUCAACUGGAACUUGAUCAUAAGAGUUUCCUAGUUUAUAGUUGAAUUCAAUAGGAGUGUCAGUGGGACGACAUCCUAACAUACAUGUCUCGGUUAACAAAUCAAGGAUGUAUUUUCUUUGAGAUACGGAGAUACCUUCUUUAGAUCUGGCCACCUCCAUUCCAAGGAAAUAUUUCAAAUUUCCCAAAUCCUUGAUUUCGAACUCAUCACCCAUUCUCUGCUUUAGUUGACCGAUUUCUGUCUGAUCAUCUCCAGUCAAAACAAUGUCAUCCACAUAAACUAUUAGAACAACAAUCUUUCCUGUUUUGGAAACCUUUGUAAAUAAAGUAUGAUCAGAGUGUCCCUGCCUAUACCCUUGGGACUUGACAAAGGUAGUGAAUCUGUCAAACCAUGCUCUGGGAGACUGUUUCAGACCAUAUAUAGAUUUCUAGAGUUGACACACAUGCUGACCAAACUGGGCUUCAAAUCCAGGCGGAGGGCUCAUGUAGACUUCCUUUACGAGGUCUCCAUUCAAAAAGGCAUUCUUAACAUCCAGCUGAUAUAGAGGCCAAUCUUUGUUCACAGCAACAGAUAACAGAACUCUAAUAGUAUUCAAUUUAGCAACUGGAGAGAAAGUUUCUGAAUAGUCAAUACCAUAGGUUUAAGUAAAUCCCUUCGCAACUAAGCUUGCCUUGUGUCUGUCGAGAGUACCAUUAGCUUUGUAUUAUAGAGAGAACACCCAUUUGCAUCCCACAGUUUUGUGUCCCUUAGGUAGAGUACAAAAGUCCCAAGUACUAUUCUUUUCAAGAGCUUUCAUCUCUUCCAUGACAGCAUUCUUCCAUUCAGGACACUUUAAAGCAGUGUAGAUAUCUUUUGGUAUUAUGGUAGAGUGAAGGCUUGCUGUAAAAGCUCUGAACUGAGGAGAGAGAUUAUCGUAGGAAACAUAAUUGCAAAUGGGGUGUUUAGUACAAGACCUGGUCCCUUUUCUCAGAGUAAUGGGAAUGUCAAGAGAGGAAUCAUACUCAUCCGAUUUUCCUGUAUGACCAUGUUCCGCUUCAUUAUUACGGGUUUCUAUUCUGACCUCAAUCUCAUCACCACUGUCCUUUUCUUCCACGUUUUUAAGAAUAGCAACAUUAGACCUAUCAUUCUCACUUAUCAUAUUCUUAGUACAGGGUUCAAUAGGGUUUUCCAUACCUUGAUCUCGAGGAGGUUCAGAGUCUUGGACUGGAGCCGGCGACUGACUAGUAGGGGAACCGAUUUCCUUUUUGUGAUUCCUCCUGUAAUAUGUUUUCCAGGGGACUUGGUUUGUGGGUAGGACUAUGGAAUGAGGAUUGAUGUUAGACAUGACACUAGGAGUGGGUUCGAUGAAUUCAAAGGUGUUGUUAGACUCUUCACUCACACUCUCCCCCUGAAGAUGGCUAACGGGAAAGUAGGGUCGAUCCUCAUAGAAAGUAACAUCCAUAGUGACAAAGUAUUUUCUGGAUGGCGGGUGAAAACAUUUAUAACCACGCUGGUGAGGGGGAUACCCAACAAACACACAUGCCUGAGCCCGAGGGGUAAAUUUGGUUUGAUUAGGGCCAAAAUUAUGGACAUAAGCGAUACACCCAAACACACGAAGAGGAACCUCAGAAACAUGAUGAGUCGAUGGGUAGGACUUCUUAAGACAAUAUAAGGGAGUUUGAAGAUGAAGAAUACGAGAAGACAUUCUAUUGAUUAAAUGAGUUGCUGUAAGAAUAGCAUCUCCCCACAAGUAUGAAGGAAGGGAAGUAGAAAGCAUAAGGGAACGGGCUACUUCCAGAAGGUGAUGGUUUUUCGCUCGGCCACUCCAUUUUGUUGAGGAGUGUAGGCGCACGAGUUUUGAUGAACAAUCCCCUUAGAAGCAAGAAAUUCACUAAGGUUAUGGUUUUGGAAUUCCCGACCAUUAUCACUCCGAAGAAUAGCAAUUUUUUGAUGGAAUUGUGUUUCAAUGGUGUGAUAGAAAUUUUGAAACAUAGAGGAAACCUCAGAUUUAUCAGUGAUAAGGUAGACCCAGGUAAGACGGGUAUGAUCAUCAAUGAAGGUUAUGAACCACCGUUUUUCAGAUGAGGUUGUUAUCUUGGAUGGUCCCCAGACAUCACUAUGAACAAGAGUGAAGGGUUGGGUUGGUUUGUAUGGUUGUGAGGGAAAAGAGACUCAAUGUUGUUUGGCCUGAAUACACACAUCACAAGAUAAGGUAGUCAUCUCAACUUUAGAGAAGAGAUGUAGAAAUAAAUGUUUCAUAUAUUGAAAAUUAGGGUGGCCUAAACGAAAAUGCCACAACAUACAAUCUUGUUCAGAAGUAGUGAAAUAGGAAGAUAAGAGACUAGUCCUAGGAAUGCUACUAGAAGAGGUAUUGUCAUCAAGGAGGUACAGUCCCCUACUAUGCCGGGCAGUGCCAAUCAUUCUCCCCGAGCUCAAGUCCUGAAAAGAGACAGAAUCAGGUAAGAAUAUUGCUUUGCAGUUUAACUCAUGAGUGAUCUUGCUUAUCGAAAGCAAAUUAUAAGAUAGUUUGGGCACAUGCAAAACAUUAUGUAAGGAGAGCCCUGCACAAGGAGAAAUCUUCCCCUUUCCAGCAAUGGGGGCCAAGGAGCCAUCUGCAAUUCUAAUUGUCUCGUUCCCGACACAAGGAAUGUAAGAUACAAAAUGUUCAGAGGACCCAGUCAAAUGAUCUGUGGCACCAGAAUCCAGAAUCUAGGGGUUCUUCCCAUCAAUACUAACAAGACCGAAGGAGUGAGGUAUACCCGAUUGGACAGUGGCACCUAAAGUGGCAAGACUGAGAUCAGUUUGGUUUUUGUGUGGAUCGGAUUGUUGAGGAGGUUCAGCAGACUCACUCACAUACGCUCGCCCUGUGUUCUGUUUGUCGUUGGAAGGGUGUUUCUUACCUCCAGGGGACGACCAUGUAACUUCCAACAUUGUUCUUUGGUAUGCCAUUGUUUUUUGCAAUGCUCGCAGACAGGAAUUGGUUUUCCAUUAUGCUUGUCACUGAUACUGUUAUAAGAUCUUGCACUAAAAGCAGCAGAGUCAAUAGUAGGGGUUGCGGAAAUAUUCAUAGCACUUGUGCGAUCUUCCUCAAGGCGGAUUUCAGAGCAAACUUCCAUCAGGGAGGGAAUCGGUCUUUGACCUAGUAUACGCCCUCGAACUAUAUCAAACUUAGGAUUAAGACUAGUAAGAAAGUCAUAAAUCCUGUCAUUCUCUUCAAUUCUUGAGUACUGUACACCAUCAGUGGGAUCACGCUAGACUAGUUCUCUGCAUAGGUCCAUUUCUUGCCAUAUAAGAGAGUUUAUUGAAAAAGGAUGUGACAUCCAUGGUUCCUUACUUGCAUUCAUGAACUUGCUUUCUCAGCGUGUAUAGACGAGAGGCAUUCUGACGUUUUGAGUAAAGUGUAUGGGCUGUGUCCCAAAUAUCCUUGGCUGUUGCAGCAAACAAUAACGGCUUGCCAAUUUGAGGUUCCAUACUAUUGAUCAAUAUGGAUCGAAGAAUAGAGUCUUCUGCCUUCCAAUAUCGUUCAUGUGGGUCGCCUGGUAGGGGGCGAGGUAUUUCCCCUGUCAAAAAGAUAAAUUUUUGUCGUCCUUCGAGGACCAUCUUUAUUGACUGAGACCAUGAGAAAUAGUUGUUGCCAUUCAACUUUUCUCCUGAAAGAUGAUACAUGGAAGACUGAGCCACCGUGUUAGUCACAUAAGGAGAGGAUACAUUAGGGAACGAGUUUACCGAAUUCUCAGAAUACAGCGGUAGAGUGGAUGUCGUCCCUAAGGUAGCCUCAAGUGCUGUUAUCUGUUGUCGAAGCCCUUCCAAUGUUGGGGGAUGAACUAUUCCCGAGGAAGCUUGCACGUUACGGUUGGAAUAUGCCGAAGAUUCACCAACCUCAAAUGUUGAGUGAAUUUGAGAGUUUUUAACAUCAGGAUGGUAGCUAGGAUCAUUGGGUGGCUGGCCAUACAGAUUUGACGGCAGAAGCGGUGGAAGCCGAUUGUAAUUAGAUGGCAGAACAUAAAUCGGGGCGUGGGAAGCAAUAUAGGUCGCGGACGAAGAAAAGGGUUGGAUAGAUGGAUGGUCGGCGCGUCUGAGGGAGAAAACCAGGCGCGUGUGGUCCGGUGGCAGCGCGGACGACUGCGGUAAUGACGAAAAAUUAUUUUCGGACGUUUUCUGUAGCCGGCUUAAUAAUUCGUCCAUGGCAGCACUCAUCCGAGCAUCGACGGCAGCAGCUACGGCAGCACUAAAAUUGAUGGCUGUCCCUUCUGUUUGAUUUUCAUCAGUGGUUUGGUUUUUUUGGGUUUCUAGGGUGUUUUCAUUGUCCCGCUCUAAUACCAUAUUGAAAAGAGAGACAACGAGUUCACACCAGUUUACGUGGAAACCCGAGUACGGGAGAAAAACCACGAUUGUUUGUUGUUAUUAUUUUCUAAUGAAUAAAACAAUAGGUACAAGGAGAAUAAAUAGAGUACACAAUGGAAUAAAAAAGGAAAAGAUUUAGGAAAAUAAGGAAUACAUUCCCAUAAUCUUUCCAUAAUUAUUCUAGGAUUCUAACAAGGAAAAAGCCUAGAAAAAAGGAAAGAAUUCCAACAGAAAAUGAUAAACGACAUGUCAGGAUUUUCGAGUUGCCCUCGAUGACGUUAGAAAUCGUUGAUGUAAGCACGAGGUGAACCUUACAAUGCGAGCGAUGGCAAACCAAGCUCAAGUUGGAGGAGUAAUCCCGAUGAGCAGAAUAAAGAUUCCUGAACCCUUCAUCUUUGAUUUUGAGCAAUACUUCAAGGUCACAAGCACAACCACAAAAGAAGCCAAAAUGGCAUUGGCGACUAUGCAGUCUUAGGAUGCCAAGUUAUGGUAGAGAUCCCAAUAUAUCGACAUUCAAGAAGAGUGUUACACAAUAGACACCUGGCACACUUUAAAGAAAGAACUCGGCUCACAGUUCUUUCCCAAGACUGUCGAAAUCUUAGCUUGGCGGAAAUUGGAUGAACUAAAACACAACGACAACAUUCGAGAGUAUGUGAAGCAAUUUGUUUGUUCUGUUUGGGAGUCUUUCCCUUUCCCUUCUUUUUAAUUUGAGCAUUAGGUUUUGAGGUCCAACUUUGGUUUUAGAGGAUGAUCCUCUUGUAAAUUUUCUUUUUGUGGUAGCAACAUUUGCUUCUACUUGUUUCCCUUUACCCAUAGUAAGGUUUUGGAAUCGCUGGAGUUCAUUCAGAAGGGUUGUCAGGUUAAAUUCUAUCUUGUUCAAAGACGCAUUCGUUUGGAAUGGAAUGAAGCUCUUCGGAAGAGACUCUAAGAUAAAGCUAACUUGAUUAACCUCUUCGAUGGACCACCAUUCACUUCAGCGAUGUUGAAGUGCAUCAUCAUGUCCAGAACAUGUUCUCUAACAGAGGUCCCUUCCUUCAUACGCUUAGUGUAAAUGUAUUUGACUGCCUCGUGUCUUAAGGACCAUUCUGGUUGCCCAAACAUUCCCCCUAAUGAAUCCAUAAUCUCUUUAGCCGUGGCUAAGGAUUCAUGUUUCUUUGCCAAUACAUCAGACAUGCUGGCAAGAAUGUAGACAUGGAAGGCGCCAGAAGGCGCAGUGAGCCACACAAAAGGGACCGAAACGAAUGUUCGAAAAUAUCAGAAGGAUCGAAGAAAGAUGGAAGGAAAGACGAGGAAAACAACAUACCAGAGCAAGUUCAAGACGGUAGAGAUGUCGGUCUUCAAUGGAAUAGACCUUGAUUCAUGGUUAUUUCGCGUUGAUCGUUAUUUCAAGAUACACGAGUUAACUGACUCAGAGAAGUUAAUGGUAGCGGUAAUCAGUUAUUAGGACCAGCUCUCGAUUGGUAUAGAUCAAAUGAUGAGUUGGGACGGUUCAAGAGUUGGGAUAUUUGAAGCAAAGGUUGUUGUCCGAUUUCAGACGAUUUGGGAUGGAACACUCCUAGGCCGAUUCUUAACGAUUAAGCAGGAAACGACAGUAGGGGAAUAUAGAAACCACUUUGAUAAAUAUUUAGCUCCGGUAGCCUUCCUCCAGACCAUAGUGUUAGAAGAAACCUUUAUGAAUGGGCUAAGCCCAUGGCAUAAAUCCGAAGUUAAAAUGUUGGAGCCCAUAGGUUUGGCCGAGAUGAUGAAACUAGCCCUGAAAAUUGAAAAUAGAGAGAUGGUUCAUCGAGAAUGUGGGCUUAUUAGUGUUUCUAGAAUGAAUAAACAAUUCAAACAUAAUAACGUGACGCAAACCUCGACAGUAACACCCAAUCAGAAACCCACGGAAAGGAGCUGGCCGAUGAGAACGAUUACGUUAAAAAAAGUGACGGCAGAUGAAAAGAGGAGGGAAGGUCCGACCAAGCGUCUUUCCAACGCUGAAUUUCAAGCACUGAGGGAAAAGGGUCUAUGCUUUCAGUGUGAGGAGAAGUAUCACGCUGGACACAGGUGUACGGUGAAGGAACAAAAGGAAUUACGGAUAUUAGUAGUAAAGGAAACGAGAGAAAACUGGAAAUCAUUGAGGAGGAAUACUUUGAUGUGGAAACGGAGGCCCAGACCAUUGAAAUUGAAAGAGUGGAGAAUAUGAUAUAGAACUUCCAUUAACUCAGUUGUGGGGUUAUCCAACCCUGGAACCAUGAAAGUGAAAGGGAAGAUAAAAGAGACCAAAGUGGUAAUACUCAUCGACAGCGGAGCCACCGACAAUUUUAUUGCAGAAAAUUUGUAACCACCCUUAGCCUACCAAUGACAGAAACGUCCAACUAUGAGAGUGAUUUUGGGAUCAAGGGUUGCGGUCAAAGGAAAAGGAAUCUGCAAUAAUGUUGAAGUGACGGUAGGAGAGUGGAAAAUUACAAACAGCUUUUUUCCCUUGGAAUUAGGAGGGUUGAUGUAAUUUUGGGUAUGCAUGGUUGCACUCAUUGGGCAUGACUGAAUUUGAUUGAAAAAUUUGGUGAUGACAUUCCGACAUGGAGGAAGGAAGAUAGAGAUAAAGGGGGACCCUAGUGUCACCAAAACCCAAGUGAGCCUAAAGUCUAUAAUUAAGACAUGGGGAGCUGAUAAUCACGGUUAUUUGGUAGAAUGUCGGGCCAUGGAGGGAAGGCUAGCUGAGGAAGGCUUAGAGGAUGAAGAAGUGCCAGCCACUGUUGACAACAUGAUCUCUCCUCUGUUGAGCAAAUUUAAUGAUGUUUUUGAUUGGUUGGAAGAGCUGCCUUCGAAGAGGAACAUUGAGCACCAUAUACCCCUUCAGAAGGGGGUGGAUCCAGUUAAUGUCAGACCUUAUCGUUACGCACAUCGGCAAAAGGAGGAAAUUGAAAGACUAGUUGAUGAAAUGUUGAAGACAGGCAUCAUAUGACCGGGUACCAGUCUGUAUUCCAGCCCAGUCCUUCUCGUGAAAAAGAAAGAGCUGGCAAUUUUGUGUAGAUUAUCGGGAGUUGAACAAUGUCACUAUCCCAGAUAAGUUCCCAAUUCCGGUCAUAGAUGAGUUAUUCAAUGAGCUGAAUGGGGCCAACAUGUUUUCGAAGAUUUAUUUAAAGGCGGGUUAUCACCAAAUCAGGAUGCAUCUGAGAGGUGUAGAGAAGACGGCCUUUCGAACACAUGAGGGACACUAUGAGUUCUUGGUCAUGCCGUUUGGGCUAACCAAUGCCCCUCUACGUUCCAAGCAUUAAUGAACCACUUCUUUAAGCCUUAUAUGAGAAGAUUGGUAUUAGUGUUUUUCGAUGACAUUUUGGUGUACAGUAGGGGAGUAGAAGAACAUGGACAACAUCUGGAAGUAGUCUUGGAGAUCCUUCGGAGAAUGAAUUGUAUGUGAAUUUAGCCAAAUGUUGCUUUGCCAAAAGUAGAAUAGGUUAUUUGCGGCAUUUCAUAUCCAAAAAGGUAACUAAAGUUGAUCCGGAAAAAAUAAGGGCAAUUAGGGAAUGGCCGAUUCCCAUUAGUGUGUGAGAAGUUCGAGGUUUCUUAGGACUCAAUUGAUACUAUAGGAAGUUUGUGCAAAAUUAUGGCAGUAUCGAAAGCCCUUUGACACAACUUUUGAAGAUAGGAACUUAUUAUUGGACUGAAGAAGCAAGUGCUGCCUUUGAGAAGUUGAAGAUGGCAAUGAUGACUCUACCGGUGUUAGCUAUGCUGGACUUUAAUCUACCACUCGAGAUAGAAACAUAUGCAUCUGGUUCUGGUGUGGGGGCCAUUUUAGUACAAGCCAAGAGACAAAUAGCCUUCUUUAGCAAAACCUUAUGCAUGAGGGAUAGAGCGCGACCGGUUUAUGAAAGAUAAUUGAUAGUAGUAGUGUUUGCGGUGCAAAGGUGGAGACCAUAUUUGUUAGGGAAGAAAUUUACAGUGAAAACUGAUCAGAAGUCGCUCAAAUUCUACUGGAACAAAUGGUGAUUCAACCCUAAUACCAGAAAUUAGAGGUUAGUUGAUUGAGAAAAGUGCAUGUGGGGAAGUCUUGACGCGAGGAAGGCUAGGCGUUGAAAGGUUAUGCGAGAAGACCAAGGAGGUUAGCUAUGCGUUUGGAUAGUAAAUGACAUGCUCUAAGCAAUUAAUUAAAAGUAAAUCUAGGUGUCUUAACCAUGUCAUCCUGCAUUUUGCAGCCAAGGAGGAUGUGAAGGAGUUGCUAAGGUGUAAACAAAAGCUUAAGAUGUGAGUCUAAUCAAGAUUAAGUGUCAACUUAAUUUCAUGCAAGGAACUCUAUAAAUAGGUCAACUUCAAGAAUGAAUUUCUCACAACUUACUUGUUCAAAAUUACUCAAAUUAGUCUUAAAAUUCCAGAAAUUGAAUUUAGUUUAUGAUAGAGGGUUGCUAUUAAAUUUGGAUUCAAGAAGAUUUGCGAUUGGAUCAAGAUAAGGUGAGAAGGUCAUUUUCUAGGAGAAUCUAAGCAAGUUGCAAUUUUAGAGGGCUAUGGAACUCAUUUCUUGGGAUUUUCCUUCAAAACUUUGAGGUAUGAAAAUUAAGUCAAUUUGGAGUAACUUUGUAGAAUGAAGUUUUAUAAAAAAAAAUUAUGAAUUUUAAGUUAUAAUUUUUCAAAGUUAUGUCAUUAUUCUUGAAGUAAAACAGUGUUCUGGAUAGUGUCUGAGAGGCUUGCAUGUGUAGGUGAGAUAGGCAUGUGUUUUGGUUUAGAAGUUAUUGUGGUCCAAUUGCACACACAUGAAAAGGCCAUGGCACAGUCGAGUGGCAAGGCAUGUGCUCAGGCUACACGCAUGACCCUUUUUUAGAGGUUAGCGUGGUAUGCACGGGGUGCGGAGAGCACCAAUGCUUGCAAAGCACAAGAUGGACGCACGAGAUAGGCGAAUAGCACAUGUGUGGCAACCCCAUUGCAAGGUUAGCACACGAUAUACACCCCAUCUUAGUAAGGUCAGCACACGACAGGUCCCGGGCCAUGCACGUGUGGCUAGAUCCAUUCACCAUGUCAGUGGAUACCGUUGGGUUAUUUUCGAACUAUUUUGGGUUACUUUGAUAUUUUUGGGAAUUUUAAAGGAACUUUUGGAUAUUCUCAUGUUUAAUAAAUUAAUUAAAGAUAAAAUAUGAAGUUUUCAGAACAAGGAGGAUUAGGAUAAAUUUUUGGCCAAUGAUCUGUACAAGUAUUGUGAGUAACACAUUGAUUUUCAAGGUGAUUUAUUGAACAUGUUUUCAAGCUUUACACAAAAUAACUUGUGAAAUGAUUUAGUAAACAUGUUUUUAAGUUAUUACUUCAAGAUAAAUGUUUAUGAACAUAUGCUCAAGUUCAAGUGAAUGCUUUCAUGUUUUCAAAUGCUUUUAUCCAUGCCCGAAUAUUUCAUGAGACAUAUUGUAUACAAGUGGUUAACUCCAUACUGAUGAUAGGGUUGAGAAGCCUAUAGUUUAUGGGUCAUUAGAAAUAGUGUAUUGUUAUGCCUUAAAGGAGGAGAGUUAUUUACCCAUUGACUGUUCCGUCUUCGAAUGAAGGGGUAAAUACUACCAGUGGCUAUGGACAAUUGUCUUCGAAAAGCUAUGCAAAUAUUUCAAGUUUCAUGUUAUGGUUGUUUAUUAAUAAAUGUAUUAAAGUUUCGGUUUUAUACUAAAAUGUUUAUGAAAAUAUGUUUUAUAAAACUGUUGCUCACUAAGUUUUUCGACUUACCCUUUCAAAAUGUUUUUCCUCUUUCUAGAUAUAGGUUAUGGAUCUCGAUAUGCUAAACUUAUUGCUGCCAGGCCAACUUAGUUUUUGUUAUGCAAGGACAUUGUUUUCAUUUAAAGAAGUAUUGUGAUUAUUCAAAUAUUUAUAUCUUUAUGUUUUGUUCAUUUUUUAUGAUACGUUUAAAAGAUUUCUUAUGGGUUGCAUUACAAAUUUCGAAGUAUGAUUCAACUGUUUAUUUUAAUGAAAAACUUUUGUUGUUUAAAAAGUUUUGCAAGUGUUCAUGUCAUGUGUCAGUUGAGGUUGUUUCGAACAACUUCGACUGACAUCACGCCUCGUCUUGAUCGACCUAACAGGUGCCCAAGACGGGGUGUGGGAGUAGAUUAUAUCAUCAAUAAUUGUUUAGUUGAAACAAGAUGUGUUAUUUUUCAACUUUGGAUCACAUGCCUAAGAGUUGAUAAUUUCUUUGAGUGGUUAGAACAAUGUAGUUGUUGUAAUAUGUUUGAUGCACGAGAUUUUAAUCUCCAACCUUAAGGAGUUAUUUGGGGGAGAGAAAGGAAAGGAAAAUAAAUGACCAUUUUAGUCAUUUCCACGUUUGGGGGAAGGAAUAAGUUUAAUCCUCUUGUUCCUUCUUAAUCAUUCUCCUUCCUCUCAAUCCCUAUCUUUCUUCCUUCCAAUCCUUCUUUUCCUCCGAUAAAUUAUUUUUCAAUUACAUCAAACUAUUCUCAUUUUCAAAAUUAUAAAUAUCUUUUCCUUAAUAAUUAUAUUUUCAUUUUUCCACAACAAAUAUAUGUAUAUCCACGUAUACAUGUAAUUAUCAAAUUUCUAACAAAAUUUCACUCUUCAAUUUAAUUAAAUAAAGACAAAAAAAUAUUUAAUUAUAUUUAAAUUCAGUGACACUAAAAAUCCAAAUCCAAUAAUUAAUGAAGUAUUCAACUCACAAAUAUUUAAUUAAUUUUAAUUUCACAAAACCAUAAAUUCUAAAUUAAAUAUCACGUGAUUGUCUGUAUGCUUGAACCACAUGACCUGUUUUUGUUUUAUUUCUUUUUUUAAAAAAAUAUAUUUUAUUUUGCAUUAUUCUGAUGUACGAUGUAAUUGACAUUCACUGUUUAACUGUAUUUCGAUUUUUUUUCUUUCGUAUUUCACAUCGUUUCAAUGCUAUUAUGUUCGUCGUCAUUUGUUUAAAUUGAUUGUCAAUGAUACCCAAUUUCUCGUUAUUGCACUUGCAACAUUAAUUUUUUUAAAAAUUAGAUAUAAUUUCUUUCGCACGUAACACAACAAUUAAUUUAUUGGCACAGAAAACUUGCAUACAAAAUGUUCAAAAUUGACAUCAUAUUUACGAAAAUUAAUGGAACAUGUUUUUUGAUAAAAAUUCUAAAUUUUGGUAAAUUAAAAAUACGAAUAUUUGUGUAUUAGAUUUGCAAUACGAAGUAAAAAAAAAUACAACAAUACAAAUUUAAAAUAAUAAUUUUUUUUUUUUGUCAUAACCCUUCUCACUUUUUCCUUCACAAACAAAGAUUAUCAUAAUCCUCUCACUUAUUAUUUCCUCAAACUGUUGGGGUUUAUGUUCUAAAACUGGUAGAUUGUAAAUAUAAUUCAUUGACCGUUAUUAAUAAAGUGUUGUUGAUUAUAUUAUUAGUUUUGUCUUAAUAACCAAAUCCAAUAAACUAACACUCUAAGUUAUUUGAUAAGUCUUGAAUAGUAUGUAAAGACAUACAAUGAUCGAUAUUCGAGAUCAACUUAAAGGGUCUAUAGUAUAGAGAUAAGGUUGGGUACCUUAUCCUAGUAACACUAUGAAUAACACUUUAAAUUUGAUACAAACACAAUGAUCCAAAGCGUUCGUGUAGGUGACAUUCAAGUGAGGGUAUCCUAUGCAAUGAGUUUGCAUAAGACCGAACGAAAUAAUAACCACUAAAUGUAACUUCGUUAACUAGUUAGGUUUAUAUUUCAUUAGGAUGACCUAUGUAACUUAUUCUUAAUUUAAGUGUAUUAUGAACUCAUAUUCGCGAGAGAUUGCCCUUUGAUAUGUACGGGUGAGAGUGGCCAGUUUUCGACUCAAUAUGCUUAUCAUUUUGGGAACAAUACCAAGUAGAGAGCUGAAAACAUAAUCAUACAAGAUGAAAUUUACUCCUUCCCGACUUUUGGGUAAGUAGAUGGGUGUUUCCUUAAAUGGUAUCUUCGAGACUUGAACAAAGAGCCCUAUCCUCUCUAUGGCGCGAGAGGGAUUUUUGUUUAUUGGUUGGACCAUAAACAUGUUGUUCAUUAGAAGAACACUAGUAUUUAAGGAUUGGAGGUAAUCUAGGGGUAAAAUAGUAAUUUGAUCAAGCUGGUGUUACGAACACUCGUGAAGGACUAACUUACUAUUAUUCUAUAUACGUGGACACAUAAUAUAUCUAUUAUGAGAAGAGUUUAACUGUGAGUCUUUAGUGGAGUGUACACACAAUUAACGAAUAUUGAUUAAUGUGGUGAAUGAGUUUAGUCAAUUAAUCUCAUAUCGUUGUAGAUUCUGAUUUAUAGAUUCAUUAGGUCUCCUAGCUCAUAAAGGAUAAUGAGAUUUAUUUAUAUUGGUUGUAAUUUGAAAUGUUCAAAUUUACUUUAAGAAUUAUCAUAAUGUAUAGUGAUACAUUAUAAUGUAAAGUUUAUAUUUUAAUCAAACUUUAUUAUAUAAAUUUAAUUUUGGAUAUGAUUCAAAAUUAAUUUACGAGAGAUAAAAUAUUUCAACAUUCAAAUAAAUUUAAUGUGAAUUAGAUUCAUAUUAAAAUUAAUGGUUAUGAGAAAUAUUUAUAUUUGAAUAUGAUUCAAAUAUUAAGUUAAAUAUAAGAUAUUUGAUUUUGCUAUUAAUUAAUUGAAGAGAAUUAAUUAAUAGUUUAGUUUAACUUUAUUUAAUUAAAUUAAUUUAAAACUAUAGGAUAUUGGAGAGAUGUUAAUUAAAUAUAAUUUAAAUGAAAUAUUAACUACAUAUGAUUUAAUUAAUUAUUAACUGAUUAAUUAAUUAAUUAGUUGAUUUGAAAUUUCUAUUAAUUUAAUAUUUUUUAAAUUAAUAAAAUCUCAUUAUUCUCUUCUACUCUCAAGAAAAGAAAAGAGAGUUAUAAAUAUGCAGAAGAAAAAUAAUUUUUCUAAAUUAAAAAAAAAAGUCAAUGCUUUUGCUCUUUGGAAAAAUAGUUUUCUCUUAAAACUUUUUCCAUCUCAAUCUCACACACCGAUCUCAUAUAUCUUAGAGCAUAGGAAGUUAUUCGAUGAGUGGUGUCCCCAAAUUUGGAGAUUUAGUAUAUUUAGGGACGUCAAACUACGCAAGUUUUUCUCUUUCUAAUCUAUACUUUAUUAAUGCUUAAUAAGAAAAUUAAUUUUUUAAUUAUUUUUUGCCAAUGUAUUGGUAUUUUGGAAUUCCCAAAUUAAAUUGAGGAAUGAUUCUGUAAAAUCUUCCACUGCCUAGGGCUUUUAUCCAUUGACAAACAAGGAUUAUCAUAAUCCUUUCCUUUUCAUAAUCCUCAUUUUUUCAUAAUCAUUUUCCCUUUUGUCACACCCUAAUCCGCAAAACUACCAAAACGCAGAAAGUAGUGCAGAUAGUACGUGAUUUAGCUUAAAACCUUGAAACUGAUCUUAUCUCCUAAUUCAAACUCAACUCCUUUAUAAACUACCAUGCGGCAGAGAUAAACAUAACGCACAUCGGAAGUUAACUUAAACUUUUAUUCAACAACAAGUGUUUUGACGUGAUUAAACGUUAAGACACUUAUCUUAAAUCCUUUACCUUGUUUAAACGCCAAAUAUUUUAAAUAACAUUCUUUAGGCAUUAAAGCUUAACGUAGUCAUCAUUAAUAAAUAAACUUAAACUUAAUUAACAACAGGCGUUUCUUACAUAGUAUACAAUUACAACACUUUGACCAAAAAAUGACAUUAAUCAAAUGCUUAAAUGCCUGGUAGCUUUCUCAAGUCGCUACAAGUCCUUCAACCUUCUUCUCUACUUGGCCUAAACGUCUGAUCUUGGAAGAUGGAAUUUUAAAACGUAAGUCUAAAAGAAUUAGUGAGGUUUUAUGAAAUCCUUUUCGCAAUACCUUUCCAUAAAUCAUUUUCACCAUAUCAUAUAGUUUAACACAAAUCACUUUAUUAAUAAACACAUCAUUUCGCAAAACAUUACAAUAAAAUCAGACCAACUUGCAAAUCACAUCAAUAUACAUUUUGCAUAAACACUAAUUAGUCACAAUCAUUCCUUUGGUCAAGGAUCCCAAAUCAUUAUCUACGUUUGGUCUCGUUACCUUGCGUUUAGACUACUAUAUCAACAACAUCCGAGAACUUACAGAUUUGUCAUUGUUGCUCAGGCUAUCUAACACAAUGUAGUCCUUUUGUACAUUGGUCGACUUUACUCCUCCAUGCAUGCCUUUUCUACAAGGUUGCCUAUAACCUUGUGUGUAUAUAAUAGUUAGCUCAUUCAAAGGAAACAACUAAUGAUUUGAAAACCAUUUUAUAAUCAAUAUCAUAGUCAUCAAAUCAAGCUUUAAAUAUUAUGAAACAUGUUUGAAAUGAUAUAAAUACUUUUAAGAGAAGAUCAUUCACUAUACUUAGCCUUAGAAUUGGAAAUCUCCUAUUCUUCUUCUUUCUCGCGGAAACAAAAUGACAGCACUUCACACUUCAAAAUUUCCAAAAAAUCUCCGAUACUUAGUGACCAAAAUCCUUUAUUUAUACUACUCUUUAACCUGGAUUAGUUAUCCUCAAAUCCUCGUCCAAUUUCCAACUCCUACUUAAAACUUUACAUGUGUAAAAUUAUAUUUAUCUUAUCCAUGCUUAAAUCCUUAAUCUUACAUGUUAACCUCGGUCAAAUCAGAUUUGAAAUCUUCUCACCGAACCUUUCUUCUCACUUAAUUUCAUUUCGAAUAACUUUAACAGCUCAACAUAACUUUCAAAGGUCUUAAUCCAAUAACUCCUUUUGUGACUAUCCAACAUUUUCUCGCGAAUAUUUUUUCUCUUGUGAAUGUUUACAGAAAGACCGUACGGGGUUGGUUUAUGGAAAUUUUGAAGGUGAAGAAACCCUAUCUUGCGAGAUACCCAUCUUGCCGAUCCACCACCAUUCUCUUCUUCUAGUUCUAAUGGCGCUGGAAUCAGGGGCAACAGACCCCUCGAAAACCCAAGUCCUCCUAAGAAAAUGCUCCAACGUCAUAUCCCAACUCCCUUCAUGGUUCCCGAUUUUGAACCCUCGUCGGCUAAGUUGAAGAGCCCGCUUCCACCUAAGCCUCCCUCUUCUAACCCGCUUAAGAGGAAGCUCAAUAUGGAGACCUUUCUUGAGAAUUCCAUCCUUGGGUUGUCAUAUUCUGGUGCGAAGGUACUUACAUGGUGUGAUUGUGGGGGGUUUGAUUUAUUUUUGUCUUAAUUAUGGUGUUUGGAACUGUUUUACCUCACAGUUGCUGUUUCUCCAUUCUGCAUAGCAUUUGCUGUUGUUUGGUCAAGACGUACUUGUAAGAAAAUGGUGUGAGCCAGAAUCUAUUUUCAAUUACAUGAAAAUUUUGAAGUUUAGAAUAUUACUGCUUAAUGUAAGAAGCUAACUUCUUGUUUUAAUGUUUUGUAAACAAGGGAAUUGCAUUGAUAAUUACAGUUCGUCCAAUAGUUCACAUACCGAAUCUUAAGUUAGAAUUUUUAAAUCUUGGUUCUAUGUUUAUGUAUCUGAAACAUGCUGAUCUUAAUUGGUUAAUUUGUAUUAAAAGUCAAAUUGACGUCUCAAAGUUAAUUGGCCUAUGUUUUGUCUUUUGCCCAAAAAAUCAUGAUCUCUACUCACUGAUGUGAUAUAUAAUCCCUUUUCUAUAGCUUGAUAUUAGAAGUUAAAUUACAAAAGUUAAACUAUGAACAUUAUAUCUAUCUAUAUGUAGGUUGAACUAUCACCAAAGUUGGUCACAAUGGGAUAGAUAACUAAAAUGUUUUUAGUUUUGAGACUAAAUACUCACGUUGCUUUAAAUUUAGAGAUGAAAAGCCAUUGUAACUCAUGAAAACAUAAAAUAUAAGCAUUCUCUUAAAUUUCUUAAAGAUAAGUUUCUUUUUCCAAACAUUUUGUGACGAUUUUUUCAAACGUUAUCAGCCCAUCUUCAUACUUCAAAUUGUUAUAAAAAACCUCUUCCUAUAUAACUAAUACUUUGGAGAACCUUACAGGUAUGACUAGUUGACAAAUAAGAGCCUUCAGAUUGGUUACUUCUUAUCAGCAAUGCUUGCUUAUGGAACAGGUAAUGAAGGAAGUAAUGUGUUUCCUUGUGAUGUUCAUAUAUAGUAAAGAUCAAGUAAUGCGUUUACUCAUGCAAUCUUUUCAUCAAUGAUGAUUUAAGUGAAGAAAAAUAACACUCUACAUUUAAUGUUAUUAUAUUGUAGUGUUGAUAGCACACACACAUAUAUAUUCUGUAAUGAUAUAUAUUAGGAAUGUGAUCAAGGAAGCCAGCUUGUCUAGAGAAAGCAAGAGUUGGUGUUGAAGGUUAGAUACUUUCUUUAAAAUUAGUUUUAUAGUUAUUGCGAGUUUUUUUAGGAUUACUCUGUGGCUAAAUCUUCAUUAACUUACUAUGCUGCCAAUGAGAGAUAUUGGAAGUUAGUUCUCUUUCCCAUGUUGCCUUGUUUUUAUUCUAAAUUUCUAAUAGGACUAUGAGAGUUAUUCAUAUUUUACUAUCUGUUUUUGUAGCAACACCCAUUCAUGAUGGCAUGAGUACACCUAUGCACCCAUGAGUCCGUCAAGGUAAAUUUCACGUGUUCUAGUGCACUUGAGAUAUUAAUUGAGAUAAUGUGGAUAACAUUGUAGAAUGUAUGUGCUGUAGAAAUUCCAUAAAUUAUUGUUAUUUAAAUAUUUUCAUUUACUUUUAUGAUAUUGUCUUACAGUUAAACCGAGGAACAUUUAAAUUCAAAGAUGACAAUUGACAACUUUGAAUAACUUUAUGAUAAGCUUGAAAAUAUUAAUGCUAUAGCAGAUAGCUAAUGAAUAUUUAUAGUUUUUAGUUUAUUUUUUGCCAGUCUGGCAUUGAAAAUUAAGAAAUAAUUCUUGAAUGUAUAUUUGUUGCUUUGUUCUUUCUCCAUAAUUCUUCUCUUAGUCAAUUCCUUUUGGAAAAUACUUUUAUGUUGAUUCUUUGUAUUCUGAAGAUGGCAACACCUUAUUGAUGAAAAACAUGACUAUAUGAAAAUGGAAAAUAGAAUUUUAAGUACAUUAAUUAUUGAAAUAGUGGGAUUGAGAUGGAUGGAAUGCACAUUUUUAACGCUCCUUAAGUUGCAUGGUUGAAUUUUGGACUAGGGAAGCUAGUAUAAAGAACAGUCAAACAAGAUGUGGUUUGUCAUUUUUCAGAAGGCAGGCUGUCAUAUUUGGUACAUAUUAAUGGUUUGUUUAGAUAUUGUUUGUAGAGUGAUUGAAGUCAUAUCAAGUUGGAAGCUAAGAGAUUGGGUGAAAGCUAAGCAAUCGUUGAAGGUUGAAGGUUGAAGACUGUGAAGUUCAAAGUUCAGUUAACAGCUCCUACAAUGCGAUCAAAUCCACCUACUCAAACCCACCUUCUGUUUCUAAAGCAGAAGAGAAUUGUGUUAGACUCACCUUCUAUUCCUAAAGUAGAAGAGCUUUCAAUGACUUAACCAAGUGAGCGAUUAAGUUUUUUAUCAUCCAUAUUGUUUCCUAUCCGUACUUCUAUCUAGAGAAAGAAAGCUACAUAGAAAAAGUAGACUACCAAAUGGGAAAAAAAAGAUUAGUAAGCAGUGUUAUUUUUGAAAAUAGUAAACAAAAAUUAACAUGAUUAUCAAACCAAGCCAUUCGAGAACAUGAAAUAGAAUUGGAUAGCUGUCGUGCAUUAUGUCUACAAAUGUUAUGAUAGUUACUAUGAUAUGGGGUUUAUGAAAGAGAAUUUCCUAUGUAUUUUAACAACAGAUGAUUCUUCAUCAUCAAGCAAAGUUUAUAGCUUUAAAGAGUACCUAAAGGUUACAAAAUAUCAGCCGAUAGCUCAUGAUAAGCUCCAAACGAAUUUUCCAGCACAAAGCCAGAGUGUAUCCCCAGUGCAACGUGAAGGUUGUUAAAAUCAAAUCUCUUAGGUCGUAUUCAAUAACUAUUUAGUUUUGGUUGUUUGUUUUCAUAGUUUUUUUUUUUUUUGUUGUAGGUAAAGUUUGAUCUUUUGAAAAGUUCUUUAGAGAAGCAUGUCAAUACCUCCAUCCUAUGCGAUUAUAAUCUUAGGGAAGACUUUUUGUUCCCUUUCCUUCUGUCAAUGCAUUUUUUCUUCUCUUUACAUAAAGGAAAAUUUAUUCUUUUAGUUUGAGAGCAAAUAUAUAUUAUCUUGAAUUUUAAGCAUUUCAGCAUCGUACGUUUUAUCAAAUAACAUAUGAUUGGAUGAAUUGACUACAUUCUUUGUGAUUAGUAUCAUUGAUUUUUUUGUUAUAUCAUUUUGUUCACAAUGGUUGAUGGUUGUAGUUUUCGUUAGUUGUUUUCAAAAUGAGUUUAUAUAAUUUUUUUUUCUUUGAAUCCUUGCCAUUGUUGAGUAGUAACUUGGCAUUUGUUUAUUAAAAGGUUUUAAUUAAGAUUAUGGUGUUCAUAACUUUGUAGUCACACUAAAUAACUUAAAAGAGUUAGUUUUUGAUAGUGACAAACAUGAUAGUAAUGUGAUACUGAGUGUGAGGGUAAAAAGAGCUGCUUCUGUUGUGAUAAGAGACGACCCCGUGGAGCGAGUGCUCUCAGCACAAAUCCUUAAAACGAUUGUAUGAAACUAAUCCAAUUGGGUUCAAGUGAUGUUUGUGUUUUUGGGUAUGGUGUGUUUUGUUUUCAAGUUCGUUAGUAGACGUAUUACUUAAUUGAACAUUUUGAUACCAUAGCCAGUGUAGAGACGAUGAAUGAAGGGUGCUAUAAGACUAGUUAAGACUUAUAUGUGCCUUAUUUCAGUAAUAAAUAAAAUUAAGAGAAUUUUCUUUGAUUUUUAGGAACAAAGAUGAAUAAGCAAUGAAAAAGGAAUGAAGAGGUUUAUCCAUGCAAGCUUCAAACCAAGUCAAGAUGUCAAUCCUUCGAGGGGAGUCCACUGUUCCCCCUUAUUUUUCUCCCUUUACUUUGAUUUCAAAAGCUUUGAGGACAAAGCAAGUUUUUAAGUGGAGUGGGUAAUAGCUUGCUUAGCUUGAAUGUUUAGUCUAAACUUGGGGGAUUUCAAAUUUUGCCCAAAUUAAGAAAAAAUUCAAAAAAAAUUUCCUUACAAUAAUGAGCAAUAUAGCUUCUUAGCUUACUUAGAUCUUGCAUAAAAAAUAUGACUAUCAACCCUUGAACACUGAGUGUAGCUGCAUCAUUCUUAACGCAUGAGAUCACGUCAACUCACUUCGAGAUAUAGUCAACAACCAAUAAUAUGUACACAUGAGUUCCAGACUAUGGAAAGGGGCCCAUGCAGUCUAUCCCCACAUAUGAAGGGUUUAACUCUAAGAUAGGUUGUUAGAGUAGUUCAUCGCGAUGGGUUAAAUUCCCUAUCCUCUGACACCUGCCACAUUUUAUCACAAAGUCCUUCACAUCAUGAAAGAGAGUUGGCCAGAAAUAGCCACUCUGUAAUACUUUUGCAGCAGUCUUUGGCCACCACAAUGUCCAUCAUAAGGUGCUUCGUGGCAUUUGGCUAGUAUGUCAGUUGUUUCGUACUCAGGCACACACUGCCUUAUUAUGGGAGUUGACUUAGUUUGUACAGAAAAGGCUCAUCCUACCUAUAAAAGCGACAUUCAUGAAAUAACUUCUUCGUUGCUUGACUGUUGAAAUCUUGCAGCCAUUCCUUACAAACAAGAUAAUUUAUUGUCGACGUACCAUGCUUCUUUUAUUUCAACGUGGAAAAGCUGCUCAUUUGGGAAUCUUUCAAAUCUCCUUGGCCUCGGGCUGAAGUUUAUCAUUCUUAAGUCGUUAUAAGUGAUCAUAUACUUGGUUCUAUGUGCCUUUGCAGUUAAUUAUCUCAACGUUAAAUUCCUGAAAUAACAAAAUCUAUCAUAUUAACUACGGUUUUGCAUCUUUGUUCACCAUAAGGUAUCUAAUCGUAGAGUGAUCCGAAUGCAAUGUGUUUUUUGAACCAAUGAUGUAACUUCUGAAUUNNNNNNNNNNNNNNNNNNNNNNNNNNNNNNNNNNNNNNNNNNNNNNNNNNNNNNNNNNNNNNNNNNNNNNNNNNNNNNNNNNNNNNNNNNNNNNNNNNNNNNNNNNNNNNNNNNNNNNNNNNNNNNNNNNNNNNNNNNNNNNNNNNNNNNNNNNNNNNNNNNNNNNNNNNNNNNNNNNNNNNNNNNNNNNNNNNNNNNNNNNNNNNNNNNNNNNNNNNNNNNNNNNNNNNNNNNNNNNNNNNNNNNNNNNNNNNNNNNNNNNNNNNNNNNNNNNNNNNNNNNNNNNNNNNNNNNNNNNNNNNNNNNNNNNNNNNNNNNNNNNNNNNNNNNNNNNNNNNNNNNNNNNNNNNNNNNNNNNNNNNNNNNNNNNNNNNNNNNNNNNNNNNNNNNNNNNNNNNNNNNNNNNNNNNNNNNNNNNNNNNNNNNNNNNNNNNNNNNNNNNNNNNNNNNNNNNNNNNNNNNNNNNNNNNNNNNNNNNNNNNNNNNNNNNNNNNNNNNNNUGGGAUGGCGAUUGGAAUUGAUUACUUUGGUUAAAAUUUAAGAUUAGAUUAAAAAAAUCAAUUAAUAGAUAAUUCCAUCCAAUCAAAAUAACUAAAUAAAAGACGAGAUUUGAAAAUAUAAUAUCCUAAUAGACACUAAUAGACUUAUAUUAAUAGAUAAUUUCCUGCCGAUGAAAAAUUACUAAAGUUGUACUAUAUUUUAUAAAUAUUUCAAAACAUUACAUAAACACUAAUUAAAGUUGGGUUUAGUAGCAAAAGGUUACAAAUUUAUUGACACCUUUUAGGAAAAAAAAUACCUUGACAUGAUGUAAACUAAAUUUGUAAUCAGCAUUGAAAUCUUUACUAUAUAAAUGGGCUCGUGGAGAAAAAAUUAUAUACAUCUAUUUUAUUCUUAAAUUGUCGAAAAAAAAUUAUAUUACCUUUUGUGAUCUAACGUAGUUGUGACUUUUAUAGUGUAAGUGUCCAUUUUAAUGUUUGGAAAGAUGAUUUUUCCAAUUUUUUAGUUUACAAAAUAAAGUUCUAUAUUUCAUAAAAUAAAACCUUAUGUUGAAUAUAUGUAACUAAUGUUGAUAGGAUGUGAUUGGUUGAUCUUCAAGAUACGAUGCAUUCUGUUUAGAGUGGAGAUGGUUGCACACACAUCAAAUUGGUGCAUUGAUUCCUCCAAAUUUACAUGUGAAAUGUAAAUGUAAAAGAAAAACAAAACAAACUCUUGCAGUUACACAUUAGGAAAAAAAACGUCACGAAAUUCCAAAGUUCAAAAGAAAACAAACAUACACAGGGAUUUAAUUGAUUCAAAGUAGUAACAAAUGGUGAAAAAAUGCAUAAUUUGUUGUGAUUUCACAUUAACAUGUUAGAAUAAAAAAUUAUCGUAUUCUAUAUAUUACAAUAUUGGAUCAAAUAUUAAUACAUUAAUUUAAUUAUUUAAUUACUACAUCAAUGAAUUUCUUUUUCUUUUUUAAAUAAUAAUUUUACCAUUAAUAUUAUAUAAUAUUUGUUUAUUAUAUGCUAAAGCAUAUUUAAAAAUUAAAUAGAAUUAAGAGAUUUCACGUGAAUUUAUGCACAUGUUUCAACUGAAAAGAUGGAAACAAUAGUCACAAAUUAUUUUUUCCUAAAACAAAACAUUCGUAACCAAAUCUAAAUAUGCACUUUCAUAACUAAGGACCAAAACUCAUAUUACGUAGAAUUGAGCAUGGUUUAAAUGAAAUUAUUAACAAAAUACUUACACUUUAAACCAGGUUUUUUGGCAACAUACAUAGUGAGAAAAUUCCAAAUUUACCCUCUUACUUGUAUCUUUUCAAUAAAAAGUGCAUCUUAGUUGUAAUUAUGUCAAAAUAAAAAUAAAAAAAUAACUCGUCAGUUAACGUGGUUAUUCAUUAAUUGAUUUGGGUGAACUUUCUGAAGAUAAAAAUAACAAAAACAAACAAACAAAAGACUAGAACAUGUUAUUUAAUUAUGUAAUUACAACUUCCCUUUCUCCUCCGUGAGAAAAAAAACCAUUUCUCUAAAUUUCAUCUAUAUAUGUGUAUUGAUCAAAUGACCCAUAUCAAUAAGGACACAAAAUUGGCAAAGAACAAAUAAAUUAAAAUGGACAAUAACUCUUGUUUCAUUACUUUCUCUCUCAUUGGAGUUCUUUUGUUCACCAUCAUUUCAAAUGUGGCAUCAUCUAACGACGUUGUUUCUACCAUCUGUUCAGAAAUCUCAAAUCCACAAUUUUGUUUAAGUGUGUUGAAAUCUGCAGGCACUACAGAUCUAAAAGGCUUGGCUGUAUACACCUUAAACCUUGCUCAUUCAAAUGCUGGCAAAUCUUUGAUCCUAGCCAACUCACUAGCAAAAGCCACCACCAAUCCUCAACUUAAGCAACGAUAUUCAUUUUGUGCUGAGAGCUAUGAUGAAGUUGUUGGUGACAUUGAAAAUGCUCAAAACGACUUGGCACUUGGGGACUUUAUUGGUGUCAUUAUUGCAACUACUGGUGCCAUGACAACUCUUGGUGAUCACUGUCAGAAUAAGCUCUUGCAGCCCGCCGAAGGAUACAUCGUUGCUUUUAAAGAAUAGCAACACUCUAGAUGAUAUAUUUAGCAUUAUUAUGGUUAUAUCCGAUCAUCUUUGAGGGUUAUGUACUUGAACAUUUUGAUCAAUAAAUAAACUGAAGUUUAAUUUUUAAAAUAAUAUUACAAUGUGAUGGUGAUUGGAAUUGAUUACUUACUUUGAUUAAACUUGAGAAGAUAAAGAAAAUCAAUUAAUAGAAACGUUCACCGACACACAUUGUCAGCACGUCGGAGAAAGCCUAAACUUUUUUUUCUUUUCUUUUACGUUCUGUUUUCUUUUCUUUGUUUGCCAUCAUCAUCAUCUUCUUCUUCUUCUUCUAGCUUCUUAUGUUCUGUUUCAAUUGCAUACUUCUGUUAUUCUUGUAAUUUCUUCGUGGUUUUCUUUUUAACUUUGUGUUUCAGUGUGGAUUCAUAAACACAUUUUUCAGUGCUCUGGAUUCUGGAUCUGUUAUGAUUUGAAAGGGUACAGUGAAGUGAAAAGUUGAAAUGGAAAAGAAAAAAAGAAGAAAAGAGGACACUUCUCGCGGUGGUGGCGGCAAAGACUGACGUCGACGACAACACAACUCUCCUCCUCUCCCUAUAUCUCGGCCGAUUUUGGGUUUAUUUUCGUUUUGCAUUCUGUUAUGUGUAGAAGGGAGAAUAAAUAGUGUGGACUUUCCCCGACAUCUUCGAAAACGUUGGGAAAUUUACCUUUCGCCGACGUAUGUAGUACACACGUCGGAGAAAGUUUAAAUAAUAAAUUCAUUAUUUAAACUUUCCCCGACGUACUCCUGUCAUACGAGUCUAAAUUAAAUUUAAUGCGUUCUCCUUCGGCGAUGUGUGUCAAGGUGACGUUGGAAAAAGUUUAAACACUAAUGCAAUUAUUUUAAAUCACAUAUGUUAUCGCUUAUAUGGCAUAAGAGUCUAUUAACGAUAGAAAUCUAUCUUGAUAGGUUUUGCUACAUUUACAAUUUUUAAAAAUAUUCUUAUAUACUUAACUAUUAUUCCUAAAAUUGCUAACCCAUUAUACUUACCCUAAGUUAAAUGUAUAAUGUCAAAAGUAAGUUUACUACGAAGGUAAUCUAUGUGACCCUUUUAUCCUAACGUAGGAAGUUUGUUCCACUCCAUACCAUUAUUGAACUAAAAGGAUUAAGUGUGUAUUAAUAUGUUUAAACAAGUAUAAUUAUAGCAAAAUCUAUAAGUGAUAUAUUGAUAUUAGCAAUACAAUACGCGUCACAUAUGCAAACAUUUUGUGUCUAAUCGUUGUAUUUACAAUUAACUCCAUUAAAAUAUUACAAAUAGAAAUAGAACUCUUUAACUAUGUUCAGUUAGGAUCACAAACUACAAAAUGAAAGCAUGGAACAAAUUUAAUUUUUUUUUUCUUUAAAGGAAAUUUUGUGUGUAGCACAUUAUAUUUUUUUCUUUCCUUUAAAAAACAUUAUUGAUCUUAUGAUAUUUGACAUAUAUUAUAUUUUUUUAAGAAUGUAAAUAAUGUAAAUAAUGUGCCAAAUAAUUGAAAACAUGUUAUCCAAAACAGAGAAUGGUUAAGAAAUUGUUGACAUUUAGUCAAAUUAAUAAAUAAUUCAAAAUUGUGUUUGAUUUUUGAAUUUGAAAAGAUAGUAAAUUAGAAGUGUUUUGAAAUAGUGUUUACGAGAAGAUUUUUAAUUUUAAAUAGCAUUAUAGUAGCUAUGGAUGGUUAUAUAAUAGUCUACACAAUCUUUGUCACAAAUGAUUAAUUCGAUUUUUUAAAUCAAGUCUAAUGUUUUUUUUUUUUUUUUUGCCUAUUUCUUACCAUAAUUUACAUUUUUUGUAAGUAUAAUGGUUGAAUGCAAAAAGAGAGCUGACUAGUAAGUGCAAAAAGAGAUCUCACAAGCUUCUGCAAAAGCUAAUCAAGCAACCCAAAUCAUAAACGAGGAGAAAAGUUGAUUGGUUAAGCUUUGUUGUAGUAAAGAAGUCAAAGUGAACAUGGAACGUUCUUCACUCUCAAAGAACAUCGCCAACAUAUAGAUUAUAUACUUUUUCUGGUAUUGACCCAAAAAACCAAUCCAAGUGUAUUUUUGGUGAGAUGCAUAGUUUAACUAAACCGUGUUAUUACAAAAUUUUUAAUUACUAGGAACUCCUAAUGAAACGAAUACAUUAUUUUUAUAAUUACGAGGUAAAAUGGAAACAUACAAACUACUAAAAAAAGUUGCAAUUCGAUUAUUGGGAUUCAAUCUACUCUCCAUGAAUGUUCUUGAAAUGAGAGUUUUUAAGCAGCUACAACUUGCUUAUGUAUAAAAGCAAAACCCUUCUCAACGCCUACCUUCAGUUUUGGCUUUAGAGCUUCAAGUGAUUUUUGCCCCUACUCAGAUAAACCCUGAAGAUCAGAUGUUACAAAGGCUUCAAUUCCACAUGCAAAAAUCAUGUUCAUGAACCAAAAGCACCUUAAGCUUCUCUUCGAUAUCUUUGAGCUCACUGGAUAAAGAACUGAUUUCUAAAGCAAUCAUCUCUACCAUAUCCUCAUCGUUCCCACUGUCUUUUAAUAAGGUUGGCAUGAUAAUCACAACAAAGAAGAAGAAACUAAGAUCAAUUUAACAAAUUUUAUGUUGGGAAACUUUUUUAAGAACAACUACUUAUAAACCAACCUUAGCUUUGGCCUCACAUUCCUUGAAUUUUCUAAAAGUAGAUACCACCUGUCCGGGCAACCCACACCAACCAACCAAGAGUAAGUUAGUGUGAAAGACACUUAUUUAAUGAAGAAUAUGUAAAAGAGGUCAUUCCAACUGUUACACAUAAUAGUAUUGGAGGCAGAUAACCUUGCCAUACCUCAUCAAGUUCUGAUAUUGAUUGAGCUAGUUUUUGAUACUCUGUGGGGUUUGAGACAAUAUCUGGAUUGACCAGCUUAACCUAAAUAAUAAUAUCGAUAGUGAUUAUUGUGUAGGAAAAUAUUAAAGCUAUAACCAAAUCAAAAGCAUAAUUGGAAAUACAGGGACGUCAACUGUUUUAGUAGGGGAGAAUGUCAAGAGCAUGCUUGUCCAAGGCAUUGUUUGCCCAUGGCCGCAUGGCCGAACAUCCUCAAACCACCUUAUAUUUAUGUCUUAUACUUAGUUUAGCCAUUUUGUUUCCUUUUGUUGUCGCCGACCUAGGGUGUGACGUUUCAAAAUUUUCAUAUGCAAGUCUAUCAUAACUAAAAAUGUUUAAAAUGUACUAUAGGGAAGACAUAGUAGUUGAAUCCCUGACCAAGCCUUGUUGCACUCUUUGCAUUCUAAUCUUUCUUUGCAAUUAACAGUCUUCAAUGCUUUCUUUAACGAUGUUUUCAAUUCUUUUCUUCUCUUCUUGUCUUAUAAAAAUAAAUUUCUCUCAAAACAUGAAAGAGGCUAUACCGUACUGCGUGCUUUUUGCGACUUCUGGAUUUCAUACAGCUUACUUGUUCACCGAGCUAGAACAAACGUCGCAUAAUCACCAUCCCCUAUUUGAAAAUUUACGAUUAUGACAGCAUGCGGUGAGGUGCACGCGGCAUGUGUGGGCCCAAGCCAAGCAUGCAACUGGCAUUCUGAUACUCUAUGCACGUGCAUGCUGCCUGCGCCCAUGCCGUGCAGCCAGCAUUGUCAUGACGUAGUUUUUGGGAUGUUUGGUGUUUUGGGAAAUUUUGAGCAAAUUCUGGAUGUUCGAGCAUGCGGAUGUUCUAUGCAAUGCAACCAGCAGCCCAUAUGUUCUAUGUUCUCUUUACGGUCGUAUGUACACAUUUGGUUAACUCUACUACUAAUGGGAAAGUUGACGAGCCUAUGCUGAAUUCAUCAGGAAAGGUGUACUUUAUUGAGCCCAUUGAGGAGAAGGAUACCUUCUUUUUUCGAAGAGGUGUUUCAAUGCCUAGGCCGUCUUUUGACAAUGAGGUGUUAAUAUUACCUAGACUUCAUGCUAAGAACGGGUUGUGAAUUUAUAAUCAAGAAUGCAGUUCGAGUAUCAUGUCUUUCAAAUGAUUUCCAACAGCUUGAAUGUUUCUAUAAGACAAGAAUUUAUGCUUAACUGUUUUAGAAAGCAUGUUUUAUAAAAAUUGUCACUCACUAAGUCUUUCGACUUAUCCUUUCAAAUCAUUUCUCACUUUUCAGGUAUGGAUUAUGCAUUCCCUAAUGUUAAGCGUAUUGCUGCUGAGCCAACCAGUUACUAGAAAUUGUUAAGUCAUUUUGAAAGUUAGUUUUGACUUUGUAAGAAAAGUUCAGGAUGAGCAUGUCUAUGUUUAUUGUUAAAGUUCCAAUGUUAUAAGUAGUUUAGUAAAAAGGUCACUGUCAUGUUUAAAGCUUCUGCUGAUGUAUCACAAUAGUUGUAACUAGUGGUUUAAGUUAUUAGUUUGCAUGUAGCUUGUAUCGCUGUUUGUUUUGAGCAUGCAUUCAUGUUGUAACUGGUAGUUAAGUUAGAAAGGUUAGUCGGUUGGUAAGUUUUGCCAAGGUAUGGCAAUCCUUGCCAACCCUCGCACCUUCUUUCAGAGCUAGAUGUUGUUCAGAAAAUAAGGAGCUUUGGGAGGGGGUGGUGACAACAACACCAUCCCACUAGAGUACGCAAUGAUGCAUUAUUGUUUAAUUAAGUCAUAUAUACUUCCACAAUUUGGAUAGGAAUUUAACUCAUUAGAAGGUGUCCUAUAGAAUUUCUCAGUGAAAAGUUCAGAGAAGCUACAAACAAAUGUCACUACCGAACAACAAUCAUAUACAUGGGUUAGGGCUUUGAGCAGUGUGAACACAACUUAAUAAUAAAUAUGAAGUCGUCCUCUUUUCAUCAUUAGUCAGAAGAAUUCUUAAACUUUCUAAAAAUAAUUGUCAAAUAAUUGAUUAUAUAGUAUGCCAUUUAUUUGGAAUACAAUUUUUUCAUUACCAGGAAAGGAGACUUCUCACUAAGUAAAUGUAAAGAGACUAAUGCUAUAAUUUGAAUUGGAAAAUAUAAUUUCAUAAUUAAGCAUCGAAUAGGGACUAGUUAAGAAGUACACACUUUAGUUUGCCAGAGUCCAUGUUCUACACAUGUUAGCCACUCUGUCAUUGGUUUAGCAGUAAAACAAAGGAUGUGUUUAGGAUGUGAGCCACACAAAAGGGAAAGAAAACAGAAGGCGCAGUGAGCCACACAAAAGGGAUCGAAACGAAUGUUCAGAAAUAUCGGAAGGAUCGAAGAAAUAUGGAAGGAAAGACGAGGAAAAACAACAGACCGGAGCAAGUUCAAGAAGGUAGAGAUCCCGAUCUUCAAUGGAAUAGACCCCGAUUCAUGGUUAUUUCGCGCCGAUCGUUAUUUCAAGAUACACAAGUUGACUGACUCAGAGAAGUUAAUGGUAGCGGUAAUCAGUUAUUAGGACCAGCUUUGGAUUGGUAUAGAUCAAUUGAUGAAUUGGAACAAUUCAAGAGUUGGGAAGAUUUGAAGCAAAGGUUGUUGUCCGAUUUCAGACGAUUCGGGAUGGAACACUCGUAGGCAGAUUCUUAAGGAUUAAGCAGGAAACGACAGUAGGGGAAUAUAGAAACAGUUUCGAUAAAUAUUUAGCUCCGGUAGCCUUCCUCCAGACCAUAGUAUUAGAAGAAACCUUUAUGAAUGGGCUAAGCCCAUGGCAUAAAUCCGAAGUUGAAACGCUGGAGCCCAUAGGUUUGGCCAAGAUGAUGUAACUAGCCCUGAAAUUGAAAAUAGAGAGAUGGUUCGUCGAGAAUGUGGGCUUAGUAGUGUUUCGGGAAUGAAUCAACAAUUCAAGCAUAAUAACGUAAAGCAAACCUCGACAGUAACACCCAAUCAGAAACCCACGGAAGGGAGCUGGCCAAUGAGAACGAUUACGUUAAAAAGAGUGACGGCAGAUGAAAAGAGGAGGGAAGGUCCGACCAAGCGUCUUUCCAACGCUGAAUUUCAAGCACGAAGGGAAAACGGUCUGUGUUUUCAGUGUGAGGAGAAGUAUCACGCUGGACAUAGGCGUAAGGUGAAGGAACAGAAGGAAUUACGGAUGUUAGUAGUAAAGGAAAUGGGAGAAGAACUGGAAAUCAUUGAGGAUGAACACUUUGAUGUGGAAACGGAGGCCCAGACCAUUGAAAUUGAAAAAGUGGAGAAUAUGAAUAUAGAGCUACCAUUAACUCAAUUGUGGGGUUAUCCAACCCUGGAACCAUGAAACUGAAAGGGAAGAUAAAAGAGACCAAAGUGGUAAUAAUCAUCGACAGUGGAGCCACCCACAGUUUUAUUGCAAAAAAUUUUGUAACCACCCUUAGCCUACCAAUGACAGAAACGUCCAACUAUGGAGUGAUUUUGGGAUCAGGGGUUGCGGUCAAAGGAAAAGGAAUCCGCAGUAAUGUUGAAGUGACGGUAGGAGAGUGGAAAAUUACAAACAACUUUUUACCCUUGGAAUUAGGGGUGGUUGCACUCAUUGGGCAUGACUGAAUUUGAUAUGAAAAAUUUGGUGAUGACAUUCCGACAUGGAGGAAGGAAGAUAGAGAUAAAGGGGGACCCUAGUGUCACCAAAACCCAAGUGAGCCUAAAGUCUAUAAUUAAGACAUGGGGAGCUGAUAAUCACGGUUAUUUGGUAGAAUGUCGGGCCAUGGAGGGAAGGCUAGCUGAGGAAGGCUUAGAGGAUGAAGAAGUGCCAGCCACUGUUGACAACAUGAUCUCUCCUCUGUUGAGCAAAUUUAAUGAUGUUUUUGAUUGGUUGGAAGAGCUGCCUUCGAAGAGGAACAUUGAGCACCAUAUACCCCUUCAGAAGGGGGUGGAUCCAGUUAAUGUCAGACCUUAUCGUUACGCACAUCGGCAAAAGGAGGAAAUUGAAAGACUAGUUGAUGAAAUGUUGAAGACAGGCAUCAUAUGACCGGGUACCAGUCUGUAUUCCAGCCCAGUCCUUCUCGUGAAAAAGAAAGAUGAUAGCUGGCAAUUUUGUGUAGAUUAUCGGGAGUUGAACAAUGUCACUAUCCCAGAUAAGUUCCCAAUUCCGGUCAUAGAUGAGUUAUUCAAUGAGCUGAAUGGGGCCAACAUGUUUUCGAAGAUUUAUUUAAAGGCGGGUUAUCACCAAAUCAGGAUGCAUCUGAGAGGUGUAGAGAAGACGACCUUUCGAACACAUGAGGGACACUAUGAGAGGUCAUGCCGUUUGAGCUAACCAAUGCCCCCUCUACGUUCCAAGCAUUAAUGAACCACAUCUUUAAGCCUUAUAUGAGAAGAUUCGUAUUAGUGUUUUUCGAUGACAUUUUGGUGUACAACAGGGGAGUAGAAGAACAUGGACAGCAUCUGGAAGUAGUCUUGGAGAUCCUUCGAGAGAAUGAAUUGUAUGUGAAUUUAGCCAAAUGUUGCUUUGCCAAAAGUAGAAUAGGUUAUUUGGGGCAUUUCAUAUCCGAAAAGGGAGCUAAAGUUGAUCCAGAAAAAAUAAGGGCAAUUAGGGAAUGGUCGAUUCCCACUAGUGUGCGAGAAGUUCGAGGUUUCUUAGGACUCAAUUGAUACUAUAGGAAGUUUGGGCAGAAUUAUGGCAGUAUCGAAAGCCCUUUGACACAGCUUUUGAAGACAGGAACUCAUUGUUGGACUGAAGAAGCAAGUGCUGCCUUUGAGAAGUUGAAGAUGGCAAUGAUGAUUCUACCGACGUUAGCUAUGCUGGACUUUAAUCUACCACUCGAGAUAGAAACAUAUGUAUCUUGUUUUGGUGUGGGGCCGUUUUAGUACAAGCCAAGAGACAAAUAUCCUUCUUUAGUAAAACCUUAUGCAUGUGGGAUAGAGCGCGACUGGUUUAUGAAAGAGAAUUGAUAAUAGUAAGUGUUUUGCGGUGCAAAGGUGGAGACCAUAUUUGUUAGGGAAGAAAUUUACAGUGAAAACUGAUCAGAAGUCGCUCAAAUUUCGGCUAGAACAAAGGGUGAUUCAACCCUAAUACCAAAAAUGGAUAGCCAAUCUUUUGGGAUAUUUCAUUUGAGGUAGUCUGCAAUCCUGGGAUUGGAGAAUAAGGCAGCCGAUGCUCUAUCUAGAACACCCCGUAUAGUGCACUUAAAUCAAAUAUCAGCCCCAACACUACUCGAUUUAGUGGUGAGUCAAGAAGAGGAAAAGAGGGAUCAAUACCUACAGGAAAUCCAGAAGAAAAUAGAAAGAACAAAAAGUGAAAGUUCCAAACUUUUCAGUACAGCAAGGGGUAUUGAAAUACAAAGGAAGGUUGGUGAUGUCAAAAACAUCCGUUCUACUACCCACUAUUCAUGCAUACCUAUUCAUGAUUUUGUCUUUGGAGGACAUUCAGGGUUCCUAAGAACGUACAAGAGGAUGACCGGAGAGAUUUACUAGGAAGGAAUGAAGAAAAACAUAAAGAAAUACUAUGAAGAAUGUCUUGUAUGCCAAAGGAAUAAAACACUUGCAUUAUUACCUGCUGGAUUGCUGCUGCCACUUGAGAUUCCUAACACAGUGUGGUCGGAUAUUUCCAUGGAUUUUAUAGAUGGACUUCCAAAAUCAGCUGGAAAAGAAGUGAUUUUUGUGGUUGUAGAUUGUCUGAGUAAGUAUGCACAUUUUUACAGCUAUAAAUCAUUCUUACAUGGCCAGCUUCGUAGCAGAAGUUUUUGUUAAAGAAGUGGUGAGAUUGCACGGGUAUCCGCAGUAAGUUGUAUCGGAUCAAGACAAAAUCUUUAUUAGUCAUUUCUGGAAGGAAAUGUUCAAGUUAGUGGGAACUAAAAUAAAUAGAAGGAAAUGUUCAGGUUAGUGGGAACUAUGCCACAUACACCAAGUUCGAAUAUAGAACUUGCUUCUUACUGAAAAAAUAAUGAUUAUUGGGACUUGCUAUAAAGGGUAUCCAAUACUCGAAGUAAAUGAAUGAUUACAAAAUGAUUGUUUCCUCAGUUUGAAGAAGAACAACAAAAAAGAAAAGAAGGAUAAAAAAAAAAAAAAACAAACUUUCUUUUUGAAAUUCUAAAAGAAUCCAAAAAGACUUCAAAAGGUGCAACCAAGAAAGGAGGUCAAAGAAGGGCUCUGAUAGACCCCCCUAUCAUACGUCAAUAUAGUCGAAAAAAAAAGAGAGAGAUCACAAGGGAACACACAUGCGAAGAAGAAAAGAUUUAAAGGACUGUUAGAAGAAAAGAUUUAAAAAGCUUGUUGGGCGUCGGUUAGAUUUGAGGAGAUUUAGGAGGGUCGUUAGGUGUUGAUUAGAAUAAAUAAGGAUAGGGAGGAAAGAGGAGGGUAUGCUGAGUUUAGAAGAAAAUUGACUCAUGCUCUUCCUUGAGCGAUAGGAUAGCAGAGAGGGAAUUAGAUUGUUUUUCGAAUUGAGUCCUCCUCAAUUUGAGUGUUCUGAUAUUUUGAUUUUCCUUGUAACUCAUUCUUUGAUUGAAGCAAUAAAAGUUCUAAUUGGAUUUCCAAAAGAGUUCUAUCAAAUUGGUAUCAGAGACAGUUUUUUCUGACCAAGAGGAAAAUGAUGGUCCAAACACGAAUGAAGGAGAGAAUGGAGGCGCACGACCAGGAGAUGCAUUUGAUGAGAAGCGAGAUAAGCAAAAUUUCGACAAUGAAAGAAAUAUUAGCCACGAUCAGCGUACAGACAAAGAAGACUCACAAAAUGUUGAUAAUGUUCAUGGAAUCGAUUACCAGAGAGCAUAUCGUUAUGAGUGAGAAAAUGGCCGAGUCGAGUGUGCGAGAGACAGUAUCAACAAUAACGAAUAAGAAGGAAGGCUCGAUCGAAAAGGACCAUGAGCACGAAACAAAGGAUGGAAAGAUAGAAGGAGAAGACGGAGCGAACGAGCAUAAUAAGUUCAAGAAGGUUGAGAUGCCAGUUUUCAACACGGAAGAUACCCAAUUUUUGACCCUUUCGAGCAGAUAGAUAUUUUCAGAUACACAAAUUGACUGAUGCUGAGAAGGUCCUGGUUGCGACCAUUAGUUUUGAAGGCCCGACGCUGAACUAGUAUAGGGCGCAAGAAGUACACGACAAGUUUACCAGUUGGUCGAACCUCAAGGAGAGAAUACUCAUCCGUUUUCAAUCAGCAAAAGAGGGGUCCAUAUGCGGACAAUUUUUUAGGAUCGGAUAACAGACGACAGUAGAAGAAUAUCGAAACCAGUUAUAUAAGCUGAUGGAACCGUUAUCCGAUCUACAAGACAGAGUGGUGGAGGAAACAUUCAUGAACGGUUUACUGCCGUGGAUUAAAGCAGAAGUGGAUUUUUGUCGUCCGGUCGACGUGGCUCAAAUGGUGCACGCGGCUCAACUCGUAGAAAAUCGAGAGAUAAUUCACAAUGAGGCCAACCUUAAGGGGUACGCCCAAGGAAAAUAUCCGCCUCAAGGUUCUAGGCAAAAUACGAGUGCUGCGACGGUGAACGAUAGCGACAAUAAGAGAAAUACAUUAUUUUCGAUGAGAACGAUUACUCUGAGAACGACAUCCAGAGAAGUUAAGAGAGGGGCAGGCAAAGCGAUUGUUAGACGCGGAGUUUUCAAGUCAGGAAGGAAAAAGGACAUUGUUUUCCGUUGUAAUGAGAUAUAUUAUCAUGAUCAUCGAUGCAAAAACAGAGGGCAAAGAGAGUUGAGAAUGUACGUGGUCAGGGCGAAUGAUGAAGAAUUUGAAAUCAUAGAAGAAGUGGGAGAAAAUGAAUUGUUUGGAAAUCACAUAAGAAGAUCAUGUUGUCAUCGAACUGUCAAUUAAUUCGGUGGUGGGGCUGAACAAUCCGAGGACAAUGAAGGUGAGGGGGAAUAUCAGUGAGCGAGAAGUUUUCAUUUUCAUUGAUUGUGGAGCAACGCACAACUUCAUCUCCGAAAAGAUAGUAAAGGAGUUACAACUGGCCACGAAGGCAACGUCGCACUAUGGUGUAAUCUUGGGCUCGGGGAAGGCGAUAAAAGGUAAAGGAGUAUGUGAGGACGUGGAAAUCAAGUUGAACGGGUGGAAGGUGGUGGAAAAUUUGUUACCCUUAGAAUUGAGAGGGGUAGAUGUUGUGUUAGGAAUGCAGUAGUUGUAUUCAUUGGGCAUGACGGAAGUAGAUUGGAGGAACCUCACAAUGACUUUUGUGCAACAAGGAGAAAAGGUAGUGAUAAGAGGAGACCCAAGUUUGACCAAAUCCAGAGUGAGUCUCAAGAACAUGAUCAAAAGUGUGGAAGGAUUCGUGAUCGAGUGCCGAGCAAUGGAGAGAGUCUUUGAGCCACAGGAAGAUAACGGGAUUGAAGAAGUAUUAACUACUGAUGAAGCAGUAUCGGUCGUGUUGAAGAAUUUUGAAGAUGUUUCUAAUUGGCCGAAGACACUACCCCCGCAAAGAAAUAUUGAACAUCACAUUCAUUUGAAACAGGGCACUGAUCUGGUAAAUGUUCGACCCUAUAGAUACGCUUAUCAACAGAAAGCUGAGAUGGACAAACUUGUGGAUGAGAUGUUGACAGCGGGAAUUAUCCGUCCCAGCAACAGUCCAUAUCUAGUCCAGUUCUAUUGGUAAUGAAAAAAGAUGGCAGCUGGCGUUUUUGCGUAGACUACCAAGCGCUGAACAAUGUAACCAUUCCAGACAAAUUCCCUAUUCCGGUGGUUAAGGAGCUUUUCGAAUGAAUUAAAUGAAGCAAACUGGUUUUCAAAGAUUGAUUUGAAGGUGGGGUACCAUCAGAUCAAAAUGUGUGGAGAAGACAUCGAAAAAGCAGCAUUCCGAACACAUGAUGGACACUAUGAAUUUAUGGUUAUGCCAUUCGGCUUAACUAAUGCCACAUCCACUUUCCAAGCUCUGAUGAACUCAACAUUCAAACCAUUUUUGCAGAAGUUCAUAUUAGUGUUUUUCGACGACAUACUAAUCUACAGUGAGAACUUGGAACACCAUUUGAAGCACAUUGGGUUAGCAUUGGAAAUCCUGAGAAAGAAUGAGUUAUAUGCAAACAAGAAGAAGUGCAGCUUCGCACAAGAACGUAUUGAUUAUUUGGGUCAUAUCAUUUCAAGACAAGGAGUUGAAGUGGACCUUGAGAAAAUCAGAGCAAUCACGGAAUGGCCUAUACCCAGUAAUAUAAGAGAGGUACGGGGAUUCCUAGGCCUCACCUGUAACUAAAGAAAGUUCGUUCAGCACUAUGGCUCCAUUGCCGCACCAUUGAUUCAACUACUUAGGAAAGGGGGAUUCCAGUGGACUGAGGAGUCUAAGGAGGCAUUCCAACAACUACAAAAUGCGAUGAUGACCCUGCCCGUUUUGGCGUUGAAAAAAUUUCAAUGCCACAUUUGAAAUGGAAACCGAUGCAUCGGGAUAUGGGGUAGGAGUCGUACUCGUCCAAGCCAAGCGUCCCAUAGCAUACUUUAGUCAUACGUUAGCCUCAAGAGAUAGAGCCAAGCCUGUACAUAAAAGGGAAUUAAUGGCAGUGGUCUUGCAUGUGCAACGAUGGCGACCAUAUCUGUUGGGGAGAAAAUUUAUUGUGAAGACCGAUCAGAAAUCCUUGAAGUUCUUGUUAGAACAAAGAGUGAUACAGCUUCAGUAUCAGAAAUGGGUAGCGAAGCUAACGGGAUACUCAUUUGAGGUGGUCUACAAACUCAGCUUGGAGAAUAAAGCAGUAGACGCCUUGUCUUGGAUGCCUCCUACAAUUAACCUCGGUAGCAUAACAGCUCCUACAUUGGUUGACAUUCUGGUGACUAAAAAGGAAGUCAAAGCGUAUGAAAAAUUAAGCAAAAUAAUGGAAGAACUACAAGCAAUGGAAGAAGUAACAGAGGGUAAAUUCUCCAUCCGACAAGGUAUGUUAAGAUAUAAGGAUAAGUUUGUGUUGUCCAAAACAUCUACAUUGAUACCCACAAUCCUACAUACUUACCAUGAUUCGGUACUUGUGAGGAAUGUGUAAUAUGUCAGAAGAACAAGUCCCUAGUGUAACGAGCAUACUUGUCCAAGGUGUGUUUACCUAUGGCCGUAUGCUCCGAUUAGCCCCAAUUUACCUUGUCUUUAUGUCUUGCACGUAGCUUAGGUAGUUGCUUUCAAUUUCAAGUCGAUAUGCUUGGGUGUGACGUUUCGGCAUUUUCAUAUGUUAAAAAUGUACUAUAGGGGAGGCAUACCUGUUGAAUCCCUGCCCAAGCCUUGUCGUACUCUUUGCAGUCUAUGCUUUCUUAUUGCAAUUGACAGUCUUCAAUGCUUGUUUUAACAACGUUUUCAAUCAAUUUAAUCAUCUUUCAUGUUUUCUAAAACUAUUUUUCCAAGAACGUGAGGGGAGGUUGAAGUAUGUGUUAAAGUUGUCUGCGAUUUGCAGAUUUUGAUCGGCUGACUUGUUCGCCGAGCUAGAACAAGUGCCGCACAAUCGUUCACAAUCGUGUAUGGGUUUCGUAAGGGUUACACAGUAAAGGAAGAGUAAGAAUUUGAGUGGAGAAACUCCAAUUGGGAUCAACACGUGGGCAACAACAUGGCUUCUCACCAACAUGAGAACUCAAAAGAGACAGCAGAUAUUCUAGAGAAGCCAAUGAACUCUUGGGAUGUGAAUCUGCACUUUCCUGCAAUAGUUUGAGUGUGAAUUAGUUCUCUGAAAACACCUGCAGAGGAUAAUCCACGGCAAAACAGAAUAACUAUAAAAAAACCACUUGCAAGUAGAAGAAAAAGGAAGUACAUUUAUACCUUCCCUGUCAAAGUGAUAUCCCUCAUCAACGGAUAUGCAUUUCUUUCCAGGAAGUAGCCAACAAUUUUACAAACCCAUGGGAGUUUAGGUUGUAAUAAGAAAACAAUUGUGUCCAACAAUAGAGUUGCAGGUGUGUUAGAGUUCACAGGUGCAGCCAAAAGUUGAUUCCUCAAUUGGUUUCUAUCAAGAACAACAUCAAGUAAGAAUAAUUCGGAGGAAAAAUAAAGGCAACUUAUCAUAUAUAUAAAUAUGAUUAGUCUGAAUUCGUUUGCGGAAGGUAAAAAAACCUUUAUGUCAAUUAUAUAUAUCUGAACAAAAUCUAAGAAAUAUAUCACUUUUCAACAAAAGAAAUAUAUCAUAUACAAUUAAAGGAUCAUAGCAUAGAAAGCCAACAAAAUCAACAAUGAUAGAUCAAACAUCUGUUUUUCCAUUCAAAACGUUAAAAAGGAUAAGUUUUUAAUAAGGAAUGUUGAAAUGGAAAAAACUAAUUACCUAUUAUGGUGUACAAUCUGGAUGCAAGCAUAUGCAAAUUUCUUAACUCUGUAAUCCACUAAGGCCUUGUUAAGUACAUAAUCCUUGCUAGCGAAAAUGCUCAACAUAUCCCCUAUAUAUGUAAGAGAGAGAAAGGUUAGAAAGUACUAACACUAAGAGAUAUGUGCUAUCAAUUAGAAACACUUUAAGAUGACAUUAUCAAUUAGAAAACCAAGUAUUAAGCAACAUAAGGGAAAAUAACAAACAAGGGCACCACAGUGGUUCAGAAACCAAUCAAUAUUUCCAUUUGUCACUUUUAUAAUAAUUUCCCAAGGGAAAAUCCUCAUAAUAAGCUUGAGUACCACCUAAUAACGUGUUCAAAUGUUACCAUAAGCAAAAAUGAGUGAUCCUAAAAUUCAUAUGACAAGGAAAGUCGUCAACUAGCAACCGCCAAAUAACAGUUAUAUGGCUAGAAUUAGUUUUCUCCAACUUCAAGAAAAUAAAACAUAUUAAAACAAAAGGAAUUAUGGUGCAAAAUAAUGAAUAUGCUGCAAAGGUAAGAAGUUUCUGAAGGUAAAAAUGGUCAAUAAAAAACAACAUAUAAUUUGACGUAAAUCAAAGUAGAAUUAUUUCUCGCAAUGAAUUCUCUGCCAAUAAUGGCUAAGAGAAGGGGUAUUUAUUGAGAAUUAGUUGGCCAGGCAGAAAUCAUCUAGGGCAUAGUAUUGUUUUAGGUCUGCGACAUUAAAAACAUAAUGAAUGUGUAAGUCUGGUGGUAGUUCUAUUUUGUAAGCAUUAUCUCCGAUCCUCUUUAGGACACGGAAUGGUCCUAAUUGUCUGUCUUUUAGUUUGUUGUAUGUUUCGGUUGGAAAUCGAUUUUUUCUUAGGUGAAUCAUUACUAAAUCUCCCUUGGUAAAGGUAGUUUGUCUUCUUUUUCUGUCUGUUGCGUCUUUGUAGGACUGAGUUGUUUCUUUUAGGUGAUUGUGGACUUCUUCGUGUAAAUUCUGGAUUUUUUCUAUCAUCUUUUCUGCCUCUGAUAGUUAGGGAACUCAACACAUUUUACUUGACCUAACCAAGAUGGCUCUUUGUAUGUAUAUUGCAUGUGUUGUUUGUUUUUUUCUAUAGCUCUUGAUUGUCUCACUUUUUUACGUUUUGCAUUUGCAAUUCUCUUUUCUUUCUUUGGUAUGCAAUGUGGUAACAAGGUCUUGCUAGAACCGGUGGGCUAACCUUUCUAUGGUUCUAAACUUAGUUUCUAAGUUUGACUGCUCCCUUCGGAGUGACAACAAGCCUCGUUUUUCUCCCUACUAUGGAACGGGAGGAUUCAUUUUCUUUUCAAAGCCCUCGUCAAACUCAAUGCUAAGUUUGACUGCUCCCUUCGGAGUGACAACAAGCCUUGUUUUCCCCUAAUGUGGAUCGGGGAGGAUUCCUUCUCUUUUCAAAGCCCUCAUCAAACUCGAUGUUGUGUUUAGAACGCUAAGAGUAGGUGGUCUGGUUUUGGUUAGGCCAAAAGUGAAGUUUUCCCCCAUUUUUUAUGGGCUUUUUCUAAUGUAUAUUGGAUAUGUUGUUUGAUUUUUUUUAUAGCUCUUGAUUGUCUUACUGUUUUAUGUUUUGCAUUGUCAAGUCUCUGUUUUCUUUCUUUGGUAUGCAAUGUGGUAACUAGGUCUUGCUAGAACCGGUAGGCUAACCUUUCUAUGGUUCUACAUUUAGUUCCUAAUUAAGUUUGAUUGCUCCCUUCGGAGUGACAAUAAGUUUUGUUAAUGUCGACCCUUUUCUAAAGGGAUUUAGUUCACUGUGGCUAGGCAAGAGGUUUCUAACUCAUGUUUGACAAGACAAAUUUGUUAAAACCAUCUUAGUUUCUAAAGAGUGCCUCCUAUCCCUUUUUUACUCUAUCUAGGCUAGGUUUGGACUAAGUGCAUCAUAGGUAAGUCACGACAAAGCAACAAAGGAAGACAAAGCUAGAAAAGUAUUCAUGCACUUAUUUAUUAUACAUGCAAUCAAGCAUUCACAACAUACAUACCAUUUUCUCAAUCAUGCAUUCACACCUCAAUAAGAAAUAGCUAAAAGGAGCUUACAACAAAAAAGACAGCCGCUUAUUCUCAAAUUUCAGCACAUAUACUCAUCAAAAUUUAGAAUUUCACAUUGCAAACCCGAGCUCAGUGCUCAAGGGUUGCCAAUCAUGCUUUUUAUGCAAGAUCUAAUUAAGCUAAGAAGGUAUAAUGCUCAUUUUGUAUGGAAAGAAUUCUGAAAUUUUUUUUAAAUUUGGGCAAAAUUUGAACCCCGAAGUUUAGACUAAACAUGCAAGCUAAGCAAGCUAUUACCCACACCCACUCAAAAAAUUGCUUUGUCUGUCCUAAAAGCUUUUGAAAAUCAAAGUAAAUGGAGAAAAAUAAGGGGGAACUUUGGACUCCCCUAGAAGGAUCGACAUCCUUGACUUUGGUUUGAAGCUUGCAUGGAUAAACCUUUUCAUUCCUUUUUAAUUGAUUAUUCAUCCUUGUUCCUGAAAAUCAAAGGAAAUUCUCUCAAUUUUAUAUAUUACUAAAAUUAGGAUACAUAUAAGUCUUAACUAGUCUAAUAGCACCCUCCAUUCAUCUUCCCCUACACUGGCUAUGGUAUCAAAAUUUUCAAUUAAGUAAUACGUCUACUAACGAACUUGAAAACAAAACACAUCACACUAAAAAACACAAACAUCACUUUAACCCAACAGAAGCUGCUCUUUUUACCCUUGCACUCACUAUCACAUUACUAUCAUGUUUGUCAACUGUCAAACUAACUCUUUUAAGUUAUUUAGUGUGACUACAAAGUUAUGAACACCAUAAUCUUAAUUAAAACCUUUUAAUAAACAAAUGCCAAGUUACUACUCAACAAUGGCAAGGAAUUCAAAAAACAUGACUGUAACGACCCAACUUUUCUAGGUAAGUCGAAGUCAUUAAUUUCAAAUAAGGACCUGAGUUUACACAAAAUCUCAAUCUCAAACAAUUUCAAAGUCUCAAGAAAAACAAAAAUUAUAUACCUGGGCCCGGUUUAAAAUAACCAGCACCUUCAAGACAAAUUUACUAAUUCGUGAAUACAGUUCAACUAUAAAAUUUUCUAAACAAUCUCAAGUACUAAACAAAACACGUGAAACAAAACAUUUAGCGGAAGCAAUUUAAUAUAAUACCAAUGGCAAUCACGCUUCCUUUCUGCCCCUCGCCGGUUUGCCGUCUUUAUUACCUUUGCCUGAAAAUUAAACAUAAGGAGGGUGAGUAUAAAAAUACCCAGUACGAGACCCUCUACUGGUCCCGUCAGGGGAAAAUAAAUUGUUAACAUUCUAUUGGGACACCCUGUACAGUCACAGUCUUGUGAUCCCGUAGGAUGCACAUUUCAGUCUAACGCCCCGAGGGACGUACAUUUUCAGUCUAGUGUUCUGCAGAAACACAUAUCAGUCUAAUGCUCUUGAAGGUGCAGAAUAAUUGGUGAUCCGUGUGACACCUACAAGGCACACAUCCCAAUAAAAGCUAACAAUUUUUCCCCUCAGUCCAUUCUAAACAUCUUAACAGUCAUUCACAGAUCAGUUAAACAUUCUCAUCACGUAAACUCUUUAUUUAACCUCAAACAGUCGUCUUACUCUAAUUUAGUCCAAGGUCAAUAAAAAAACAUAUCAUUACAUCAGUUAACAAGCUAAACAAUCAUAACCUCCUCCUCAGUCACCAAGGGCACCACCAUGACGUUUCUUCCGUUCACAAGCACACAACAUAACAGUAGAUUAUACACUCAGUCUAGACAACAAUCAAUCUACUAAUCAAAUCCACACUUUAUAUAAGCAACAUCUACGAGAUUCAGUCGUUUCCACAUCCUUAUCUUUGUACACAUACAUAACCAGACAGUCACAACAUAUACUCAACCACAGUCUACAUCAAUCCAUGCACAUAUAUGUAUUAAUUUCUCCCAGUCAAACAUAGCAAACAUUAAACUUUAAGUCAAUGCCCAAACAUACAUCAUAACAGUCAUCUCUACUCAGUUCAAUAUCAAAUCAAUACAUCUUAAUUAGUCAUUAUAUCUUAAUUUUGUUGUUGAGUCUAGUAGAAAAUCCCUUACUUUCAAGUUAGUUAAGCUCCUUAACCACGUUGAAGUCUACGAAGAACGAACCUAAACAUUAAGACAAUUUCUCAAUAAUUCUCUUCAAGGCAUCAAUCAUUUAAAUUCAACCCAAUGUGAUUUUUUUUUUACAACUUACCCAAAUCUUCACAAAACGAGUUCCAACUAGAAUCAAUUGUUUGCUGCGAACCCAAUGAAUUCGAGUGUUACCUUCAACCUAUAAUCGAACAGUAAACGAUUUAUCCAACCAAUUAUUCCAGCAAUAUUACUUGAGUUUAUUUUGGAAACAGUUACAAAUUUCAUAACUUCAAUCUUACCAAUCAAAAUUUAAUGACUCGUGGCAAAGCAGGAACGACAGCGAACAACCCAAUCGAAUGGCGUGGGUUUGCUACCUGCGGCAGGACGAAGAAGGAACUCGACGCGCAGAAAGUUGGAUCUGGGGUCUUUAGUUCGGUUCACGGUAGCGAAUUAAAACCUGAUUGCGCGGACGUCAAAGGUGUUAUUCGCGGAAGAAGUCGAGCAGCAGCUUUGCGAAGAGACGACGUGCGACGGAGAGACUGUAUACAGACGGACGGAGAGUCGCGCGGCAGUGCAGAAAACGGAGGAGAAAGGAAUGGGCGGCGGCUGGGCUUGGCUUCGACGGAGACAGAGGCGAUUAGGACGGGGCACGGCGACGCAGAUCUGGACGACGGCGCGGAGACAGAGGUUGCGCGGCGCUGGGCAGAGGGUCAAACGGCGCUGGGCGAAGGGUCACACGGCGCUGGGCGGAAGGUCACACGGCGGCCUUGCUUCGCGCGAACAGAGAUGGCGGCCGACGGUUGCAGCGGCGGCUGGGUAUGGUAGAAAAGAAAGAGAAACGGAAGAAGAAUAGGGGCGGCGACCGUGGAUCGGAGAAGAAAAGAAGGAGGAAAGCGAUGGUGGUCGGUUGGAGGGUGCGGCUGGAGGUAGGGAUCGGUGAAGGAGAAAAUAGAAAAAGAAAAUGAAGGGGAAAUGGGGGUUGCGCGCGGGAGGAAGAAGAAAGGAAAAAAAAUUCUUUUUUUUUUUUUUUCUUUUAUUUAAAUUAAAUAAUAAAACUAAAAUAUAAAUAAAUAUAUAUAUAAUUAUAUUAUCACAUUUUCAAAUCUUCUUUCUCCCCCUUCAUCAUAUUUUCUUCAAAAAAAUAAAUCUUGUACAAAUCGAAUAAUUUUCUUUAAAAUAAAUUACCUUCGAGUUUGGGGCGUUACAAUGACAGCUAUAUUGUAACUUGGCACUUGGGGACUUUAAUGGUGUCAAUAUUGUAACUUCUGGUGCCAUGACAAAUAUUGGUGACUGUCAAGAUAAGUUCGCAUAGCCACCGAAAGAUACAUCGUUGCUUUUGAAGAAUGACAAGACUCUAAAUGAUAUAUGCAGCAUUAUUUUGGUUAUAUCCAAUCUUCUUUGAAGGCUAUGUACUUGAAGAUUUUAAUCAAUAAAUAAAAUGAAGUUUAAUUUUUAAAAUAAUAACAUUACAAUGGGAUGGCGAUUGGAAUUGAUUACUUUGGUUAAAAUUUAAGAUUAGAUUAAAAAAAUCAAUUAAUAGAUAAUUCCAUCCAAUCAAAAUAACUAAAUAAAAGACGAGAUUUGAAAAUAUAAUAUCCUAAUAGACACUAAUAGACUUAUAUUAAUAGAUAAUUUCCUGCCGAUGAAAAAUUACUAAAGUUGUACUAUAUUUUAUAAAUAUUUCAAAACAUUACAUAAACACUAAUUAAAGUUGGGUUUAGUAGCAAAAGGUUACAAAUUUAUUGACACCUUUUUUAGGAAAAAAAAUACCUUGACAUGAUGUAAACUAAAUUUGUAAUCAGCAUUGAAAUCUUUACUAUACUAAAUGGGCUCGUGGAGAAAAAAUUAUAUACAUCUAUUUUAUUCUUAAAUUGUCGAAAAAAAAUUAUAUUACCUUUUGUGAUCUAACGUAGUUGUGACUUUUAUAGUGUAAGUGUCCAUUUUAAUGUUUGGAAAGAUGAUUUUUCCAAUUUUUUAGUUUACAAAAUAAAGUUCUAUAUUUCAUAAAAUAAAACCUUAUGUUGAAUAUAUGUAACUAAUGUUGAUAGGAUGUGAUUGGUUGAUCUUCAAGAUACGAUGCAUUCUGUUUAGAGUGGAGAUGGUUGCACACACAUCAAAUUGGUGCAUUGAUUCCUCCAAAUUUACAUGUGAAAUGUAAAUGUAAAAGAAAAACAAAACAAACUCUUGCAGUUACACAUUAGGAAAAAAAAACGUCACGAAAUUCCAAAGUUCAAAGAAAACAAACAUACACAGGGAUUUAAUUGAUUCAAAGUAGUAACAAAUGGUGAAAAAAUGCAUAAUUUGUUGUGAUUUCACAUUAACAUGUUAGAAUAAAAAAUUAUCGUAUUCUAUAUAUUACAAUAUUGGAUCAAAUAUUAAUACAUUAAUUUAAUUAUUUAAUUACUACAUCAAUGAAUUUCUUUUUCUUUUUUAAAUAAUAAUUUUACCAUUAAUAUUAUAUAAUAUUUGUUUAUUAUAUGCUAAAGCAUAUUUAAAAAUUAAAUAGAAUUAAGAGAUUUCACGUGAAUUUAUGCACAUGUUUCAACUGAAAAGAUGGAAACAAUAGUCACAAAUUAUUUUUUCCUAAAACAAAACAUUCGUAACCAAAUCUAAAUAUGCACUUUCAUAACUAAGGACCAAAACUCAUAUUACGUAGAAUUGAGCAUGGUUUAAAUGAAAUUAUUAACAAAAUACUUACACUUUAAACCAGGUUUUUUGGCAACAUACAUAGUGAGAAAAUUCCAAAUUUACCCUCUUACUUGUAUCUUUUCAAUAAAAAGUGCAUCUUAGUUGUAAUUAUGUCAAAAUAAAAAUAAAAAAAUAACUCGUCAGUUAACGUGGUUAUUCAUUAAUUGAUUUGGGUGAACUUUCUGAAGAUAAAAAUAACAAAAACAAACAAACAAAAGACUAGAACAUGUUAUUUAAUUAUGUAAUUACAACUUCCCUUUCUCCUCCGUGAGAAAAAAAACCAUUUCUCUAAAUUUCAUCUAUAUAUGUGUAUUGAUCAAAUGACCCAUAUCAAUAAGGACACAAAAUUGGCAAAGAACAAAUAAAUUAAAAUGGACAAUAACUCUUGUUUCAUUACUUUCUCUCUCAUUGGAGUUCUUUUGUUCACCAUCAUUUCAAAUGUGGCAUCAUCUAACGACGUUGUUUCUACCAUCUGUUCAGAAAUCUCAAAUCCACAAUUUUGUUUAAGUGUGUUGAAAUCUGCAGGCACUACAGAUCUAAAAGGCUUGGCUGUAUACACCUUAAACCUUGCUCAUUCAAAUGCUGGCAAAUCUUUGAUCCUAGCCAACUCACUAGCAAAAGCCACCACCAAUCCUCAACUUAAGCAACGAUAUUCAUUUUGUGCUGAGAGCUAUGAUGAAGUUGUUGGUGACAUUGAAAAUGCUCAAAACGACUUGGCACUUGGGGACUUUAUUGGUGUCAUUAUUGCAACUACUGGUGCCAUGACAACUCUUGGUGAUCACUGUCAGAAUAAGCUCUUGCAGCCGCCGAAGGAUACAUCGUUGCUUUUAAAGAAUAGCAACACUCUAGAUGAUAUAUUUAGCAUUAUUAUGGUUAUAUCCGAUCAUCUUUGAGGGUUAUGUACUUGAACAUUUUGAUCAAUAAAUAAACUGAAGUUUAAUUUUUAAAAUAAUAUUACAAUGUGAUGGUGAUUGGAAUUGAUUACUUACUUUGAUUAAACUUGAGAAGAUAAAGAAAAUCAAUUAAUAGAAACGUUCACCGACACACAUUGUCAGCACGUCGGAGAAAGCCUAAACUUUUUUUCUUUUCUUUUACGUUCUGUUUUCUUUUCUUUGUUUGCCAUCAUCAUCGUCAUCUUCUUCUUCUUCUAGCUUCUUACGUUCUGUUUCAAUUGCAUACUUCUGUUAUUCUUGUAAUUUCUUCGUGGUUUUCUUUUUAACUUUGUGUUUCAGUGUGGAUUCAUAAACACAUUUUUCAGUGCUCUGGAUUCUGGAUCUGUUAUGAUUUGAAAGGGUACAGUGAAGUGAAAAGUUGAAAUGGAAAAGAAAAAAAAGAAGAAAAGAGGACACUUCUCGCGGUGGUGGCGGCAAAGACUGACGUCGACGACAACACAACUCUCCUCCUCUCCCUAUAUCUCGGCCGAUUUUGGGUUUAUUUUCGUUUUGCAUUCUGUUAUGUGUAGAAGGGAGAAUAAAUAGUGUGGACUUUCCCCGACAUCUUCGAAAACGUUGGGAAAUUUACCUUUUCGCCGACGUAUGUAGUACACACGUCGGAGAAAGUUUAAAUAAUAAAUUCAUUAUUUAAACUUUCCCCGACGUACUCCUGUCAUACGAGUCUAAAUUAAAUUUAAUGCGUUCUCCUUCGCGAUGUGUGUCAAGGUGACGUUGGAAAAAGUUUAAACACUAAUGCAAUUAUUUUAAAUCACAUAUGUUAUCGCUUAUAUGGCAUAAGAGUCUAUUAACGAUAGAAAUCUAUCUUGAUAGGUUUUGCUACAUUUACAAUUUUUAAAAAAUAUUCUUAUAUACUUAACUAUUAUUCCUAAAAUUGCUAACCCAUUAUACUUACCCUAAGUUAAAUGUAUAAUGUCAAAAGUAAGUUUACUACGAAGGUAAUCUAUGUGACCCUUUUAUCCUAACGUAGGAAGUUUGUUCCACUCCAUACCAUUAUUGAACUAAAAGGAUUAAGUGUGUAUUAAUAUGUUUAAACAAGUAUAAUUAUAGCAAAAUCUAUAAGUGAUAUAUUGAUAUUAGCAAUACAAUACGCGUCACAUAUGCAAACAUUUUGUGUCUAAUCGUUGUAUUUACAAUUAACUCCAUUAAAAUAUUACAAAUAGAAAUAGAACUCUUUAAUCUAUGUUCAGUUAGGAUCACAAACUACAAAAUGAAAGCAUGGAACAAAUUUAAUUUUUUUUUUCUUUAAAGGAAAUUUUGUGUGUAGCACAUUAUAUUUUUUUCUUUCCUUUAAAAAACAUUAUUGAUCUUAUGAUAUUUGACAUAUAUUAUAUUUUUUUAAGAAUGUAAAUAAUGUAAAUAAUGUGCCAAAUAAUUGAAAACAUGUUAUCCAAAACAGAGAAUGGUUAAGAAAUUGUUGACAUUUAGUCAAAUUAAUAAAUAAUUCAAAAUUGUGUUUGAUUUUUGAAUUUGAAAAGAUAGUAAAUUAGAAGUGUUUUGAAAUAGUAUUUACGAGAAGAUUUUUAAUUUUAAAUAGCAUUAUAGUAGCUAUGGAUGGUUAUAUAAUAGUCUACACAAUCUUUGUCACAAAUGAUUAAUUCGAUUUUUUAAAUCAAGUCUAAUGUUUUUUUUUUUUUUUUGCCUAUUUCUUACCAUAAUUUACAUUUUUUGUAAGUAUAAUGGUUGAAUGCAAAAAGAGAGCUGACUAGUAAGUGCAAAAAGAGAUCUCACAAGCUUCUGCAAAAGCUAAUCAAGCAACCCAAAUCAUAAACGAGGAGAAAAGUUGAUUGGUUAAGCUUUGUUGUAGUAAAGAAGUCAAAGUGAACAUGGAACGUUCUUCACUCUCAAAGAACAUCGCCAACAUAUAGAUUAUAUACUUUUUCUGGUAUUGACCCAAAAAACACAAUCCAAGUGUAUUUUUGGUGAGAUGCAUAGUUUAACUAAACCGUGUUAUUACAAAAUUUUUAAUUACUAGGAACUCCUAAUGAAACGAAUACAUUAUUUUUAUAAUUACGAGGUAAAAUGGAAACAUACAAACUACUAAAAAAGUUGCAAUUCGAUUAUUGGGAUUCAAUCUACUCUCCAUGAAUGUUCUUGAAAUGAGAGUUUUUAAGCAGCUACAACUUGCUUAUGUAUAAAAGCAAAACCCUUCUCAACGCCUACCUUCAGUUUUGGCUUUAGAGCUUCAAGUGAUUUUUGCCCCUACUCAGAUAAACCCUGAAGAUCAGAUGUUACAAAGGCUUCAAUUCCACAUGCAAAAAUCAUGUUCAUGAACCAAAAGCACCUUAAGCUUCUCUUCGAUAUCUUUGAGCUCACUGGAUAAAGAACUGAUUUCUAAAGCAAUCAUCUCUACCAUAUCCUCAUCGUUCCCACUGUCUUUUAAUAAGGUUGGCAUGAUAAUCACAACAAAGAAGAAGAAACUAAGAUCAAUUUAACAAAUUUUAUGUUGGGAAACUUUUUUAAGAACAACUACUUAUAAACCAACCUUAGCUUUGGCCUCACAUUCCUUGAAUUUUCUAAAAGUAGAUACCACCUGUCCGGGCAACCCACACCAACCAACCAAGAGUAAGUUAGUGUGAAAGACACUUAUUUAAUGAAGAAUAUGUAAAAGAGGUCAUUCCAACUGUUACACAUAAUAGUAUUGGAGGCAGAUAACCUUGCCAUACCUCAUCAAGUUCUGAUAUUGAUUGAGCUAGUUUUUGAUACUCUGUGGGGUUUGAGACAAUAUCUGGAUUGACCAGCUUAACCUAAAUAAUAAUAUCGAUAGUGAUUAUUGUGUAGGAAAAUAUUAAAGCUAUAACCAAAUCAAAAGCAUAAUUGGAAAUACAUCAAAGAUGUAAAUGCAAAUUUCAAAAGUGGAUCUACAGAAUGUAAGGGGAAGAAACUCAAAUAAAAUUACUUUAUUAGUUAUACGACUACUAUAGAGAUUCCAGAUACACCACAGUUCCACGUCCUCUUUCAGGAGGAAAGCAAUGGUUAAAAAUUAAUUGUGAAAACUAAAGAAGGUCCUGUUCAAAUCCUAACAGCAAUAGGAAAGCAAGGAGUUAUAAGGUGAUCACUAUAGCCAAAUCCAAAAUGCAUUCAAUAUUUGUCUUCCAAUUUCAUUAUCAAGUGCAUAGGCAAGGUCCCUAGUGAGGAAGUUAUUCGUUCUUUUCUUCAUUUUCUAUAGCUCUAGAAGUAGCUAAAUGGAAUCGUCAAGCACCUAAUCUAUUAAUUUUAAAACUCAAAAGUUCACCGCGGGAUUCUAGUCACUGCUGAAACAACAUAGAGUUCACUAGUUCCACAGUUAAAUUAAUUGCAAAUUGCAUUUCCUGGCAUUUUCAAGAAAAAAAAAAUGCACAAAUCAUAAUAUGAUGAAGUAGAAAAAUUUUGUGAGCUCGACUUUUCCAGGACAUAUCUUAGCUACUUCUCCUAUUCCAGCUCGAUAACCAUUGUACUUUAACAAUUGAAACAUUAAUCCAAUAGUUAACAAUGUUCUGCACUUUAUGCCCUUACAUUUCCAACAACUUGAUGCAUACAUCAGUAGUUAACACAGGCACGAGCUCUUAAAUUCAAUGCAAAAUAACAGUCCCAUUCCAAGCAUAGACACCAAAUACAAACAAUUGAUGGACUUGAAUCAGUGAAGAAAUAAGAAUGUCAUUUAACAGCAAAGCACAAAUUACCGAUAAUUUUUUCCACGUCUUCUCAGCAGAUUCCAAUUUCACGAUCAAAUAAGGUUCCUAAAAUAAAGCAAUCACCAUCAUCAUUUUCCACAAAUAUGAUUCGAACUAGUUUUACCACAAAUUAAUUUCUAGUAACUUGAAGAAAAACUCAGUGAACUCAAAGCAUAACGAAACUCAAGUUCUGUUAAAGCCAAUCCGAACAAUAAGAUAUAGACAUAUUGUGUUCUCGAAAGAAAAACAUUCAAUAAAUCUAACAGCCAUGCAAAUUAGAGUUGAAGCUCUAAAGGGAGGUGCAAAGCAUUUAAGUUCCAGAGAGCAUCUUCUGAAGGCGAUGAGCCCAUAAGAUGAAAAAAAGGCCUCAAGUGAGGAAGAAAGACGCCAUCCAAACAUGAAAAAAGGAAGAAAGGCAAGAUUUUGGUAGCUCCAGACCUGAGGGAAGCCAACAAGGUGGCGAGGGAGGCAAGGCCCCAAAGUUUAGCAUUGCCAGCAAAGUGAAGGUAGAGAAGGACCUUUCCUUUCGACGUGGCCCUCCGAGAGUUUAUGGACGCCCCAAUUGGGGCGUUUGGAUGGAGUAAGUUCUUCAAGGGACUUCCAAGAUUCGAUGGAGGUUGUCAAGAAAUUCUACGCAUCAGAUUACAACCACUACAAGGAAUUUCAGAUCAACCAACACAAUUUAACACUAUUGGGAGAAUCCACGAAUUCUUGGUCAAGUAGAAGAACCUCCAUGUGGAAGAAACAAAUUGUGAACGUGUCGAAGACCUUGAAGUGUGGAAAUGGAAGAUCAAAGAGUUCCAGCUUCGCCAGUCGACAGGGACGUCAACUGUUUAAGUAGGGGAGAAUGUCAAGAGCAUGCUUGUCCAAGGCAUUGUUUGCCCAUGGCCGCAUGGCCGAACAUCCUCAAACCGCCUUAUAUUUAUGUCUUAUACUUAGUUUAGCCAUUUUGUUUCCUUUUGUUGUCGCCGACCUAGGGUGUGACGUUUCAAAAUUUUCAUAUGCAAGUCUGUCAUAGCUAAAAAUGUUUAAAAUGUACUAUAGGGAAGACAUAGUAGUUGAAUCCCUGACCAAGCCUUGUUGCACUCUUUGCAUUCUAAUCUUUCUUUGCAAUUAACAGUCUUCAAUGCUUUCUUUAACGAUGUUUUCAAUUCUUUUCUUCUCUUCUUGUCUUAUAAAAAUAAAUUUCUCUCAAAACAUGAAAGAGGCUAUACCGUACUGCGUGCUUUUUGCGACUUCUGGAUUUCAUACAGCUUACUUGUUCACCGAGCUAGAACAAACGUCGCAUAAUCACCAUCCCCUAUUUGAAAAUUUACGAUUAUGACAGCAUGCGGUGAGGUGCACGCGGCAUGUGUGGGCCCAAGCCAAGCAUGCAACUGGCAUUCUGAUACUCUAUGCACGUGCAUGCUGCCUGCGCCCAUGCCGUGCAGCCAGCAUUGUCAUGACGUAGUUUUUGGGAUGUUUGGUGUUUUGGGAAAUUUUGAGCAAAUUCUGGAUGUUCGAGCAUGCGGAUGUUCUAUGCAAUGCAACCAGCAGCCCAUAUGUUCUAUGUUCUCUUUACGGUCGUAUGUGCACAUUUGGUUAACUCUACUACUAAUGGGAAAGUUGACGAGCCUAUGCUGAAUUCAUCAGGAAAGGUGUACUUUGUUGAGCCCAUUGAGGAGAAGGAUACCUUCUUUUUUCGAAGAGGUGUUUCAAUGCCUAGGCCGUCUUUUGACAAUGAGGUGUUAAUAUUACCUAGACUUCAUGCUAAGAACGGGUUGUGAAUUUAUAAUCAAGAAUGCAGUUCGAGUAUCAUGUCUUUCAAAUGAUUUCCAACAGCUUGAAUGUUUCUAUAAGACAAGAAUUUAUGCUUAACUGUUUUAGAAAGCAUGUUUUAUAAAAAUUGUCACUCACUAAGUCUUUCGACUUAUCCUUUCAAAUCAUUUCUCACUUUUCAGGUAUGGAUUAUGCAUUCCCUAAUGUUAAGCGUAUUGCUGCUGAGCCAACCAGUUACUAGAAAUUGUUAAGUCAUUUUGAAAGUUAGUUUUGACUUUGUAAGAAAAGUUCAGGAUGAGCAUGUCUAUGUUUAUUGUUAAAGUUCCAAUGUUAUAAGUUAGUUUAGUAAAAAGGUCACUGUCAUGUUUAAAGCUUCUGCUGAUGUAUCACAAUAGUUGUAACUAGUGGUUUAAGUUAUUAGUAAAAGCAUGUAGCUUGUAUCGCUGUUUGUUUUGAGCAUGCAUUCAUGUUGUAACUGGUAGUUAAGUUAGAAAGGUUAGUCGGUUGGUAAGUUUUGCCAAGGUAUGGCAAUCCUUGCCAACCCUCGCACCUUCUUUCAGAGCUAGAUGUUGUUCAGAAAAUAAGGAGCUUUGGGAGGGGGUGGUGACAACAACACCAUCCCACUAGAGUACGCAAUGAUGCAUUAUUGUUUAAUUAAGUCAUAUAUACUUCCACAAUUUGGAUAGGAAUUUAACUCAUUAGAAGGUGUCCUAUAGAAUUUCUCAGUGAAAAGUUCAGAGAAGCUACAAACAAAUGUCACUACCGAACAACAAUCAUAUACAUGGGUUAGGGCUUUGAGCAGUGUGAACACAACUUAAUAAUAAAUAUGAAGUCGUCCUCUUUUCAUCAUUAGUCAGAAGAAUUCUUAAACUUUCUAAAAAUAAUUGUCAAAUAAUUGAUUAUAUAGUAUGCCAUUUAUUUGGAAUACAAUUUUUUCAUUACCAGGAAAGGAGACUUCUCACUAAGUAAAUGUAAAGAGACUAAUGCUAUAAUUUGAAUUGGAAAAUAUAAUUUCAUAAUUAAGCAUCGAAUAGGGACUAGUUAAGAAGUACACACUUUAGUUUGCCAGAGUCCAUGUUCUACACAUGUUAGCCACUCUGUCAUUGGUUUAGCAGUAAAACAAAGGAUGUGUUUAGGAUGUGAGCCACACAAAAGGGAAAGAAAACAGAAGGCGCAGUGAGCCACACAAAAGGGAUCGAAACGAAUGUUCAGAAAUAUCGGAAGGAUCGAAGAAAUAUGGAAGGAAAGACGAGGAAAAAACAACAGACCGGAGCAAGUUCAAGAAGGUAGAGAUCCCGAUCUUCAAUGGAAUAGACCCCGAUUCAUGGUUAUUUCGCGCCGAUCGUUAUUUCAAGAUACACAAGUUGACUGACUCAGAGAAGUUAAUGGUAGCGGUAAUCAGUUAUUAGGACCAGCUUUGGAUUGGUAUAGAUCAAUUGAUGAAUUGGAACAAUUCAAGAGUUGGGAAGAUUUGAAGCAAAGGUUGUUGUCCGAUUUCAGACGAUUCGGGAUGGAACACUCGUAGGCAGAUUCUUAAGGAUUAAGCAGGAAACGACAGUAGGGGAAUAUAGAAACAGUUUCGAUAAAUAUUUAGCUCCGGUAGCCUUCCUCCAGACCAUAGUAUUAGAAGAAACCUUUAUGAAUGGGCUAAGCCCAUGGCAUAAAUCCGAAGUUGAAACGCUGGAGCCCAUAGGUUUGGCCAAGAUGAUGUAACUAGCCCUGAAAUUGAAAAUAGAGAGAUGGUUCGUCGAGAAUGUGGGCUUAGUAGUGUUUCGGGAAUGAAUCAACAAUUCAAGCAUAAUAACGUAAAGCAAACCUCGACAGUAACACCCAAUCAGAAACCCACGGAAGGGAGCUGGCCAAUGAGAACGAUUACGUUAAAAAGAGUGACGGCAGAUGAAAAGAGGAGGGAAGGUCCGACCAAGCGUCUUUCCAACGCUGAAUUUCAAGCACGAGGGAAAACGGUCUGUGUUUUCAGUGUGAGGAGAAGUAUCACGCUGGACAUAGGCGUAAGGUGAAGGAACAGAAGGAAUUACGGAUGUUAGUAGUAAAGGAAAUGGGAGAAGAACUGGAAAUCAUUGAGGAUGAACACUUUGAUGUGGAAACGGAGGCCCAGACCAUUGAAAUUGAAAAAGUGGAGAAUAUGAAUAUAGAGCUGUCCAUUAACUCAAUUGUGGGGUUAUCCAACCCUGGAACCAUGAAACUGAAAGGGAAGAUAAAAGAGACCAAAGUGGUAAUAAUCAUCGACAGUGGAGCCACCCACAGUUUUAUUGCAAAAAAUUUUGUAACCACCCUUAGCCUACCAAUGACAGAAACGUCCAACUAUGGAGUGAUUUUGGGAUCAGGGGUUGCGGUCAAAGGAAAAGGAAUCCGCAGUAAUGUUGAAGUGACGGUAGGAGAGUGGAAAAUUACAAACAACUUUUUACCCUUGGAAUUAGGGGUGGUUGCACUCAUUGGGCAUGACUGAAUUUGAUAUGAAAAAUUUGGUGAUGACAUUCCGACAUGGAGGAAGGAAGAUAGAGAUAAAGGGGGACCCUAGUGUCACCAAAACCCAAGUGAGCCUAAAGUCUAUAAUUAAGACAUGGGGAGCUGAUAAUCACGGUUAUUUGGUAGAAUGUCGGGCCAUGGAGGGAAGGCUAGCUGAGGAAGGCUUAGAGGAUGAAGAAGUGCCAGCCACUGUUGACAACAUGAUCUCUCCUCUGUUGAGCAAAUUUAAUGAUGUUUUUGAUUGGUUGGAAGAGCUGCCUUCGAAGAGGAACAUUGAGCACCAUAUACCCCUUCAGAAGGGGGUGGAUCCAGUUAAUGUCAGACCUUAUCGUUACGCACAUCGGCAAAAGGAGGAAAUUGAAAGACUAGUUGAUGAAAUGUUGAAGACAGGCAUCAUAUGACCGGGUACCAGUCUGUAUUCCAGCCCAGUCCUUCUCGUGAAAAAGAAAGAUGAUAGCUGGCAAUUUUGUGUAGAUUAUCGGGAGUUGAACAAUGUCACUAUCCCAGAUAAGUUCCCAAUUCCGGUCAUAGAUGAGUUAUUCAAUGAGCUGAAUGGGGCCAACAUGUUUUCGAAGAUUUAUUUAAAGGCGGGUUAUCACCAAAUCAGGAUGCAUCUGAGAGGUGUAGAGAAGACGGCCUUUCGAACACAUGAGGGACACUAUGAGUUCUUGGUCAUGCCGUUUGAGCUAACCAAUGCCCCCUCUACGUUCCAAGCAUUAAUGAACCACAUCUUUAAGCCUUAUAUGAGAAGAUUCGUAUUAGUGUUUUUCGAUGACAUUUUGGUGUACAACAGGGGAGUAGAAGAACAUGGACAGCAUCUGGAAGUAGUCUUGGAGAUCCUUCGAGAGAAUGAAUUGUAUGUGAAUUUAGCCAAAUGUUGCUUUGCCAAAAGUAGAAUAGGUUAUUUGGGGCAUUUCAUAUCCGAAAAGGGAGCUAAAGUUGAUCCAGAAAAAAUAAGGGCAAUUAGGGAAUGGUCGAUUCCCACUAGUGUGCGAGAAGUUCGAGGUUUCUUAGGACUCAAUUGAUACUAUAGGAAGUUUGGGCAGAAUUAUGGCAGUAUCGAAAGCCCUUUGACACAGCUUUUGAAGACAGGAACUCAUUGUUGGACUGAAGAAGCAAGUGCUGCCUUUGAGAAGUUGAAGAUGGCAAUGAUGAUUCUACCGACAUUAGCUAUGCUGGACUUUAAUCUACCACUCGAGAUAGAAACAUAUGUAUCUUGUUUUGGUGUGGGGCCGUUUUAGUACAAGCCAAGAGACAAAUAUCCUUCUUUAGUAAAACCUUAUGCAUGUGGGAUAGAGCGCGACUGGUUUAUGAAAGAGAAUUGAUAAUAGUAGUGUUUGCGGUGCAAAGGUGGAGACCAUAUUUGUUAGGGAAGAAAUUUACAGUGAAAACUGAUCAGAAGUCGCUCAAAUUUCGGCUAGAACAAAGGGUGAUUCAACCCUAAUACCAAAAAUGGAUAGCCAAUCUUUUGGGAUAUUCAUUUGAGGUAGUCUGCAAUCCUGGAUUGGAGAAUAAGGCAGCCGAUGCUCUAUCUAGAACACCCCGUAUAGUGCACUUAAAUCAAAUAUCAGCCCCAACACUACUCGAUUUAGUGGUGAGUCAAGAAGAGGAAAAGAGGGAUCAAUACCUACAGGAAAUCCAGAAGAAAAUAGAAAGAACAAAAAGUGAAAGUUCCAAACUUUUCAGUACAGCAAGGGGUAUUGAAAUACAAAGGAAGGUUGGUGAUGUCAAAAACAUCCGUUCUACUACCCACUAUCAUGCAUACCUAUCAUGAUUUUGUCUUUGGAGGACAUUCAGGGUUCCUAAGAACGUACAAGAGGAUGACCGCGAGAGAUUUACUAGGAAGGAAUGAAGAAAAACAUAAAGAAAUACUAUGAAGAAUGUCUUGUAUGCCAAAGGAAUAAAACACUUGCAUUAUUACCUGCUGGAUUGCUGCUGCCACUUGAGAUUCCUAACACAGUGUGGUCGGAUAUUUCCAUGGAUUUUAUAGAUGGACUUCCAAAAUCAGCUGGAAAAGAAGUGAUUUUUGUGGUUGUAGAUUGUCUGAGUAAGUAUGCACAUUUUACAGCUAUAAAUCAUUCUUACAUGGCCAGCUUCGUAGCAGAAGUUUUUGUUAAAGAAGUGGUGAGAUUGCACGGGUAUCCGCAGUAAGUUGUAUCGGAUCAAGACAAAAUCUUUAUUAGUCAUUUCUGGAAGGAAAUGUUCAAGUUAGUGGGAACUAAAAUAAAUAGAAGGAAAUGUUCAGGUUAGUGGGAACUAUGCCCAUAUACACCAAGUUCGAAUAUAGAACUUGCUUCUUACUGAAAAAAUAAUGAUUAUGGGACUUGCUAUAAGGGUAUCCAAUACUCGAAGUAAAUGAAUGAUUACAAAAUGAUUGUUUCCUCAGUUUGAAGAAGAACAACAAAAAAGAAAAGAAGGAUAAAAAUAAAAAAAAAAAACAAACUUUCUUUUUGAAAUUCUAAAAGAAUCCAAAAAGACUUCAAAAGGUGCAACCAAGAAAGGAGGUCAAAGAAGGGCUCUGAUAGACCCCCCUAUCAUACGUCAAUAUAGUCGAAAAAAAAAGAGAGAGAUCACAAGGGAACACACAUGCGAAGAAGAAAAGAUUUAAAGGACUGUUAGAAGAAAAGAUUUAAAAAGCUUGUUGGGCGUCGGUUAGAUUUGAGGAGAUUUAGGAGGGUCGUUAGGUGUUGAUUAGAAUAAAUAAGGAUAGGGAGGAAAGAGGAGGGUAUGCUGAGUUUAGAAGAAAAUUGACUCAUGCUCUUCCUUGAGCGAUAGGAUAGCAGAGAGGGAAUUAGAUUGUUUUUCGAAUUGAGUCCUCCUCAAUUUGAGUGUUCUGAUAUUUUGAUUUUCCUUGUAACUCAUUCUUUGAUUGAAGCAAUAAAAGUUCUAAUUGGAUUUCCAAAAGAGUUCUAUCAAAUUGGUAUCAGAGACAGUUUUUUCUGACCAAGAGGAAAAUGAUGGUCCAAACACGAAUGAAGGAGAGAAUGGAGGCGCACGACCAGGAGAUGCAUUUGAUGAGAAGCGAGAUAAGCAAAAUUUCGACAAUGAAAGAAAUAUUAGCCACGAUCAGCGUACAGACAAAGAAGACUCACAAAAUGUUGAUAAUGUUCAUGGAAUCGAUUACCAGAGAGCAUAUCGUUAUGAGUGAGAAAAUGGUCGAGUCGAGUGUGCGAGAGACAGUAUCAACAAUAACGAAUAAGAAGGAAGACUCGAUCGAAAAGGGCCAUGAGCACGAAACAAAGGAUGGAAAGAUAGAAGGAGAAGACGGAGCGAACGAGCAUAAUAAGUUCAAGAAGGUUGAGAUGCCAGUUUUCAACACGGAAAAUCCCAAUUUUUGACCCUUUCGAGCAGAUAGAUAUUUUCAGAUACACAAAUUGACUGAUGCUGAGAAGGUCCUGGUUGCGACCAUUAGUUUUGAAGGCCCGACGCUGAACUAGUAUAGGGCGCAAGAAGCACACGACAAGUUUACCAGUUGGUCGAACCUCAAGGAGAGAAUACUCAUCCGUUUUCAAUCAGCAAAAGAGGGGUCCAUAUGCGGACAAUUUUUUAGGAUCGGAUAACAGACGACAGUAGAAGAAUAUCGAAACCAGUUAUAUAAGCUGAUGGAACCGUUAUCCGAUCUACAAGACAGAGUGGUGGAGGAAACAUUCAUGAACGGUUUACUGCCGUGGAUUAAAGCAGAAGUGGAUUUUUGUCGUCCGGUCGACGUGGCUCAAAUGGUGCACGCGGCUCAACUCGUAGAAAAUCGAGAGAUAAUUCACAAUGAGGCCAACCUUAAGGGGUACGCCCAAGGAAAAUAUCCGCCUCAAGGUUCUAGGCAAAAUACGAGUGCUGCGACGGUGAACGAUAGCGACAAUAAGAGAAAUACAUUAUUUUCGAUGAGAACGAUUACUCUGAGAACGACAUCCAGAGAAGUUAAGAGAGGGGCAGGCAAAGCGAUUGUUAGACGCGGAGUUUCAAGUCAGGAAGGAAAAAGGACAUUGUUUCCGUUGUAAUGAGAUAUAUUAUCAUGAUCAUCGAUGCAAAAACAGAGGGCAAAGAGAGUUGAGAAUGUACGUGGUCAGGGCGAAUGAUGAAGAAUUUGAAAUCAUAGAAGAAGUGGGAGAAAAUGAAUUGUUUGGAAAUCACAUAAGAAGAUCAUGUUGUCAUCGAACUGUCAAUUAAUUCGGUGGUGGGGCUGAACAAUCCGAGGACAAUGAAGGUGAGGGGGAAUAUCAGUGAGCGAGAAGUUUUCAUUUUCAUUGAUUGUGGAGCAACGCACAACUUCAUCUCCGAAAAGAUAGUAAAGGAGUUACAACUGGCCACGAAGGCAACGUCGCACUAUGGUGUAAUCUUGGGCUCGGGGGAGGCGAUAAAAGGUAAAGGAGUAUGUGAGGACGUGGAAAUCAAGUUGAACGGGUGGAAGGUGGUGGAAAAUUUGUUACCCUUAGAAUUGAGAGGGGUAGAUGUUGUGUUAGGAAUGCAGUAGUUGUAUUCAUUGGGCAUGACGGAAGUAGAUUGGAGGAACCUCACAAUGACUUUUGUGCAACAAGGAGAAAAGGUAGUGAUAAGAGGAGACCCAAGUUUGACCAAAUCCAGAGUGAGUCUCAAGAACAUGAUCAAAAGGUGGAAGGAUUCGUGAUCGAGUGCCGAGCAAUGGAGAGAGUCUUUGAGCCACAGGAAGAUAACGGGAUUGAAGAAGUAUUAACUACUGAUGAAGCAUAUCGGUCGUGUUGAAGAAUUUUGAAGAUGUUUCUAAUUGGCCGAAGACACUACCCCCGCAAAGAAAUAUUGAACAUCACAUUCAUUUGAAACAGGGCACUGAUCUGGUAAAUGUUCGACCCUAUAGAUACGCUUAUCAACAGAAAGCUGAGAUGGACAAACUUGUGGAUGAGAUGUUGACAGCGGAAUUAUCCGUCCCAGCAACAGUCCAUAUCUAGUCCAGUUCUAUUGGUAAUGAAAAAAGAUGGCAGCUGGCGUUUUUGCGUAGACUACCAAGCGCUGAACAAUGUAACCAUUCCAGACAAAUUCCCUAUUCCGGUGGUUAAGGAGCUUUUCGAUGAAUUAAAUGAAGCAAACUGGUUUUCAAAGAUUGAUUUGAAGGUGGGGUACCAUCAGAUCAAAAUGUGUGGAGAAGACAUCGAAAAAGCAGCAUUCCGAACACAUGAUGGACACUAUGAAUUUAUGGUUAUGCCAUUCGGCUUAACUAAUGCCACAUCCACUUUCCAAGCUCUGAUGAACUCAACAUUCAAACCAUUUUUGCAGAAGUUCAUAUUAGUGUUUUUCGACGACAUACUAAUCUACAGUGAGAACUUGGAACACCAUUUGAAGCACAUUGGGUUAGCAUUGGAAAUCCUGAGAAAGAAUGAGUUAUAUGCAAACAAGAAGAAGUGCAGCUUCGCACAAGAACGUAUUGAUUAUUUGGGUCAUAUCAUUUCAAGACAAGGAGUUGAAGUGGACCUUGAGAAAAUCAGAGCAAUCACGGAAUGGCCUAUACCCAGUAAUAUAAGAGAGGUACGGGGAUUCCUAGGCCUCACCUGUAACUAAAGAAAGUUCGUUCAGCACUAUGGCUCCAUUGCCGCACCAUUGAUUCAACUACUUAGGAAAGGGGGAUUCCAGUGGACUGAGGAGUCUAAGGAGGCAUUCCAACAACUACAAAAUGCGAUGAUGACCCUGCCCGUUUUGGCGUUGAAAAAAUUUCAAUGCCACAUUUGAAAUGGAAACCGAUGCAUCGGGAUAUGGGGUAGGAGUCGUACUCGUCCAAGCCAAGCGUCCCAUAGCAUACUUUAGUCAUACGUUAGCCUCAAGAGAUAGAGCCAAGCCUGUACAUAAAAGGGAAUUAAUGGCAGUGGUCUUGCAUGUGCAACGAUGGCGACCAUAUCUGUUGGGGAGAAAAUUUAUUGUGAAGACCGAUCAGAAAUCCUUGAAGUUCUUGUUAGAACAAAGAGUGAUACAGCUUCAGUAUCAGAAAUGGGUAGCGAAGCUAACGGGAUACUCAUUUGAGGUGGUCUACAAACUCAGCUUGGAGAAUAAAGCAGUAGACGCCUUGUCUUGGAUGCCUCCUACAAUUAACCUCGGUAGCAUAACAGCUCCUACAUUGGUUGACAUUCUGGUGACUAAAAAGGAAGUCAAAGCGUAUGAAAAAUUAAGCAAAAUAAUGGAAGAACUACAAGCAAUGGAAGAAGUAACAGAGGGUAAAUUCUCCAUCCGACAAGGUAUGUUAAGAUAUAAGGAUAAGUUUGUGUUGUCCAAAACAUCUACAUUGAUACCCACAAUCCUACAUACUUACCAUGAUUUGGUACUUGUGAGGAAUGUGUAAUAUGUCAGAAGAACAAGUCCCUAGUGUAACGAGCAUACUUGUCCAAGGUGUGUUUACCUAUGGCCGUAUGCUCCGAUUAGCCCCAAUUUACCUUGUCUUUAUGUCUUGCACGUAGCUUAGGUAGUUGCUUUCAAUUUCAAGUCGAUAUGCUUGGGUGUGACGUUUCGGCAUUUUCAUAUGUUAAAAAUGUACUAUAGGGGAGGCAUACCUGUUGAAUCCCUGCCCAAGCCUUGUCGUACUCUUUGCAGUCUAUGCUUUCUUAUUGCAAUUGACAGUCUUCAAUGCUUGUUUUAACAACGUUUUCAAUCAAUUUAAUCAUCUUUCAUGUUUUCUAAAACUAUUUUUCCAAGAACGUGAGGGGAGGUUGAAGUAUGUGUUAAAGUUGUCUGCGAUUUGCAGAUUUUGAUCGGCUGACUUGUUCGCCGAGCUAGAACAAGUGCCGCACAAUCGUUCACAUCGUGUUUGAAGGGUUACACAGUAAAGGAAGAGUAAGAAUUUGAGUGGAGAAACUCCAAAUUGGGAUCAACACGUGGGCAACAACAUGGCUUCUCACCAACAUGAGAACUCCAAAGAGACCAGCAGAUAUUCUAGAGAAGCCAAUGAACUCUUGGGAUGUGAAUCUGCACUUUCCUGCAAUAGUUUGAGUGUGAAUUAGUUCUCUGAAAACACCUGCAGAGGAUAAUCCACGGCAAAACAGAAUAACUAUAAAAAAACCACUUGCAAGUAGAAGAAAAAGGAAGUACAUUUAUACCUUCCCUGUCAAAGUGAUAUCCCUCAUCAACGGAUAUGCAUUUCUUUCCAGGAAGUAGCCAACAAUUUUACAAACCCAUGGGAGUUUAGGUUGUAAUAAGAAAACAAUUGUGUCCAACAAUAGAGUUGCAGGUGUGUUAGAGUUCACAGGUGCAGCCAAAAGUUGAUUCCUCAAUUGGUUUCUAUCAAGAACAACAUCAAGUAAGAAUAAUUCGGAGGAAAAAUAAAGGCAACUUAUCAUAUAUAUAAAUAUGAUUAGUCUGAAUUCGUUUGCGGAAGGUAAAAAAACCUUUAUGUCAAUUAUAUAUAUCUGAACAAAAUCUAAGAAAUAUAUCACUUUUCAACAAAAGAAAUAUAUCAUAUACAAUUAAAGGAUCAUAGCAUAGAAAGCCAACAAAAUCAACAAUGAUAGAUCAAACAUCUGUUUUUCCAUUCAAAACGUUAAAAAGGAUAAGUUUUUAAUAAGGAAUGUUGAAAUGGAAAAAACUAAUUACCUAUUAUGGUGUACAAUCUGGAUGCAAGCAUAUGCAAAUUUCUUAACUCUGUAAUCCACUAAGGCCUUGUUAAGUACAUAAUCCUUGCUAGCGAAAAUGCUCAACAUAUCCCCUAUAUAUGUAAGAGAGAGAAAGGUUAGAAAGUACUAACACUAAGAGAUAUGUGCUAUCAAUUAGAAACACUUUAAGAUGACAUUAUCAAUUAGAAAACCAAGUAUUAAGCAACAUAAGGGAAAAUAACAAACAAGGGCACCACAGUGGUUCAGAAACCAAUCAAUAUUUCCAUUUGUCACUUUUAUAAUAAUUUCCCAAGGGAAAAUCCUCAUAAUAAGCUUGAGUACCACCUAAUAACGUGUUCAAAUGUUACCAUAAGCAAAAAUGAGUGAUCCUAAAAUUCAUAUGACAAGGAAAGUCGUCAACUAGCAACCGCCAAAUAACAGUUAUAUGGCUAGAAUUAGUUUUCUCCAACUUCAAGAAAAUAAAACAUAUUAAAACAAAAGGAAUUAUGGUGCAAAAUAAUGAAUAUGCUGCAAAGGUAAGAAGUUUCUGAAGGUAAAAAUGGUCAAUAAAAAACAACAUAUAAUUUGACGUAAAUCAAAGUAGAAUUAUUUCUCGCAAUGAAUUCUCUGCCAAUAAUGGCUAAGAGAAGGGGUAUUUAUUGAGAAUUAGUUGGCCAGGCAGAAAUCAUCUAGGGCAUAGUAUUGUUUUAGGUCUGCGACAUUAAAAACAUAAUGAAUGUGUAAGUCUGGUGGUAGUUCUAUUUUGUAAGCAUUAUCUCCGAUCCUCUUUAGGACACGGAAUGGUCCUAAUUGUCUGUCUUUUAGUUUGUUGUAUGUUUCGGUUGGAAAUCGAUUUUUUCUUAGGUGAAUCAUUACUAAAUCUCCCUUGGUAAAGGUAGUUUGUCUUCUUUUUCUGUCUGUUGCGUCUUUGUAGGACUGAGUUGUUUCUUUUAGGUGAUUGUGGACUUCUUCGUGUAAAUUCUGGAUUUUUUCUAUCAUCUUUUCUGCCUCUGAUAGUUAGGGAACUCAACACAUUUUACUUGACCUAACCAAGAUGGCUCUUUGUAUGUAUAUUGCAUGUGUUGUUUGUUUUUUUCUAUAGCUCUUGAUUGUCUCACUUUUUUACGUUUUGCAUUUGCAAUUCUCUUUUCUUUCUUUGGUAUGCAAUGUGGUAACAAGGUCUUGCUAGAACCGGUGGGCUAACCUUUCUAUGGUUCUAAACUUAGUUUCUAAGUUUGACUGGCUCCCUUCGGAGUGACAACAAGCCUCGUUUUCCCCUACUAUGGAACGGGGAGGAUUCAUUUUCUUUUCAAAGCCCUCGUCAAACUCAAUGCUAAGUUUGACUGCUCCCUUCGGAGUGACAACAAGCCUUGUUUUCCCCUAAUGUGGAUCGGGGAGGAUUCCUUCUCUUUUCAAAGCCCUCAUCAAACUCGAUGUUGUGUUUAGAACGCUAAGAGUAGGUGGUCUGGUUUUGGUUAGGCCAAAAGUGAAGUUUUCCCCCAUUUUUUAUGGGCUUUUUCUAAUGUAUAUUGGAUAUGUUGUUUGAUUUUUUUUAUAGCUCUUGAUUGUCUUACUGUUUUAUGUUUUGCAUUGUCAAGUCUCUGUUUUCUUUCUUUGGUAUGCAAUGUGGUAACUAGGUCUUGCUAGAACCGGUAGGCUAACCUUUCUAUGGUUCUACAUUUAGUUCCUAAUUAAGUUUGAUUGCUCCCUUCGGAGUGACAAUAAGUUUUGUUAAUGUCGACCCUUUUCUAAAGGGAUUUAGUUCACUGUGGCUAGGCAAGAGGUUUCUAACUCAUGUUUGACAAGACAAAUUUGUUAAAACCAUCUUAGUUUCUAAAGAGUGCCUCCUAUCCCUUUUUUACUCUAUCUAGGCUAGGUUUGGACUAAGUGCAUCAUAGGUAAGUCACGACAAAGCAACAAAGGAAGACAAAGCUAGAAAAGUAUUCAUGCACUUAUUUAUUAUACAUGCAAUCAAGCAUUCACAACAUACAUACCAUUUUCUCAAUCAUGCAUUCACACCUCAAUAAGAAAUAGCUAAAAGGAGCUUACAACAAAAAAGACAGCCGCUUAUUCUCAAAUUUCAGCACAUAUACUCAUCAAAAUUUAGAAUUUCACAUUGCAAACCCGAGCUCAGUGCUCAAGGGUUGCCAAUCAUGCUUUUUAUGCAAGAUCUAAUUAAGCUAAGAAGGUAUAAUGCUCAUUUUGUAUGGAAAGAAUUCUGAAAUUUUUUUUAAAUUUGGGCAAAAUUUGAACCCCGAAGUUUAGACUAAACAUGCAAGCUAAGCAAGCUAUUACCCACACCCACUCAAAAAAUUGCUUUGUCUGUCCUAAAAGCUUUUGAAAAUCAAAGUAAAUGGAGAAAAAUAAGGGGGAACUUUGGACUCCCCUAGAAGGAUCGACAUCCUUGACUUUGGUUUGAAGCUUGCAUGGAUAAACCUUUUCAUUCCUUUUUAAUUGAUUAUUCAUCCUUGUUCCUGAAAAUCAAAGGAAAUUCUCUCAAUUUUAUAUAUUACUAAAAUUAGGAUACAUAUAAGUCUUAACUAGUCUAAUAGCACCCUCCAUUCAUCUUCCCCUACACUGGCUAUGGUAUCAAAAUUUUCAAUUAAGUAAUACGUCUACUAACGAACUUGAAAACAAAACACAUCACACUAAAAAACACAAACAUCACUUUAACCCAACAGAAGCUGCUCUUUUUACCCUUGCACUCACUAUCACAUUACUAUCAUGUUUGUCAACUGUCAAACUAACUCUUUUAAGUUAUUUAGUGUGACUACAAAGUUAUGAACACCAUAAUCUUAAUUAAAACCUUUUAAUAAACAAAUGCCAAGUUACUACUCAACAAUGGCAAGGAAUUCAAAAAACAUGACUGUAACGACCCAACUUUUCUAGGUAAGUCGAAGUCAUUAAUUUCAAAUAAGGACCUGAGUUUACACAAAAUCUCAAUCUCAAACAAUUUCAAAGUCUCAAGAAAAACAAAAAUUUAUAUCUGGGCCCUGUUUAAAAUAACCAGCACCUUCAAGACAAAUUUACUAAUUCGUGAAUACAGUUCAACUAUAAAAUUUUCUAAACAAUCUCAAGUACUAAACAAAACACGUGAAACAAAACAUUUAGCGGAAGCAAUUUAAAAUAACCCCUAUGGCAAUCACGCUUCCUUUCUGCCCUCGUCGCCGGUUUGCCGUCUUUAUUACCUUUGCCUGAAAAUUAAACAUAAGGAGGGUGAGUAUAAAAAUACCCAGUACGAGACCCUCUACUGGUCCCGUCAGGGGAAAAUAAAUUGUUAACAUUCUAUUGGGACACCCUGUACAGUCACAGUCUUGUGAUCCCGUAGGAUGCACAUUUCAGUCUAACGCCCCGAGGGACGUACAUUUCAGUCUAGUGUUCUGCAGAAACACAUAUCAGUCUAAUGCUCUUGAAGGUGCAGAAUAAUUGGUGAUCCGUGUGACACCUACAAGGCACACAUCCCAAUAAAAGCUAACAAUUUUUCCCCUCAGUCCAUUCUAAACAUCUUAACAGUCAUUCACAGAUCAGUUAAACAUUCUCAUCACGUAAACUCUUUAUUUAACCUCAAACAGUCGUCUUACUCUAAUUUAGUCCAAGGUCAAUAAAAAAACAUAUCAUUACAUCAGUUAACAAGCUAAACAAUCAUAACCUCCUCCUCAGUCACCAAGGGCACCACCAUGACGUUUCUUCCGUUCACAAGCACACAACAUAACAGUAGAUUAUACACUCAGUCUAGACAACAAUCAAUCUACUAAUCAAAUCCACACUUUAUAUAAGCAACAUCUACGAGAUUCAGUCGUUUCCACAUCCUUAUCUUUGUACACAUACAUAACUAGACAGUCACAACAUAUACUCAACCACAGUCUACAUCAAUCCAUGCACAUAUAUGUAUUAAUUUCUCCCAGUCAAACAUAGCAAACAUUAAACUUUAAGUCAAUGCCCAAACAUACAUCAUAACAGUCAUCUCUACUCAGUUCAAAUAUACAACAUCAAUACAUCUUAAUUAGUCAUUAUAUCUUAAUUUUGUUGUUGAGUCUAGUAGAAAAUCCCUUACUUUCAAGUUAGUUAAGCUCCUUAACCACGUUGAAGUCUACGAAGAACGAACCUAAACAUUAAGACAAUUUCUCAAUAAUUCUCUUCAACGCAUCAAUCAUUUAAAUUCAACCCAAUGUGAUUUUUUUUUUACAACUUACCCAAAUCUUCACAAAACGAGUUCCAACUAGAAUCAAUUGUUUGCUGCGAACCCAAUGAAUUCGAGUGUUACCUUCAACCUAUAAUCGAACAGUAAACUAUUUAUCCAACCAAUUAAUCCAGCAAUAUUACUUGAGUUUAUUUUGGAAACAGUUACAAAUUUCAUAACUUCAAUCUUACCAAUCAAAAUUUAAUGACUCGUGGCAAAGCAGGAACGACAGCGAACAACCCAAUCGAAUGGCGUGGGUUUGCUACCUGCGGCAGGACGAAGAAGGAACUCGACGCGCAGAAAGUUGGAUCUGGGGUCUUUAGUUCGGUUCACGGUAGCGAAUUAAAACCUGAUUGCGCGGACGUCAAAGGUGUUAUUCGCGGAAGAAGUCGAGCAGCAGCUUUGCGAAGAGACGACGUGCGACGGAGAGACUGUAUACAGACGGACGGAGAGUCGCGCGGCAGUGCAGAAAACGGAGGAGAAAGGAAUGGGCGGCGGCUGGGCUUGGCUUCGACGGAGACAGAGGCGAUUAGGACGGGGCACGGCGACGCAGAUCUGGACGACGGCGCGGAGACAGAGGUUGCGCGGCGCUGGGCAGAGGGUCAAACGGCGCUGGGCGAAGGGUCACACGGCGCUGGGCGGAAGGUCACACGGCGGCCUUGCUUCGCGAACAGAGAUGGCGGCCGACGGUUGCAGCGGCGGCUGGGUAUGGUAGAAAAGAAAGAGAAACGGAAGAAGAAUAGGGGCGGCGACCGUGGAUCGGAGAAGAAAAGAAGGAUGAAAGCGAUGGUGGUCG
rnacentral:lncRNA from 1 species